GGUCCACACUCUCCAGUUGGGCUUGGACUUGAAGGGAGUGCUAGAGUCCCACAAUGGUACUACAACAAAAACAGCUUUUAGCGGCAAUAAAUAGACACAUUAAUAAAGAGUGCUAAAGUCUUUCCCGGCAUUAGUUAAAUGUCAUUAGAUUAAAUGUCACUAAAGGCUUUAGGGGGAUAUACAAAGAGUGCUAAUUGCCGCUAAAAAUACAUAUUUAGUGGCAAUUGAGCUAUUACCGUUAAUUAAUUGCCACUAAAGAUCGUUUUUGAUGUAGUAUGGUUGGUUGGGGAAUAGAUUGAUAAUCGGCUUAUAUGGACUCGGACAAUAAUCUUCUGCUCUUGCAGGGAUGCCUGGGGUGACAGCUUAUGCUGGUUUUUAUGAGGUUUGCUCCCCUAAGAAGGGAGAAACUGUGUUGUUGUUGGUAGUGCUGGAAAUAAUUAAACAAAAGGUAAGUACUUAAACAUUUCAUUCCUUGAAUUUUAUUAGAGGCUUAUAAGUUAUCUUACUUAUCUUAAUCAUUGUUAAAUAAUCUAGCUAUCUCAUCUAUUCAUUAUUAUUAUUAAAGGUUGAUAUGUUGAAGACCAAGUUUGGUUUUUGAUGAAGCUUUUAACUAUAAAGAGGAGCAGAAUUUAGAUGCAGCUUUGAAGAGGUAAGUAAUCUUAUAAAUUCCCACAAGAAAACACUAACUAAUAUGAAAAAAAAAUAGUUUCCAGGGUGAAGGUGUUGGGGACUUUUUUUUUUUGCUUCUUUUAUUUUAAGCCAUCAUUUUAACGGUGUGGGGGGUUAGGCUUGACCCCUACUAUGUCUACAACAUCCAAAAAGUUACAAAAGCAGAGGGGACAUGGACCUAACCUCUGAUAGAGAACAACGAGGAUAAACUAAACAAUCUACGGUAAGACUAAGAUGACAUAGACUUUCAUACUAUAAGCAAAAUACAUUGGUUCAACUAACAAAAAAAAUUACAUUUGUUGUAUCUUCUCCUUAUGCUAAAGUUGCCACUUAUCUAGUAGAAAUAGUCCCUUCACCUCAGAAGAAUUGUGUGUGGUGGAUUGAACAUUAAGGGCAUAUAUGAAAAGAUAGCUAAUAUAACGCUAAAGGUAUAUAUGAACUGAUUGUAUAACGGAAAGCAAUACUAGACCUUUAAUUUUCGAUAAUAUAGGAGUAAAUAUGACUUUUUUUCGUAUUGGUUUAUUCUAUUAGGUACUUCCCUGAUGGAAUUGAUAUAUACUUUGAGAAUGUUGGAGGUAAAAUGCUUGAUGCAGUUCUUGUGAAUAUGAAACUUCAUGGUCGUAUUGCUGUGUGUGGAAUGAUUUCACAAUACAACCUUGACAAGACUGAAGGAGUGCACAACUUGUUUUGCCUCAUCGCGAAACGAAUCCGUAUGGAAGGAUUUUUUGUUUUUGAUUACUAUCAUCUUUAUCAUAAAUAUCUUGAAAUGAUCAUUCCACAAAUAAAGUCUGGUAACAUUGUGUAUGUGGAAGACAUAGCUGAAGGUUUUGAAAGUGCUCCUAGUGCUCUAGUUGGUCUCUUCUCUGGUCUCAAUGUUGGAAAGCAAGUUGUGAUGAUUUCAUGUGAAUGAAUGGAUUUGGAUCUUUUCCAUUUUCUCUCAAGUUUUUACUUGAAAGGAAAGAUAUUGUGUCAUGGUUAAAUACUUAAAUACGCAAACAUUUCUCAUGUAUUUACUAAUUCUCUGUAUGGUUUGAAAUAUUUAGUCAUUAAUUGAUAAUUUCAUACUAGAUUUCAAGUCAGUUGUACCUAAGUACAUGUAUUUUUGCUACUAGAUACAUUCUGAAAUGCAGAUACAUAGGAAGAGAGGGAGUGAGAGAGGAGAAGGAGAGAUGAGAGAGGCGAGAGGCAAGCAAAAGAGUUAGUGUAUCCCAGAUAUAUGCAAAUUACACUAGAUAAUCUGAGAUAUCAUAUACAAUUCAUAAACAUUCUGAAAUACAGAUACAUAAGGAGAGAGGCGAGCGAGAGAGGGAGAGAGGCGAGCAAUAUAAGAGAUAUGAGUGAGAGAUUCAGUGUUUCCAGAUACAUAUAAAUUAUGCUUGAAUACAGUAUAUCAGAAAUAAAUUGGACCUAAUUUUAAUUAAUAUAUCCAAGAUACAUAUAUUUGGAUGUGUCGCAUACAUGCGUUUGGGAACUGACACAAAUAAUACUUUCAAAGAGGCACAUAAUUAGACUCUAAACUAAAGAAAUUCUUAUUAUUUGCCCUUGAACUUAUUUAGGCAAAUAAAAGGUCGGAAGAGAUUUAAGAUUGCGAGAUUAAUAAUAAUUUAUAAAAUUAAAUAUAUAAUAUAGUAUUAAUUAUCUAAAUCAUAAAAAAGAUUUAUUUUGAUUAACUAAAUCUUAGUCAUUAAAUUUUACUUAUAUCAAUUUAGGGGGGGGAAAUGAAGAGGAGUCGGAUCCAGAUAUAUUCUUCAACAACUCUUGAUUUACAAAGUGAGAAAUGGCAGAGGAAGUGAUGAACAACAAACAGAUCAUUCUAAAACAUUAUGUGGAAGGUUACCCUAAGGAAUCUGAUAUGGAAUUUAAGAAUAAUAACAUUAAAUUGAAUGUUCAAGAAGGUACUAAUGUUGUUGUUUUGAAGAAUCUUUACUUGUCUUGUGACCCUUACAUGCGUUCACGCAUGAGCAAACUUGAGGGUUGCUAUGUUCAAUCCUUCACUCCUGGCUCAGUAAGUCGUUCACUUAUUUUAUUGAGUCGCCCUUAUAAAUAACGAUGUUGGAUUUAUCGAUGUAAAUUUUAUGUUUCCUUCGCCAUGUUAUGAUUGUGGAUUAUUUUUCCUUAAUUAACAUACAAGCAUUUCUAGUUAUUGUUGAAACAAUUUACAAGUGAGUUUAAAUUUCCCAUGCAAUUGUGUAGACCUUGGAUGUUUUUUAUUUAACAUUAUAUAGGGGUUUUGGUAAUGAUGAGUAUAUUUUUUUAGAAAAUGAAUGAGUUUCAUAUAUAUUUUCUUAUAUUUAAUAUGCGCAAGUAAAAAAUAUUUGUGUAUAAUCUAGAUAAAUACUAUGUCAAGUAGGCGUGUGCAGGGGCGGAGCCACGUAGGCUCCAGGGUGUCCAAUUGGACACCCUUCGUACGAAAAAUUAUACUACAUAUACAUGUAAAUUUUUGACUUUAUAUUGGUAUAUAUAGAAUUUGGACCCCCUGAAAUAACAAAGUGAUGCGCAGUGGAGUUGGCAAUAGCCUGUGCAAUCCUACUCUUUGUCUUGGUUCGAAUCCCCGCAGGGAUUUUUUCUUUUUCUGUAAUUAUUUUUACUUCUUAAAUUCAAUCAAGUAAAUAAACAUGCGUAAUUUAAACAUAAAAGUUCAGUAGCUUGGUGGUUAAUAGUAUCAUGAAGGUCUCCAAGACCCAAGUUCGAAUCCCUCCUCUACUAACUAUUUUUUUUCAAUUAAAAUUGAAUCAUUUCCCUAAAUUUUAGUACCUUUUCCUUGUAGAAUAAGAUUUCCUUAAAUUUAAUACUUUUUCUUGUGGAUUUUUUUCAAUUAAAAUUGAAUUAUUUACUUAAAUUUUAAUACAUUUUCCUUGUAGAAUAAGAUUUCCUUAAAUUUAAUACUUUUUCUUGUGGAUUUUUUUCAAUUAAAAUUGAAUUAUUUCCUUAAAUUUUAAUACAUUUUCCUUAUGGAAUAAGAUUUCCUUAAAUUUUAAUACUUUUCCCUUAUGGAAUAAGGUUUUCUUUCUCUAUAAAUAGGAGACUCAUUUACCCAAAUAUCACAAUAUUAUUAAGAAUAGAAUCUCAAUAAUUCUCUCUUUGUUUUUUCUUCUCGUUCUCUUAUUUUAUAACAAAAACAAAAAACUUAAUAUUUUAGUUUCAAGUUUCAAUAGACAUGAAGAAUUAUUAUAAUAGAGUACCAAAAAAAAGUUCGAUAUGGAAUUUAAGAAUAACAACAUUAAAUUGAAACAAUUUACAAGUGAGUUUAAAUUUACCAUGUAAUUGUGUAGACCUUGGAUGUUUUCUAUUUUAACAUUAUAUAUCUAGGGGGUGUUUGGUAAUGAUGAGUAUAUUUUCUUAGAAAAUGAAUGAGUUUCAUAUAUAUUUUCUUAUAUUUAAUACGCGUAAGUAAAAAAUAUUUGUGUAUAAUCUAGAAUACUAUGUCAGGUAGGCGUGUGGGAUAUAUACUGUUUCCCGAUGGGGAUGAGAGUGUAGAUAAAGUGUGUUAGAGAAUGGGGAGGACACAACUGAAGUGGAAUUUCAUUUGUGAAACUUAUUUUCCUACUUCCAGGCAGGGGCGGAGCCAACCUUCUGUUAGGGGUUCAUCUGAACCCCCUUUGACAAAAACAUUACUAUUUAUACAUGAUUAAAAUUAUUUUUUAUGUAUAUAUAAUAGAUGUCGAACCCCCUUCAGUUAGUUCGUGUGUUUAUUUCUUCAGCUAUUGAACCCCCUUAUUAAAAAUCCUAGGUCCGCCACUGCUUCCGGGAUAACUUUUACUAUACGAACAUGAAAAAAUUAUUGGCCAUACGAGUUUGAUAUAGCCCAUUUGAUACCUUCGUAUCCGAGUUCUCAAAAUCUCACUUCAAAGGUGUUGAGUUGGAAUCCCAUUCUAACUAACGAUUCUUGUGGUUCCAGAGGAUCCAACUACAGGAGAACCCAGGAACUCGAAGGGCUCCCCCCCCCCCCCACCUGUUCCGCCCAACUCUUUGGUCUUAAGAACGCUGGCUUAUUGAACAGGGUUCUAUGGUCGGUCCGUGACCCCCGGAUGCCAAAGUCAUCCUUGGGUGAUCUCUUAGUUCCUACGGGGUGGAGAUGCUGGGGUUGGUCCAAGGAUUUUCCUUCCUUUUCUUUUGCCGCAUUUCUCUCAAAGGGUUGAAGGGAGAUAGUGCAUCAAGUUGUUUGCAAGGGCCAACUUGAUCCUAUUCCCCAGGGAUCUCCGAUUAGGGAACCCUGGGAGAGAAAAAUGUUUCCACUGCGCACCCUAUUUCAUUUUUCAUUUCUUGUUCAAGAACUCUUAGAUGUUAGAAACAUUGAGGUUAAGUGAACUUCAUUCUCCCAACUGAAUGUUUAUUCCUUAUGUAUAUAUGAUAUGAAUGGAUUAACAAUUUGUCCUAUGAUAAUGUUUCUCAUAAGUACUUUUCUUUUCUGUUAUAUUAUAGCCUAUCACAGGAUGUGGAGUGGCUAAAGUUUUGAAGUCUGGUGAUUCAAAUUUUCAAGAAGGGGUAGUGGUGAUUUUGGUGGUGGAGAAGAUAGGUAUGUUCCAUUUGAGGUGGAGAAUGGUUCAUCGAGUCAUCGAGGAUCUAUCAAUGAUGAUAUUGAAUGUGGUGAUAGUGAUGAUGAUGAUGAUGAUGAUAAUCGCUCAGCUUUCUAGGAUUACCAUGACUCACCACAGCUAGUUUCAAAGAAUGGUGUUGGACAAUUUGCAAAGAUGUUAGGUUGUUGUGUUGUUGGUAGUGCUGGAAAUAAACAAAAGGUAAGUACUUAAGCAUUUCAUUCUUGAAUUUUAUUAGUGGCUUAUAAGUUAUCUUACUUAUCUUAAUUAAUCAUUGUUAAAUAAUCUAGCUAUCUCAUUUAUUCAUUAUUAAUUAAAGGUUGAUAUGUUGAAGACCAAGUUUGGUUUUGAUGAAGCUUUUAACUAUAAAGAGGAACAUGAUUUAGAUGCAACUUUGAAGAGGUAUGUAAUCUUAUAAAUUCCCACAAGAAAACACUAACUAAAAUGGAAAAAAAAUAGUUUCCAGGGUGAAGGUGGUUGGGGACUUUUUAAUUUUUUUUUUUUAACCCAUCACCUUAACGGUGUGUGUGUGUGUGGGGGGGGGGGGCUUGACCCCUACCAUGUCUAUAACAUCCAAAAAGUUACAAAAGCAGAGGGAGACAUGGACCUAACCUCUUGAUAGUGAACAACGAGGAUAACCUAAGAUGACAUAGACUUUCAUACUAUAAGCAAAAUACGUUGGUUCAACUAACAAAAAAAAUUACAUUUGUUGUAUCUUCUCCUUAUUCUAAAGUUUCCACUUAUCAAGUAGAAAUAGUCCCUUUCACCUUAGAAUUAGAAUUGUGUGUGGUGGAUUGACAUUUCAUUUUGGUUAAAAUGAAUGGGAUUAAUGAUAAAUGAAGAUUUGAACCACUUCUGUAACAUUAAGGGCAUAUAUGAAAAGAUAGCUAAUAUAACGCUAAAGGUAUAUAUGAACUUAUUGUAUAACGGAAAAGCAAUACUAGACCUUUAAUUUUCGAUAAUAUAGGGGUAAAUAUGACCUUUUUUCGUAUUGGUUUAUUCUAUUAGGUACUUCCCUGAUGGAAUUGACAUAUACUUUGAGAAUGUUGGAGGUAAAAUGCUUGAUGCAGUUCUUGUGAAUAUGAAACUUCAUGGUCGUAUUGCUGUGUGUGGAAUGAUUUCACAAUACAACCUUGACAAGACUGAAGGAGUGCACAACUUGUUUUGCCUCAUCGCGAAACGAAUCCGUAUGGAAGGAUUUCUUGUUUUUGAUUACUAUCAUCUUUAUCCUAAGUAUUUGGAAAUGAUCAUUCCACAAAUAAAGGCUGGUAAUAUUGUGUAUGUGGAAGACAUAGCUGAAGGUUUUGAAAAUGCUCCUAGUGCUCUAGUUGGUCUCUUCUCUGGUCUCAAUGUUGGAAAGCAAGUUGUGAUGAUUUCAUGUGAAUGAAUGGAUUUGGAUCCUUUCCAUUUUCUCUCAAGUUUUUACUUGAAAGGAAAGCUAUUGUGUCAUGGUUUAAAUACUUAAAUACACAAACAUUUCUAUCAUGUAUUUACUAAUUCUCUGUAUGGUUUGAAAUAAUAAGUCAUUAAUUGAUAGUUUCAUACUAGAUUUCAAGUCAGAUAUACCAAGGUACAUGUAUUUUUGCUACUAGAUACAUUCUGAAAUGCAGAUACAUAGGAAGAGAGCGAGUGAGAGAGGAGAAGGAGAGAUGAGAGAGGCGAGAGGCAAGCGAAAGAGUUAGUGUAUCCCAGAUAUAUGCAAAUUACACUAGAUACAUGUAUCUGAGACUAGAUACAUGUAUUUGAGAUAUCAUAUACAAUUCAUAAACAUUCUGAAACAAAGAUACAUAAGGAGAGAGGUGAGCGAGAGAGGCGAGCAAGAUAAGAGAUAUGAGUGAGAGAGUCAGUGUUUCCAGAUACAUAUGAAUUACCCUUGAAUACAGUAUAUCAGAAAUAAAUUGGACCUAAUUUUAAUUCAUAUAUCCAAGAUACAUAUAUUUGGAUGUGUCGCAUACAUGUGUUUGGGAACGGAAAUCUGACACAAACAUUAAUUUCAAAGAUGCACAUAAUUAGACUCUAAACUAAAGAAAUUCUUAUUGUUUUCCCUUGAACUUAUUUAGGCAAAUAAAAGGUCGAAAGAGAUUUAAGAUUGCGAGAUUAAUAAUAAUUUAUAAAAUUAAAUAUAUUAUGUAGUAUUAAUUAUCUAAAUCAUAAAAAAGAUUUAUUUUGAUUAACUAAAUCUUAGUAAUUAAAUUUUAUUUAUAUCAAUUUAGGAAAAAUAAAAUGAAGAGGAGCCGGAUCCAGAUAUAUCCUUGGACAACUCUUGAUUCACAUAAAUUGAAGUGAGAAAUGGUAGAGGAAGUGAUGAACAACAAACAGAUCAUUCUAAAACAUUAUGUGGAAGGUUAUCCUAAGGAAUCUGAUAUGGAAUUUAAGAAUAACAACAUUAAAUUGAAACAAUUUACAAGUGAGUUUAAAUUUCCCAUGUAAUUGUGUAGACCUUGGAUGUUUUUUUAUUUAACAUUAUAUAGGGGUGUUUGGUAAUGAUGAGUAUAUUUUCUUAGAAAAUGAAUGAGUUUCAUAUUUAUUUUCUUAUAUUUAAUACGAGUAAGUAAAAAAUAUUUGUGUAUAAUCUAGAUAAAUACUAUGUGAGGUAGGCGUGUGGGAUAUAUAUUGCUUUCCGGUGGGGAUGAGAGUUUAGAUAAAGUGUGUUAGAGAACGGGAGGAGGACACAAUUGAAGUGGAAUUUCAUUUGUGAAACUUAUUUUCCUACUUCCAAGAUAACUUUUACGAUAUGAACAUGAAAAAAUUACUGGGCAUACGAGUUUGAUACCUUCGUAUCCGAGUUCUCAAAAUCUCACUCAAAAGGUUCUGAGUUGGAAUCCCAUUCUAACUAAGGAUUCUUAUGGUUCUGGAGGAUCCAACUACAUGAGAACCAGGAAUGGAGGGCUUCACCCCCCUCCCCCCCUUCCGCCUGACUCUUUGGUCUUAAGAACGUUGGUUUUAAGAAUGAGUCAUUGCCCUUCUCCGACCCUGACUGCCCAACCUUAGAGCGGACAGCUAAUGCGUUCCACUUAUUGAACAGGGUUCUAUGGUCGGUUUGUGACCCCCGGAUGCCGAAGCCAUCCUUGGGGUGAUCUCAUAGUUCCUACGGGGUGGAAAUGAUGGGAUCGGUUCAUGGAUUUUCCUUCCUUUUCUUUUGUUGCAUUUCACUCAAAGGGUUGAAUGGAGAUAGUGCAUCAAGCUUUUCGCUAGGGCCAACUUGAUCCUAUUCCCCAGAGAUCUCAGAUGAGAGAUAUCUGGGAGAGAAAAAUGUUUCCUCCGCGCACCCUAUUUCAUUUUUCAUAUCUUGAUAAUGUUUCUCAUAAGUACUUUUCUUUUCUAUUAUAUUAUAGCCUAUCACAGGAUGUGGAGUGGCUAAAGUUUUGAAGUCUGGUGACUCAAAUUUCCAAGAAGGGGUAGUGGUGAUUUUGGUAGUGGAGAAGAUAGGUAUGCUUCAUUUGAGGUGGAGAAUGGUUCAUCGAGUCAUCGAGGAUCUAUCGAUGAUGAUAUUGAAUGUGGUGAUAGUGAUGAUGAUGAUGAUGAUAAUCGCUCAGCUUUCUCGGAUUACCAUGACUCACCACAGCUAGUUUCAAAGAAUGGUGUUGCUGAAAUUGAUGUGUUGAAGACAUUUUUCUUAUACUUGUAUGGUAUUGUGUCAGCUUGUUCUUGACAUUGUAAGUAUUGAAUUUCGUCGCGUUUUGUCCUUUUUUCAUUGAUGUGUAUUGAAUUAUUUGUAGUAAUGAUUAUAUAUUAGAGAUUCAUAUGCCAGUAGAAAAUGUCGAGAACUUUUUAUUUCGUAAAAUGUUGGCCUAAGAUGAAUUGAGAUGGGGAACAUGAUCAAUGAGGACUGAGACGUAGUAGUUAUUGUUGUUGUUUUUGUGUAUUGAAGCUUCAGAAAUUUUGUAGUCAUUCUUAUACGUUUACUUUAGGUCCUGUGCUUUCUAGGCGUCAUUUCGUCCUAUAAAUUAGAGAUUCCUAUGCAAGUAGGUAAUAUAGAGAACGUCUAGUACUGUUCAUGAUUAUGUUUAUUUCGUAAAGUGUUGUCCUGAGGUGAAUUUAAGUGGGGAACUUGAUCACAUAUAGACGAUCCCAGCUUGUUUUAGACUGAGUGUUGUUGUUUAUUGAAGCUUAAAGGAUGUUUUUGCUCUUCUUAUGUGUUGACAUGGGGAAUAGAUACAAUAAAAGUCUUCUUGGGGAUAAACUAGGGAAGUUAAUUCCCUGCGCCUUUACUGAUGAACACUGUGCACUUUGCGAUGCAAGCUGUUUUGUCCAAGGCCAUUACCGGGUUUUGGCAUCAAAGAUUUCAACCUACAGUGAUGAUGUCUUGGAGAGACUAUUCUUUGAAAGGUAACAUUAAGACUAAUAAUUCCCUUUUUUCUUUGGUUAUGAUUGAGUAGAAAGCUAAAAGUAUUUGGAAGGCAUAUGAUGAUAUAGAGUAGGAAAUAUGUGUACAAUGUGUUUAUGCACUUCUCCAGUGGAUUUGUUUACGAAACAUAGAAAGACGAGAGUAGGAUUAUUAACGAGCUUGAAUGUAUGUGGAUCUUAUGAGUUGACAGCUUCAAUUAGCCAUAGUUUGUGACUUAGUUAAGCCCACAUGUUACACUUAUUAGCUUAUUACUGAUAUAUCGACAAUGGUUUCAAAUGAACUUUUAUGUACACAAAUAGAGGCAGUUCCUGUUACGUACGAGAAUCUCAAUUUUUAUCCAAGUUAGUUCUUCAUGAGUUCAAGACAUAUAAUCUCUUAUGUCUUUCAUUUCUAACCUUUAUGUAGGAAUCUUUUUCCACGAUAUCUUAAUGUCGUCUAUAAAUACUGGCUUUCAAUAUUAUCCUGUUAAUUGUUAUGUUCACUUCUUAACAACUAAUACUAUAGACGGCCUUUGCCUUUCACAGUUGUACCGACAGCUCUUACAACAGCAAUGAAUGUGAACCUCAGCAAUGCAUCCCUUGUUUUCAUCUCAGUCACAUUUGCCACUAUGGUGUGUAACUCUUUCUCCUUAAUAUUUUUUCGAUCAUACAGUUUGUGUCAAUACUGAUAGACUGCAAUUUUUUCUUCAAAAAUUGAGCUCUGAGAAAGCAUGUUUGUUAAACUCACGACCUUAACAUUCGUCGAGGGCUCUAGUAUUUGCAUUUAUGUACCUUGAAAUUUAGCAGUCACAACCCUCUGCCACUAAAGUAAGUGUGAUUGUCAAAGCCUUCAAGGGCCACUCAAAUAAUCGUCUAUUAUCGAUAAGAAUAACAGAUUUCUUACUUUGUUUUCUCCUUCCUUAUUCUGAUACGAACUCUCUGCCCAUCUUUCUCCUAUUCUUCGCAUUUGCUUUCAGGUACUACUUUUAACCACUGAUCUCUUAUGUUUUAUUGUGCUUUUUUAUGGGGGGUAGCGGGCCAGAAGCAUCGAAUUUCUACUUGAUCCUUUGUUAUAGAUGUACAUCCAACAAUAUUAUUCAUAAAUGCAACUUUUUUUUCCAUAUGAGGACUUAAUAGAAUGUGAUUGUUAAUUCGUUAUGGACUAAAAACCUGAAAGCGUCUAUGAAAUAACUAUCUUUGAUGAAUACGAUACAUUUGACAGGGCUCAUAUCUAAGCUGAAUAAAUGGCCUCAAUUAUUUGUGUAAGGUUGGAGUCUCCAAGUGUAAAGCUGCUGGGGAUCAUCUUGGUCAUUUCUUGUAUUAUUUAUUCUCAUUUAUGAAGAAGUAUUCAUAAUUUUCAUCUUCAUCUGUCAUUCAUAAAUCAUAUCCGUAACCUUCACUUGUGCACCAGAUAAAACGUUUACUUUAUCGUACAAUAUUUUCUCGUUUCACAACUAUCAUUGACAAUUUGGAUAAACUUAGGUAAUCUUCUUAAUGAGUGUUUUCGUAAGCUUUAUCGCCUUGUUGAUAACUGUGUCGUUUGUUAAUUUACAUCCGUUUGGUAGAUAAGUCUGACUCUAUUUUAUGAUAAUGCAGUUGCAAAGGUGACAGAAUUUGAGUUUUGGGGGUUUGUCUUUGUUAUGCUUGCUGCAGUUAUGUCUGGAUUUCGCUGGACUAUGACUCAGAUUCUUCUGCAGGUUGUAUUUUGUGACACUCGUUGCAUUGUUAUCGUUGAUUUCUUGUUCCAUUGUUUUGUCAAUAGUAUGUUUGCUUACUUUGUGUAUUUUCUGUUUGUUUUCCCAUAUCCAACUGGUUGUGCUGAACAUAAAACUGGCAUAAAGAAAGAAGCCUAUGGUAAGGACUAUGAACAACUCUUGGCAAAUUUUAAAUAUUCUGGAAAUGUUAUUAUCACCAUCAUCAUUAUUAUUAGCAGUCGUAGCAGCAGCGACUGCACCACUACUUAGACUACAUCAAAUCUGAUCUUGUUUUAAAAGGGCAGUCCGAUGCACGAAGCAUCUCACAUUCACGCAGGGUCCAAGGUAGGGCCACACCUCAAGAGAGCAUGAUGUAGGCAGCCUACCCUGAUACAAAUCAGCGGCUAAUUCCAUAGCUCAAACCCUGCUUUGUCUUAGUCCUAGUUUUGACCAAAUUAAUAUGUUGAUUCGUUAUUUGUUUUAUAGUUUGUGAAUAAAUUGUGUAAUGAAAUGCAUGCUUUGGUUAUUGCAGGUCUAAAAAAUCCACUCACACUAAUGAGCUAUGUUACUCCAGUAAUGACUCUUUCAACUGCUGUGUUGUCCCUUAUUUUUGAUCCGUGGCACGAAUUCAGACACACCAAUUACUUUGAUACGUCAUGGCAUAUAGCUAGAAGUUGUUUGUUGAUGCUUUUUGGCGGAACUUUGGCUUUUUUUAUGGUAUGUAUGUGUCUAAGCACUGGUAUCAGUUCAAUUUGUGGAUUUUCCAUCUCAUAGUGAAAAUGAAGCCUUCUAAUAGGCUUAGUUCGUUUAGAAAUGAUUAUCAAUUAUUAAAGAACUUGGACGAACAUAACGAUAACUUCUUCAUGCUUACCUAGCAACGUUUGUUUACUGCAGGUGUUUGUUCCUAGCACUUCAGUCGUCCUAAAUCAAAACGACUGUAUGUUUACUUAAGCUAUAGUAGUUCAAUCAAAAUUGUUGAUAUCGAGCCAUUUUUAGUCGAAAACGUGACUUUGGCAUGGUUUAAUGGCAUGUGUUGAAGUCGUAAUUUUUCCAUUUUCCUUACUCAGGUAUGACAAAAUUACAUAAAGGUAGCACAAGUGAAGAUGAAACUGGAUCACCAUUAGGAUAUGCAGCUACCAAGUAUGUUAUACUUGAAGAAAUGGAAGAUCAAGACCAUGGUCCUUGAAGUAUUAUUACAUAUGACAUUCCAACUACGCUGCACUCUGAUGGCGUUUUGUAUUUGCAACGGAAGGAAAGGGACGAAAAAAUGCAUAGAUUUUCUAGCAAAUGAAGGUCAAUCGUAUACAUGAGGAAGAUUUCUUAAUCAAGGAAGAUGAGGAAGUUGAGAUUUUUCGCCUAGUAGACUUUAAGACAUGUUGCUUAUAGAAGAUAUUAGGACUUGAAAAAGAAACUUACAAAAAUGUUACUGGUUAAGAACUAACUACUUAAAUACACUACAUUACAAUAUUCGGAAUUUUACCAGAUUUUGGUGCAUCGAGAAAAUAUGUACUAGGAAUAAAAUAAAGAUUAUUUCGCUCGAUCUAGGUAUCGCCUAUAAGUUUCUCAAAAGAUUAUUUUACAUGACAUGUUUAAUAUUACAAAAUUAAAGUGUAUUUUGAAACAUUAUACAUAUUUUUAGUUUAAGAUCAUGAGAUUUUAAAAGUCGUCUUUACUUUCUUAUAUCAAUAUUAUGUAUAACCAAGACAUACAAAUUAAAAUUAAGGGAGUAACUUAAUUAGUACUAAUUUUUUUUUAAAAAACAAAUUUACCACUAGACAGUGUCUAGUGGUAUUUUAUUAAACAUAAAAAAUAUCAACAGGAACAAGUACAAGCAAGGGGGCUAGGCCUUACCUUACUAAUCCUAAUAAAGUACCUAACAAGCAUGAAGAAAAUAAGAGCUAGAGAGAACUAAAUAUUUUUUUAUUAUCACAAAGUUUGUAAUACACUCAAUGAUGAUAUUACAAAUGAGGAUGCUUAAAUAAUGUAAAAGUAUGUCAAUCAAGAAGCAAGUUGAGUUACCAGCCUAAAACUUUCUAUUACUAAAGCAUGAAUUAAAAAAGAUUGAUUAUCCAUCAAAAGUAACUUGAAGUAUUUUUCUCUUGUCUUCUUCUUCAAACCUAUCCAACAACACUUGAUGAUUCAUACCUUCUUUAUGGAUUUAUUGGAUCUAGUUGAACCUAUUGAUACUGUCAAAUGGUUUUGCUUUGCCUGUCACAUUGGUAGGUGCCUUGGAACAAACUCCUCAGUCAUUUUACCGUCCCAACUAUGUUGCCUUCCAUAUGUCUUCUUUUUGCUUUUGUUGCUUCCACUUCUUUGUUGCCUAGGUGAUAUAUCCCCUUCCUUAGCCACUCUAUCAAAGCAAAUGUCCAACAUAUUGUCUUCCUCAUCUUCAUCAAGAGAAUCCUCACCCAAAUUCACUCCAUCUUCAUCAAGAGAAUCCUCACCCAAAUCAAUUGUAUUUGACACUAAGACACUCGACUCAUUGUUCCUUGCAAGCACACAUUUAGGCACAAAUACAAGAGCUUCUGGACUUAAUUUGCUAUUUAAAGCAGGUGGUGAGACUUGUUUUUCUUGGAUCAAAUCGUGGUCAUUCUCUGUUAACCUUAUUUGAUUUGCUUGACACUAUUCUUUUAGUACUGGAUACAUGACAAUUCCAACACAAAUGACAAACCCAAUAACACAGAUGAAAGGACAACUAAAUUUCUUUUUAAAAACUAUUUUAAAUUACUCUAUUAAUUAUUCUAAUAUAUAAUUUUUUUUUAUCUCAAUAUAUGUGAUACUGAUAAAUUUUCGAGAAUACUCACAACUAUUGAAUUCCACAUGCAGUUUGUGUGGCUGUGUGCGGAAAGCUCUAUAUGUCUCCAUCUUUUUUAUUUCUUUUUCUUUAUACUUGAAAAUGUCGUUUGUUAGGUGGGAUAAGACGUGAUACUUUUGAGUUACUCUAGAGAUAAAAUUUAUUUCAUUAGUUGAGAUAUUUAAUGAGAAAAUUAGUUAUCUCACUAAUAUAUAUAAAAUAACUUAUUUUAUUAUAGUAAAAUAAAUAAUUUCAAAACCGACUUAUGCUUCUAAUUAAAUGAAAAAUAAAAUUAUUUAUAUUUUAUUUUGAAAUUAUUAUCUCGUUUUCUUGGUACCAAUUUGAUAUGAACCGUUAAGCUUUUCCUCUUCAAUUAUUUGGGAGCACGCUUAGUUCUUAUUUUUUGUAUUAUAUAGUUUUAAUAAAUAGUGAUUUUAGUGAUAAUUUCAGUUUUAUUUUAUGUGUUAUUUGACUAUACACAUUUAAUCUUAAAUUAUUAAAGUUGGGGUUUUGAUGCCUGAAGUUAACAAAAGUUAACUACAUUUAUUUAAUAAAAUGAUUAUUUGAAAAUAUUAAAAAUAGAAUAAAUGGUUGAUGAUUCUAAAUACUUGAGUGAAUAGAUUUACUCCAGUCCCUUAGCAAAAUUAAAAAAGCAAGUCAUAUCAUCUUCCAUUCUAAGUAUUCGAUUAAAUUCCUAGCUAAAACGAUAGUCUAGUUUUAGAAUUUAAUUACUCAAUCACUUUUUUGUUUGAAGACAAGGUUAGAAAAUUCGCAAAAUCACACUCUUUAACAUCUUGACACAAGCCUACUCUUCGUGGGAUCAACCCAAAUUUUUAUAAAAUAAGCAAAAAAAUUCAUAACAAAAAUAUAAUAUAUUAUCAUAAAAUUAUUUUUAAAAUCUACAAUUUUUAUUGAUUGAACUUUAGUUUAAUAAAAAAAAUUAUAAUUAAAUAUUACUCCCUCCAUCCUAUUUUAUGCGGCACUUUUUGGAUUUCGAUAUUCAAACAAAUCUAUCUUUGACAGUAAAUUUUUCAUAGAUCUUUUAAACAUUUUGAAUUAUCAAUUAUUGUGAAUUUUUGUACUUUCUACAUAGUUUACAAAUAUAUAAAUUACAUUUUAAAAAAUUGCAGAUUUCGUACGCAAAUUUUCGGUCACACUUAAACUGUUUGACUCUCGAAAAAUGAAAAUUGUCACAUAAAUUGGGACAGGAAAAUAAUAAUAUUAAUAUCUAGCAAUAUUUAAUAAUUUACCGGUUGGUACACCUAACAACCUCGCACAUGAAUAGCAACAAUAUUUUAAUAAAAGAUCCGUACACAUUUAUGUAAUCUGACUGAUUUGAAUUAUGCGAAAUAAAAUUUAUCUUAUAAAUUGAGAUAUUUUAUGAGAUAAUUAAUUAUUUUACUACAUAUAAAAAAAUAAUUUAUCUCACCAUUAUAAAUUAUAUAAUUUAAGAACUAACUAAUACUCCUUAUUAUAUUAAAUAAAAAACAAUUUUAAAUUUUAGAUCAAAAUAAUUACCUCUCUUUUUCCUCUUCAAUUAUUAGGGUCACGUUUAAACGACUUGCACAACAUUUCUAGCUGUAAUUGGUAGGUAAAGUCCUUCAGUGAACAGCUAAAAAAAACAAAAAAAAAAAGAAUAAAGCAUAGAACAUGUGGGAAAAAAGAUAUUAUUCCCUCCAUAUUAUUGUGUAGGUGACAUCUUUUCACUUUGACACUAAAUUUAAAAAAGAAAAGAUUUUGCAAUUUAUAAUUUAAAAUAAUUUAUAGUUAUCUAAAUAUCUAUGACUCGAUUAUUUUAUUACAUAAGUUUUAAAAAAUGUUCUUUCUUACUUUCUUAAAUUUAAUGUUGAUUUAAACUAAUCUGGUCAAUUUAUGUAGCACUUUUCAUUUUUUUGAUAGUCAAAUGGUCUAAUAAAAAAUUUGUGCAUGUGAUCUUCAAAUUUUUUGAAAUUAAAAUUACAUAUUUAUAAACUACGUAAUAGUACUAGAAAUUACAAAGAUAUAUAAAAAAAUUUAUAAUCAAAGAUAAAAUUGUUUGAAUAACAUUUAAUUAUGUGAAUACUCCCUCCGUCCUAUUUUAUGCGGCAUUUUUUGGAUUUCGAUAUUCAAACAAGUCUAUCUUUGACAGUAAAUUUUUCAUAGAUCUUUUAAACAUUUUGAAUUAUCAAUUAUUGUAACUUAUAGUACUUUCUACAUAGUUUACAAAUAUAUAAAUUACAUUUAAAAAAAUUAUAGAUUUCGUACGCAAAUUUUUGGACACACUUAAACUGUUUGACUCUCGAAAAAUAAAAAUUGUCACAUAAAUUGGGACAGGAAAAUAAUAAUAUUAAUAUCUAGCAAUAUUUAAUAAUUUACCGGUUGGUACACCCAAUAACCUCGCACAUGAAUAGCAACAAUAUUUUAAUAAAAGAUCCGUACACAUUCAUGUAAUCUGACUGAUUUGAAUUAUGCGAAAUAAAAUUUAUCUUAUAAAUUGAGAUAUUUUAUGAGAUAAUUAAUUAUUUUACUACAUAUAAAAAUAUAAUUUAUCUCACCAUUAUAAAUUAUAUAAUUUAAGAACUAACUAAUACUCCUUAUUAUAUUAAAUAAAAAUCAAUUUUAAAAUUUUAGAUCAAAAUAAUUAUCUCUUUUUCCUCUUCAAUUAUUAGGGUCACGUUUAAACGACUUGCACAACAUUUCUAGCUGUAAUUGGUAGGUAAAGUCCUUGAGUGAACGGCUAAGAAAAAAGAAUAAAGCAAAUUAUUGCAGGUGACAUCUUUUACACUAUAUUUUAAAGCAAAUUAUUGCAGGUGACAUCUUUACACUUGACUAUUUUAAAACAAAAAAAAAAUUAAAAUUUAUAAUUUAAAAUAAUUUAUAGUUAUCUAAAUAUCUAUGACUCGAUUAUUUUAUUUCAUAAGUUUUUUAAAAAAAUCUUUCUUACUUUCUUAAAUUUAAUGUUGAUUUAAAUUAACUUGGUCAAUUUAUGUAGCAUUUUUCAUUUUUCGAUAGUCAAAUGGUCUAAUCGAAAAUUUGCGCAUGUGAUCUUCAAAUUUUUUGAAAUAAAAAUUAUAUAUUUAUAAACUACGUAAAAGUACUAGAAAUUACAAAGAUAUAUAAAAAAAAUUAUGAUCAAAGAUAAAAUUGUUUGAAUCUUAUGAAAGCAAUUAUAUUAUUAUCGGUGGUCGUAUUUGUACUACUAAGUCCGUGAUCACCUCCUUUCGCAUGUUAACUGCUUUUCAUUACUUGUACAUUUCAUAAUUUUUUAAAUACAUUAUACAUAUUUUUAAUUUACAAUUAUGAGGUUUUAAAAGUCGUAUUUACUUUCUUAAAUUAAUAUUCUGUCAAACUAAGACACAUAAAUUGAAAUUGAGGGAGUAACUUAGAGGGUGUUUGGAUUGAUUUAAAAAUUGAUAAAACGUAGUUUUAAGUCAGUUUUUUUACUUUUGAAAGUGUGACAAAUACAUAAGCUUGUUAAAAUACAAACCCAAUAAUUACAAGUUAUCUUUCUUUGAUCAAGUUAUAUAUACAUUACUUGUUCAUUUCAUUCUUUUUAGGACAAGUUAAGUUUGAGUACAUUUAACCAUGAACUAUUCAAUGCAAGUUAAUAUUUUGUCCAAAAACCUCAUUAAACCAUCAUUACCAACGCCACAACACCUUAAAAAUUACAAGUUAUCUUUCUUUGAUCAAGUGGUGGAUGUAAUACACUUACCUCUUGUUCUUUUCUAUCCUCAUUGUAGAAAUAACUCGAAAAAUGAAGAGCUCGAAGAGUCCUUUUCGAGGAUUUUAACACAUCUUUACCCUUUAGCUGGUCGAUUUUCUGAAGAUGAAUCGUCAAUUCUUUGUCUCGAUCAAGGUGUAAGUUAUAUAAAAGCAACGGUCAAUUGUAAGCUUGAUGAUUUCCUUCAACAAGCAAACAAAGACCCUGAUCUAGCAUUGUCAUUUUGGCCUCAAGGAACUAUGGAUGUGGACGAGACGAAUUUAUUCGUCACGCCAGUUAUGGUUGUGCAAGUCACAACAUUUGAAUGUGGUGGUCUAGCCCUAGCUAUUAGCCAUGCACACCCUGCUAUGGACGGAUCCACCACAUUCAAAAUCAUUUACGAAUGGGCUAAAGUGUGCAAAUUUGGUACUCCUUCUAAGGAGAUCAACUUCAUGAACUUCAAUUUAGGCACUCUUUUCCCUUACAAGAAAGAUCUAACAACCAUUCUUGAGCCUCCGGUUGACGAAGGCAAACGUCCAAACUCUAAGUUAAUUGCCAGAAAGUUUGUUUUUGAGGAAGAUGCAAUAUCGAGGCUCAGAGAAAAAUUUGACUCAACAACUGGCGAAGGUUUGAGUUUCAAACCUUCGAGAGUUGAGAUGAUUACAACACUUUUAUGGAGGUCACUUAUCCGUUCCACAGGAAGUACUUCACAUUUGAAACGGUCUGUAAUGUCAUUUCCACUUAACUUGCGUGGUAAAGUAGCAACUUUUCCUGAAAUUGCCAACUCUUUUGGGAAUCUUAUCAUCGAUAUUCCAAUAAAAUUUGAACACGACGAUGAAACAAAAAUGGAGUCGUUGCAUCACAUUGUAAAACUCAUAAAAGAGUCAGUUCAAGUGAUUAUCAGUAAAUGUGUCAAAGCUACUCCGGAUGAAAUAGUUUCUUUGGUUAUCGACUUAUACAAGGAUAGUUACGCCGGAUUAGAAUGGGGAGGAGACAAUGAAGUUGUGAAUUUUACAUGCGCAAGUUUAUGUAGGUUCCCCAUACAAAAAACUGAUUUUGGUUGGGGAAACCCAAGUUUAAUGCACUUUGGGUCAAGACAUAGCCAAGUUUUUUGGUUGUAUGAUACUGAAUGUGAGACUGGAAUUGUUGUGCAAAUGGAAUUGGAGGAAAAAUACAUGGAUAAACUUGCAUGUGACCAAGAUAUCAUGGAUUUUGUUAAAUUUUAGGGUUUAAUUUUCAUGUUCUUUCUUCAUUUAAUUUGUACUCCCUUUGUUUUAAUUUAAGUACGUGUGUUGCUAUUGCUUUUCUUUGGUUUAAUUUGUUUUGAAUAUAAAUAUCACUUUCUAUGAACACGCUUUGACUAUAAUUAAGUAGCAUUUCACUACAACAAAUGUGAUAUUUAGUUACGAAAUUAUUAGGUAAGAUACUAAAUUCGUCACUAAUUAUUCACCUUUUGUGACAACAAUUAUAUUUCGUGUUUAAAUGUAUGAGCAAAAUACUUUUAGUGACGAAACAUACAAUUUCGUAGCAAAGUUUUGUCCAUUUAAGUUUCCCACCAAAAAAAAGAUUGGCGCCAUUUAUUAAGAACUAUUAGUGACGCAUUUUAAGUUAUCAACGACAACUUAUUUUGUCACUAAUAAUGCAUCCAAUUUGUGACAAAUUAUUAUUUGUCUUAGAUGAGUUAUAAUUUUGGACACGAAGAUUUUUUUUUUACUAAAGAUAAGUUAUUGCAAUAGCGACAAAUUAGAAUUUGUAGUCAAAUGUUGUAAGCUUUAGCCACAAAAUUUAUAUUUAAUUGCUAUCUAAAUUUUUGUCACUAAUAAUAUAAUCAAUUAGUGACAAACAUUUUCUUUUCUCUAAUCAACUUAUGAUUUAGUGACAACAUACUUUUGUCACAUAAUAUGCAAUAUUUAAAAAGCAAAAAUUUAAAAUUUGCAGCUGAAUAAUUUUAUUAUUUUCUAUUUUUUUUUAGCUAAAUAUAAAAUAAUAUUUGAUUAGGCUUAUUAUUUACAAUUGCAAAUAGCAACUGACGAAUAUUUCUUUAAAGCGUUCUGUAUAGGUAACAACAAAAGAAAACUAUAGAAUGAUAUAAUGAUAUGAUGAUAACGUCAAAUUAUACCUUAAGAAAAUUCAAGUGCCGAUGCUAACAUAAAAUCUAAUGUGAGUGGGGAUUGUGAUAUGACAGAGAGCAAUUAUACAAAAGAUAACAUCGAUGGUAAGUUUAUUUUGCAAAUUUUUUAAAUAUUUUAUGGAUAUUUAAUUAACUAUUUUCUAUAAUGACUAAAAAUAAGUUUAAUUGUGGAGGUCUCAAGAACCCCAACUAUUUGAUUUUAAUAAAAUUAGGGAUAAGGGUCUGAAAAAUACCCCAACUUUGGUCGAAUUUGCUGUUGCGAUACUAAACUUUCAUGUGGACCUAUUACCUCCCUUAUGAUGUUUGAAUUUAGAUGCAUAUCUAAAUAUUAUGAUGGGAAUUUAGAUUAAGAUGUAUAAAUCUAAAUAUGCAUCUCAAAAUUGAGAUGUUUUAAAAUUUGAAUACUAAAUAAUUAUGAUUAUUAUAAAUAUAUUAGUAUGUAAAAUUUAUCUUUAUUUAUAAUACUAAUAAAAAAAUUAUUAAAAUGUGAACUUAAUCUAAUAAUAUAUCAAUAAUAGUUUUUUUAAAAAAAAUAAAUUAAUGGCAGUUAGUAGUGACGAUGCCUAGUUGUGGUGGUUGUGGCCUUGUGGGUGUGGAUACCCUGUUUUACCAAAGAUAUUUUUAAUUAAUUAAUUAAUUCAUUUUUCUUUUAACUUAAUCAAGUUUCGUGAAUUUCAAACAAAGUGAAAUAACUAUUUAAAUGUGUCAAAACUAUUUUUAUAAUUAUUGUUGGUGCUAUUUUGUUAUUUCAUUUACCAAAAUAUCCUAAUAUACUAUUAUAUAUUUUACAUAUAAUUUUAAGUAUUAAUUAUUUCAUUUUAUUAAUUUAAAAACUACUUUAUUUAUUAAAAAACCAAAAGUGAGUAUGUUUUUUAUUUUGUCAAAUUAAAGCCAACUGUGGUUUAAUUAUAUGAUCAGGACUCCACUAUUACUAAUAAUUACUUUAUUUUGCUAAAUCAAAGGAUUUCAUUAUUAAAUUAAUUAAUGAUUAUCUCAAUUUUACUACAUAUUGCCUUUUUCAUAAAUAUCUUCAAUUAUAAAUAAUUGAUUAAAUUUGAUUAUUUAAUCAAUAAUUGGUCACAAUUGCAACGUGAAUCGGUUAUGUUUGAAAGAAUUAUGGCUAUAACUUAAAAGAUGAUUGAUUAAUUUUUAAAUUUAAUUUGGGUCAUUUUCACUCUUAAAGAACAACUUUCAAUCUUAGCUCUUUCCCACGUCAACUUUAGUAAUGACCCUAAGAUGGACUGGUUUUGAUAAUUUGUCCCUUCUAAAUUUUUUAGUCUAAAAUGACCUCCGUAAUGGGUGAUCUUGAUUUUUCAACCCCGUUAAAUAUUAUUUUUUUCUUUUAUAAAAAAUCCUUUACUUUAGAAAAUUCUAACUUUUGCCCAUAAGACAAUUUUCAAGAUAUUUUAAGACAAUAAACCUUCUCAAUUGACAUGAAGUUCUGCCUAUCAACAAAAAUUAGAACUUAGGUAUGAUCAGACACGAUUUCUAACUUUUUUCCCCUUAAGACAUUCAAUCAAGACAUCUUAAAAUAUAAUUUGUUCAAUUCAAACUUCGAUUAAGGUAAAUUUAAUCUUUUAUUUUAAAAAAAAUACUAUUAUACAACAUAUAAAAUUAAUUCAAUAUGAUUCGAUAAUUUUAAAUUUUAUUUUGAUAUUUUGCAGUAUCCAUGAAACAUUGGCAACCAUAGUUGAUUCAACUUCGAUUUAUUUAUAGUCAUAUAAUAUAGAAUUAUGAUUUAUAUUUUUUUUAAAAUAAACAUAUAAACAAAUUAUAUCAUAUUUACACCUUACAAUCUUACGUAGAAAUAUAUGUUAAGGAAAUUACAAGCUACCUUUUUUGUGAAUCAAUAAUUUUGGUAUCUGUUUCAAUAUCAAAUAUUUUGUAGUCAAAAUUUAAACAUCUUCACAUUUAAUUUUGUACUAACAUUAGGUUGUAUGAUAUAUACUAUAACUUUUUAUGUAGCUAUACAUUUUGGCAUAUUUAUAAAUAUCUAAUACUAAAAGAAUUUAAUAUAUAUAUAUAUAUAUAUCAUAAUACUGCAAGCACAGUAUUAAAAUUUUUGACUUGAUAUCUAAUGUAUCACGUGCACCAUAAUGUUGUGCGUUAACUCAUUUAAUUGGGCUACAAAUGAUAGAUUAUAUCAGUUUGCCAAACACAUAAUUUCAUUUUAUUCUAGAGGUCUAGUUUGAUGCUACAUAUCAACUGAUGUGGUAUACCAAAUCAAAUAAAUGAGAAAAUAAGAUCAUGUCACAUAUCAAAAUGACAUAACAUUACAUUUGAUGAGAAUAAAAAUAUACAACCGCAUUUGACUUGUUUCGACAAUUAAAUAUCACCAUGUCAUUUGAACCUGACAAAUCAAAAACAAUUUAUUCUCAUCAAAAUUUUUCAUCUUAUAAUUAUAAAUAAAUAGGAGUUCCUAAUUAAGAAAAGUCAUUAAAAUUUCAAAAAAAACAACCGUGGGUCAAGAAUUACAAAUUUUCUAUAAGUUGCAAGCAUUCAAACAUUUGUGUACACAUUAUAAUUACUUGAAAAUAAAGGACAUAGAUAAAUUAAAUAUCAAAACCUUCCAGAUCAAAUUCACUUGUUUGUGGAAAAACUUGUUUAAGGCGGUCAUCAAAGUACUUAUGACAAAUCAAAUUCAAGUCAAAAUAUAUCAAAUCCAACAUAAAUUCAAGAUCAAAUUAAAAACGUUUGAAAUUAUUUUGAAAAUGAAGAACUAGAAGAUUUAUACAAAUUGUAACACUCAUAAUAUUUUUCUAUCUUGAUUAUUAAUUUUUAUACACAAAUUUUAUUGUUUGUAGCCAUAAAUUAUGGGUAAUAUAAUAAAUUUAAAAUGUGAAAAUAAAAGGAAAUCAACACAUUUCCCUGCAUCCACCAGGUAUCUUUAUAUUAUAAUAAAUACUUAAUUUUCUACCAAACUUUCUUUUUAUAUUUAUAUUUCCCUUUGUUUUAAUUUAUUUUCCAAUGAUUCAAAAAAAAAAAAAAAAUUCCAAACUCUUUUGUUUUUAGUUUAUUUUUAAAAUAAAUUCUCUUUCCUUAUUGUGGUAAGUCUUUAAUUAUAAUUUUUACAUGAUAUAUUUAAAAUUAGAAGAUUAAAAACUAUUUUGACACACUUCACUUAUUUUUAGUUUAAGAAUACACAAUUUAAAAACUCUUAUUUACUUUCUUAAAUUUUAUGUUAAGUCAAAAUCAAAUAAAUUUCUUAAAUUUUAUGUCAAAUAAAAAUCAGAUAAAAGUAUUUAACAAAAUCACAUGAAGAAAGUAAAAGAGGGUAUUCAUUUCCAAAUUUGUAGGAAAAAAACACACGUAAUUCUCUCAUUUCCUGUUCCUUCUCCACAAAUCUCUCUUUUAGUUAUUAGCCACAUCCACUCCUUAUCUCCCCACGUAAUACUUCUCUCCCAUUAUCUUCAUUUUUAUUUUUUAUUUUUAUUGAAUUUUGAGUUUUUUAUCUGCAUAAUCCUUAAAUAUAAUAUGAAUAUGCAACUCUCUUACUUUCUGCUAUACCUCAUUUGAAUUUUUAGUGGGUUUCUUAAGUUUAUUUUAAUUUGUGAACUUUGUCUCCCUUCACUCUAGUGUUCUUUUUUUUAAAAAAAAAAUAGUAUGAUAAUUUAACUACGAGUUACUUGUGUUUAGCCUAUGAGUUUGUUCUGUGUUAGAGACUUUUAGGGACUUGUUAAAAAAUAUGAUCUAAUUUUUUCGACUGCUCUAUAUACUAAGUAAGUUUCUUCAUCUCGAUUGUUGAUUUUUUUUUGUUUGCAGACAAAACUCAAGGUCUAUAUCUUUAGAAAAGAGGGAAUGACAAUUUUACCAUGUAAUUUGAGUUAGUAUCUUUUCUAUUUAUUUCUCAUUCUAAUAUCAAUUUUACAAUUAAAUUUUGAAAAUAUGUCAUGUUUAUAUCAUAAUUGCAGCGAGUACAUAUUAAAAUUGUAUUCUUUUCCUUUUCACACAGGUAUGUACAUGAAUGGAAAAAUUGAAUGAAGAGUAAAGUUAUCAGAUAAGUUGUUUACAUUAGCAUAUAAGAAGUAACAUUUUUAUUUUCUUAUUGACGACACAUUAUGUACAUUCGUUAGGAUCAUAUAAUAAUCUUUAAUGAGAUUAUUUCAAUAUUAUUUUAGUUCUAAAAUAUUAUAGGAUCAUGAGUGACACUUUUUGUUAUUAUGUUAAAUUUUUUAUUUUGUUAUGUUGAGUUUAUAUUAUAAUAUGAUAUCUGCUAAGUUUAAAAAUUAAAUUUAAUAUUUGUCAUGAUGUUAAUUUAAUAAAUUUUUACGACUUAGACUUUUCCUUGUAAAAUUUUUAUAUUGAUGAAUUAAUUAAUCUUGUAAAAUAUGAGAAAAUUUGGCACCAUGUAUAAAUUAUAAAAUUAACGAGAAACUAGUGAAUUAUUACCAUUUACAAGUUUGAACGUCAUCAAAUGUUUGUUGUUUUAACUGUAUGAUAAUGGAUGAAUUUUAUUAUUAUUUAAGAUAUUUUAAUUAUUUAUUUUUCAAUUUAUGUAAUUCUAAUUUAAAAAAUAAUAUCAAUACGAAUAAUUAAAUGUCAUCGAAUAUUUGUGCUCAUCAAAAGAUUAUAUCAUCAAAAGUAACUUUUAGCAAGGACUAAAUCAUACUUUUCAAGACAAAUAUUUUUUUCACAAAUAAAUUAUUUCGUCAUAAGUCGACUACAUUUAGUGACAAACUAUAUUGUCACUAAUCAUGAUUAUUUACAGUGACAAGUAUAUCUUGUCGGUAAAAACAAUACUUUUAGUGACAAGAUGAUAGAUUUAACUACGAAAUUGUUAACCUUUUUAUGAUGAUAAAUUUGUCCCUAAUUUAUAUAUUUUAGGACGAAAUAAUUUUUUUAUAUAAAAACAAGUCAUUAGUGACAAAAUUACAUUUUUUCAACUACUAAAUACAUAUAACUUUAGAGACAAUUGAUGUUGUCACUGAUUGAACUAAAUAUAUAGUGAUGGUGUAAUUUUGUCGGUGAAAAUAACUUUUUAGUGACAAAAUCAUACUAUUAACAAAAAAUUUACACUUUUUAUGACAUAUAGAUUUGUCACAAAUAUCGACACAUUUGGGGACGAUUUUUCUUUUUGUAGUUAAUAUAACUUUGUUAGUGACGAUGCACUAAAUCGUCUUUGUAUACUUUUAGUGACGACUGAUUGACGAAAUUUUUUUCGUCACAAGAUCUUUGGUGACGAACUAUGAUUUAUAAGUGACGAAAUCAUUUGUCCUUGAUAGUCAAAUUUGUUGUAGUGUUUUAAGUUGUAGAAAAGAUUAUACUAAAAUAAAUGGGAGAAGGCACAGGUACCCCUAGACUAUGAUAGAAAUUCCAGAGACAUACCUUAACUAAACUAAAGUCCUAUUACCCCCUGAACUCAUUUUAUAUAUAAUAUUGUACACCUUUUGGCUUAUAUAGACUAGAGCUGUCAAUAUGGGCUAGCCCACCCCAUCCGGGCUGACCCAUACAGGCUUUGACAUUUUACGGGUCAGGCCGGGCUAGCCCAUUUUUGGUGUGGGUUAGAAAACGAUCGGCCCAGCCCACAAGUACAUGGGCUACAGGCUUGCCGGGCUAGCCCACUUUUUUUAAAAUUAUAUAUUUUUUAUAAUUAUUAAAAUAAAUUAUAAAUUAUAAUUUAAAAAUAUUAUCAUAAAUAUCGACAAAACAAUAUUACAUGGUGUUAAUGUUACUACUUGUUAAUCAAAUCCACAAAUAAAAUUAUCUUUAUAAUAAUUAUUAAGGUUUUUUCAAAUAAAAGUAUAAAUAUCUAAAUAGAAAUAUUAACAUAAUUGUUUUGUCACAUUAAAACACAAAAAAUGUGACAAUAUUCCAACCAUAAAAAAGUUAAAAAUAAACUCCUUAAAAAAAUCAUGAAACUUAUGGCAUAUCUAACANNNNNNNNNNNNNNNNNNNNNNNNNNNNNNNNNNNNNNNNNNNNNNNNNNNNNNNNNNNNNNNNNNNNNNNNNNNNNNNNNNNNNNNNNNNNNNNNNNNNNNNNNNNNNNNNNNNNNNUUUAAUUUUAAAUUUUAAUAUUAUAUUAUAUUUUUAAAAUUAUUUUUAUUUGGCCCACGGGCCGGCCCUACCUAUAUUUCUCAAGCCCCACAAAUCAGCAGGCUUAUUCAGGCUGGGCUAAAAAGCCCUUUUCUUAAAUGGGCUCCAAAAAUCUUAGUCCAGCCCUAUUAAAUCCCGGGUUAGGCCAGGCCGGCCCAACGGGCCUAGCCCAUAUUGACGGCUCUAAUAUAGACACGUGAUUUUUGACCGAGCAUAAGACUUUACACUUGUUUUUAUUCCUUAAAUAUUUAUUUUAGGUUAAGUUAGAUAUUUUGAUUUUUGUCUUAUUUUAGUAAGUUUAUUUUAAAAGAUUUGAAAAUAACAAAAAAGAAAAGAUAUUUUCAAUAUAUUAAACUUGUUGGACAUUUAAAAAAGAAACUCGUUGGACAUUUAAAAAAUAUUUUCUUUGAUUAUAAUCUUUUUUUUAAAAAUAUUUUACAUUAUUAAUAAUUCUGAUUAAACCAAAGUAGCGUGUGAUUUUGAUUUGCUUUAAUAUCAUGCUGGAAUGAGUCAAAGAUUGUUAGAAUAAAUAAAUAAAUAAAUAAAUAUAUAUAUCAGUUUUUAUUUUGGGCCUAAGAAUUAUAUGAAGGGAUGGAGUUUUAAAUUUCAGUUAUGUGCUUUUGCGGGCUAUUUUUGCUGUUAGUUUUAUUAUUAUUUUGUACCAAUAAUAAAAUAUAAUUUUUAAUAUUGCUUUAAUUAGUUGAUAUUUUAUUAUAAUUUAUUAUUUAUAUGUAUAGUUAAUUAUUAUUUUUUUAAAAGUAAAAUAAAACUAAAACUAAAAAUAAGAAAAUAACUCACCCCCACAAAUCCCAUAUACUCACCGUUAUCAUACCACAUUCUCGAGUCAUGAUGGCACCUACUAUACCCUACCAGUAGGUAAGCCAACCCGUAACCCAGAACAUCAAGCAAUGAGUGAAAGGGCAAAAACUAGCGAAAAUAAUAAUCUAAACCAGAAUAACAAGGCGGAAGCAACCCAAAAUAAAUAUAUACAGAAAUACCCUCCCAGAACCUGGAAGUCACUAGUACAGAGCUAUACUAAUAAAGAGUACAAGUCCCAAAGUGGACCACAACAGAGCGUGUCUCAAAGGCAACAAGACUAGCUAAAAACAAAAGAAGGAGACAGAACAAACCCCAAAAACGUCAAAGUAGCUCAACCCUCGUCUCCGAAUCACAGCUGCAAAAGAAGGCUGGAACUAAUCACCGCUAGUAACUGGUACUGGGACCUGCAUCACAAAAUAGAUGCAGAGCGUAGCAUGAGUACCAACACAACAUGUACUCAGUAGGUAUCAUAGGUCGACUGAGCAAAAAGGGUAAAAACAAUAAGAAAUGACAGAAUCAAGACACAGAGAGGUCAAAGCGAAUAAGAAAAGAAAGCACACGAGCAUACCAGAAAAAAACUAAGUACAACUAAACUAAACCUAACUGGACCCCCAAAAGCCCAGAAGGUACACUCGUGCGCAAGUUCAAAUAAAACCUGAACGGACCCCCAUAAGCCCGACAGGUACACAGCAAGGCUAAGUCUACUGAGAAAGAAGAAAACCGGGCUCCCAGCCCAAAGUAACUAAGAUAAUCCAUCAGACCCCACCCAGCCAGCAGUACACUCCCAGCCCAGCUAGAAAGAGUGACCCUAGGGGGCACCCAACCAAACAGUCCACUCCCAGCCCAGCUAGAAAGAGGGACCCGUGAGUGAGGUAGAUAUCGCGAGUCGUCCUACCAUGCAGUCAGCUCCCAGCCCAGCUAGAAAGAGCGACCCGGGGACACCCAGCCAGCAGCACACUCCCAGCCCAGCUAGAAAGAGAGGCCCAGGGGCGAUCGCUAAUAUCACCGAGUCUACCCAGCCAGCGAUACGUUCCCAGCCCAGCUAGAAAGAACGACCCCGGGGGUGAUGGUAUCUUCAAUAGGAUUCAAUCCAACAACAACCACCGUGGAACGCUGUCCACUCUAAGAUAUCACAUAAAAGGCUCCAAACCUAUACUAUCUCAAUCCCAUGCCUCGAGUGAUGCACCAAACCUUCAAAAAUGCGUCGGAACCGCAGAAUAAGAGGGAGAACAUACAGAAGUGCAGCAAGUAGCGAUAACGCCUAAUCUAAGGCUCAAACUAUCAGACUCAAGUCUGCUAUUCCAGUCUACAAGGAGCUAAGUCAUCCGAACGACGUCGGCAGAAAGUCAAGGCUAUCCAGCCCACACGGGUCAUAAGUCUAAGGCAAAGCUAGCCUAACCUAGACUAAGGACAUCAUGUUUACGGUUAAGGAUGAACAAGGCAUGCAAUACAUAGCAUGCAAGCAUACAAUAACAUUUAACACAUAAGCAUGCAACUCUACUAAACCGGUUAACAUGAUACUAUACCCGAAAUGUGACCAAUCGAUCCUAACAUGAGGUAUCUAAUCAAAAUAAGGUAGUAAACUGGUACCCACUCCCAAUUCACUACAAUCGACAUGCUUUUACACAAUUAAGCUCAAUCUAAAAGAAAGGAAGCCGUAGCCUACCUUAAGGCCGAUCGCGCGCUCUCCAAAUCACUUUACCGGACUUUUCCCUUUCCGAACAGUCUAGAAACGCUGCCCCGCUAUCAAAAAUAGAAUCACAAUGUUACUACGGUCAUUUAGACACCAAAAUUACAACAAACGGAGACGGGUCAAUUUUGGAGUCAAAAUGAGAAUCGUGGGACCCGCACCAAACUGUCCGAAUUUAACUCCGUCAAGAGAUCCUAAACAACACCCCAAACUUGUGUUCCAAAAUGGAACAUAAUUCGAGGCUCAAAACACAAUAAAAACCAACAAGCAAGAAACCACACUUUAAUCAACUAAAAGAAACCCUACAGCAUCAGUCUAAACUCGAAAUAAACAAGAAUCGAAAAGUGCCCAGCACUCCUUGAACACUCUACGACGAAGUCACGACAAUUCUCAACAUGUGGGACUUCGAAUCACCCAGAACCGAGCUAAAAUGAGUGAGAUAUGACCAAAACAAAAAUACUAAAAACAAAAACUCGAAAAAGGUACUGCAGUCAGGUUUUAUCGCGAAAUUACCUUGAACUACGUGCACCCAACAACUUUCGAACACCCUACAGCGAAGCCACCAAAAAUACGAAGCUUCUGCAAUUUUUCCAACAACUAAAAACUCCAACGGGUACUCCGAUCUCGUUCGGAACUCCGUGCACGCAAACGACCAGGUGACCGAACUGUCAGUCCCAGCAAGUCAUAAAUGACUUGGGGUCGCUAUAAGAACGCUCUAAACGACACACAGAAGAAAAGACACAGAAAUGACCAAGAGGGUCAUUACAAACAGUCACCCCUAUACCCACACACGACAAAAAAAUAAAAAAAAGGAUUGAGUUGUAAUUUUUGACGGCUUCAACUUCACAGAUUCAAAAGUCUGCAACUAUUAAUAUUUUUGGGAAAUCAGUAGAUUGUUAGGCAUUGUUUUUCGUGGUUUAAUCUUCAUAAGAGAUAACAUUUAUUUCUUCUUGGUAUAAGUUAAUGUCACGAUUGUUCAAGAUUUGAUUCCAAUGUUAUAAAGUUAUUCAAAUUUUAUGUGUUUAGCUUUGCCAAUAUACUAUUGAAAUACAUGUAAAUAUUUGUAUUGUUGUAUUUGGAUUAAAUAUGAUAUAACAUAUAUCGCUUCUUGCUUUCGUUGAUAGUACAAUUUAAAAAUCAUUAUUUUUUUUAGUAAAAAAAAUGCAUUUUUUAUACGAUUUAAUCGUUAUCAUCCGAAGUGUUUUAGAUUCUUGGUAUUCUAUAGAUCAUAGAUCUAAUGCCAGUUUCAAAUGUUGUGUGAAUAUAAAUGUUAGGUUUUUUUUUAUUUUAAAGGGCUCUUUUAUGUCCAUUAAUUCAGAAUAUUAGCUUUUGCGGUGAUCACUUGCAAAUAAUCAUGCCGCUUCAUUGGUUAAGCGAAAAUAUUUGUUAAAUUAGAUAUAGCCAGAUAUGUCAUUAAUUAUUAGUUACACUAUGUUUGGAUCAUUGUUACCCAUUGUAUUGUAUUGUAUUAUAUUGUAUUGUAUUGUAUUGUAUCGUUACUAUACCUACAAUGUUUGUUUUGAUUGUUACUUAAAAUGUAUUGUAUUGUUAAAUUUCAUUGUUACGUAACAAUGAAAGCCCUAUUUUAUGGAACAACCAAUUUGGUGUGUUCCCAUUGUUUCUUAAUUUCCUUUUCCAAUUAUAUCUUUACAUAAUAUUUCAAAAUACUAUUUUACCCUUUACCUUAAUUAUUUAAAUCUAGUCAAACCUCCUACCCUAGAAUAAUUAAGGAUAUUUUAGUAAAUUUAUAAAUUACAAUACAGUAUGAUACAAUCAAACCAAACAAUUAAAAUGUUAUUAAACAAUAACAAACAAUACAAUCUAGCCAAACAUUGUAUCUAUCAUACAAUAAAAUACAAUACAAUAGAGUACAAUACAAUACAUUAUGAAACAAUGGGUAACAAUAAUCCAAACAGAGUGUUAAAGUGUGCCUUUAGUGUAUUUGUUUAUUUAGUUAUGCUUUAUUGUAAAUUAAUAAUUAUAUUUAAAAAAUUAUAAACUAAUGACAUUCUGUUUUGCUAGAAACGAUAAGUACUAUCAUGUUAAUAAGACAAUGUAAUUAAUUGAAUAUAAUAUUUCGUGGGCAGGUGAUAAGUUAAAUGUAGAAAAGUUUGGUCACUUUAACAUUUUACUAUUUAUUUUUAGACUGCUUUAAUAUAAUCAUAGGUAUAUAUUAGGCUCUAUUAUACAUUAGAUGAGUAACAAUAAUAAUUAAAUUUCAUCUCAAUUAAGAAUGUGGUUCCACAUCUUUUUGAGAUACUUAAGAAACUCAAGGAUGCGGUUACGCACCUUGGCCAAAUUAUUUUAAUAAUUAAUUUUGUUAAUUCAAACCAAGAGGUGUAAAUUGAGAUUAUUAGGUGUGAUGAACUCGAGAGGGGAAGACAAUUAUGUCUCCAAAUGUCAAGAUCGAGAAUGCAGUUAUGCAUCCGGUUUAAGACUAAUAAAAAUUCUAACAAUUAAAAAAUAAGCAAACCAUGACAUAUAUACACAAAUUAUCCAAAAACAUAUCAAGAUAAGUAUAACUCAAUAAAAGAGACCGUGCUAGAACCACGAGAGUACUCGAGGGAUGCCUAAUACCUUCCCCUCGAUCAACAGAAUUCCUUACCUGAAUUUCUGGUUCGCAGACCAAACAAAGAGUCAUUUCCUUUUGAUUAGGGAUUAAAUAAAAUGUGACUUGGAACAUCAUAAUUCAAUUCCAAGUGGCGACUCUGGAAAAAAUAAAAAAAAUAAAAAUUUAUCUCUUAAUUAAUACGGACACUUAAAAAAACCCUUUCCACCGUGCGAAAAAAGAGGUGUGACAUCUCUGACGACUCCGCUGGGGAUACUAACCAGAAUUCGAGCUUUGUUAUGUUGACUUUUAUUUUAUCUUAUUAUUUAUUUUUUUGGAUAUAUUGUGUGUGAUUGCCUGAUAUGAUACUUGUUGCUCUUUUAUCACUUUUUAUAUUGUUGAACUAUAAAUUGUCUUUCUUAGCGCAACCAUCUGAGUUGGCAUGGUUUAAUGGUGUCACACCCCAAAUCCGGAUGUGAUGGCACAUGUCCAUUUCCCACCGGACACGUCAGCCUAACCCAACCACAACGAUAGAGAAGUAGAAAUACGAGAAUAAAAGAUAAUAAAUAAGCGGAAGACUUUAAUUAAGACUCAACACUACCCAGAAUUUGGUUGUCACAUGUACAAACCUCUAAAUACAGAAUUCGAAUAAAAAUAUACAAGUCUCAGAGUAUAGUUCUCGAAUAGAACAAAACUGAAAGUAAAGAUAACUCAAGGGCACGUCUGGAAUGAACCGCUACCUCUCGAGUAUGUCCCGAAGCUCAAUCUGCUAAAGAAAGAGUAUGUCCCAAAGCUCAAUCUGCUAAAGAAAAUACUAAGCCGAAUCUGAGAGAGCUGUCAACCUACACAAUUGUGUAGAAGCAAGGGUGAGUACCGAAAACCACAGGUACUCGCAAGUAACUCUAAACUAAGCAAAACUAGCAGCUACAAACAACUCCUUUCAAUCCCAACCGAACCACCGAAACUUCAAUCUAGCAGCAAACCAACCAACCUAUACUCAUAUUCAACAGCCAGAACCAACAGUAUAUCCUCAUCAACCUCAGAUCAACAAAUAAGAGCAAGUAGAUCAAAUUCCACAUAAGAAGGGUAAACCGAUACAAUCCACACAUCACAGACAAAGAUAAGGCAAAUGCGAUGCAAAAUGCAAUAAUGAUGUCAUGUAGUCGUGAUGCAUGUCUGUCCUACGAUACACAUCUGUUGACGUAAUCAGUCCGCGCUGAAUACUCAAAUCAGAACCCAUGGGGGCCACACAUGGACCAUGUAUCACCGCCGGAACCAGAUCCCAUCGGCAUCCAAAUCGCUAGUCGGAGCUAGUCCAUCUCAUAUAUCUCUAGCCGGAACUAGUCUCAACUGUGUCUCAUAUCCAUCCAUCAUCAUAUCAGUGUCUCAGAACUCAUGCAACAGAUAGUUCACACAUGUGAUGAAUAAUGAAUAUGCACAUAUCAUCAAUCACAAUCAUAUCACGAUCACAUCAUAAUAUUGUUGACACCCAAUUUUGACCCUCCCCGAUAAUAAUUAACUUCUGAGCUUCUUAAUUUUCAAACGAUUUAAAAUGAUUAGAUUUAUAAAAUUCAAACAGUUUCAAGAUUAGUUUAAAUAAUUUCAGUUGAUUUUUAUAGUUUUGAAUAAUGAAUAUGUUUCAUAUAAUUAUAUACAUAAUUAGUAUAUUUUACAAAUGUUUGAAAAUCAUAUCAAAGAUUUUACUUUGUUAAAAUAAAUAUUUUAUUAAUUUAGUUUUUAGUUCGAAUUAUAGUUUUAAUCUUGGAUUAAUUAGUUCAUAUAUAAAUCGAUUAGUUUAUAAUUAAGUUAAUUAUUUUAUUUCGUUAAAAUUAAAGAGCUCAUAAAUUAAUUAUAUUAAUCCGUACCUCUUGAAUUCUAGCCGAACUUAUCCUACUCAACUAAAUUUGGAUACGUCUUUAAGCUCCACUUGGUUAUGACUUAGAUUUGUAUGGCUAACUUAAAUUCAAUUUUAUCUUGAUUAAUUUUUUUAAAACACCAAAAUUUUGGGCUUUUUUCCAUUCCCUUAAAAUGACCCAAAUGCUCAACCCAUUUCCCAUUCUGGUUCCAAUUCAUUUCCUCCAACAACCUAUUGUCUUCCAAUUCCCUUACAAUUCCCACCGACCCAACACAUUAUUUGAGCAGCCCAUCAAAUUAUGACCCAACCCGGCCCAUUCAUCUAUUCUCAAAAGAAUCCAUCAACCUUUAACAACAGUCCAAACACGUUCACUGAAGCAAACGGAAAAGCAGCGAGGAACAGAGACGUACGCUGCGAAUUCUGUUUCUUCUCCAAUGUCCUUAUCGACAUUUAAUAUCGUAACAACAAAAGGGAGCACGCGUUUCUCCCCUUUCCCUUUUCGGAAUGAGUUGAAAAUUGCAAAGAAAGGGGUGUCUGGCCGAAAAUGGUGAAAGUUUUUUAGAUUUUGAAAUUUGAAUGGACCCUUGAAUCUAAAAGGGGACCCGAAAUUCCCCCCAUAUCAACCCUAAUAGUCCCCUAUAUAUAUUUUCUUCUUACUCACAUGAGGGGGGAUUUUUUGGAGUUUGAAAAGUUUAUGUUGAAGAAAAUGUUGAGAGAAGCUUGGAAAAACAGAGGGGAAGAAAGUUUCAAAAAAUAAAUAAAUAUAAAUACAAGAAUACAUACAAGGAAAAAUCAGUAGUUAUACUCAAGCUAGAAUCGAUAAAAGAUUUUCUUUUGUGCUUGCCAUUGGAAAAACUUGUCGGAAUCUCGUCGUGGUAGUGAAGUCGCCGUCCCUCUGCUCGCUCUGUCUCGGUUCACUGCCCUCAUAAAGUUUUGUUCUUUUCUAUGUAUGAACCGGCUCCUCCCGAGUCUAUUUUGGACUCCACCCCUACAUAUCCGAGUUGAUUUCCCAUCGAGUCAACCCCCUUUCGAGCUAAAGAAUUGACGAACAGGUCCCGAGAAUUGAAAGAAGCAACAGAUCGAGAAAAUCGAAAAUUUGGGCCAAGGGCCCAUUCUUAAUUCAAAAAAUUGUAUUUUUGGGCCUAAGCCCACUUAUUAGCUAUUUUAUGUUAGCUUAGGAUAGGUACAGGUGAUUCAAAUGAGCCAAAAGCUCAAAACGAAAAAGGGCCCAAAUACUGGCCCAGGCGGACAGAAACCAGAUUUGGGCCCAACUCUCUAUCCCUCUCUACUUUACCGUGUUCAUUUUACUUGUUAGUAUUUGCCGCUAAUUUUAAGGUUGAACAAUUCGAAUCCCCGAAAGAUACCCAUUUCGAAUUAAUUACUUAACUAAAUUACUCAUCUUUCACUUGACUUAAAAAAUAAAUAAAUGAUAAAUAAAUAAAUUUAUGAAAUGCUUCACUUAGAUAAUAUUUCAUUAUUUUUCUAUUAAAAUGGUUUCAACUAUAAAGUAGUUCACUUUUGCAAUUCAAGAUAAGUUAAAAUAUUUUAGCCAAAUAAUUAAUUGUCGGAUAACCGCGUAUUAGCGGACAUUCUGGGGUGCUUUUAAAAAACCUUCCUAGAAUGUUAAUAAGAACCUCGAACCCUUUUUAAGUUUUCAAUAGAUUUACUGUUUUAGUCUUUUGAAAACAACAGUUUUCUUGAUUUUUCUUAAAAAUUAAGUGGCGACUCUUAAACCAGUCCAAAUAAUAUUUUAAAUAAAACAAAUAUUACACAUCAUCUGUCUCAAUCACAACCAUAUCACGACCACAUCAUAGUAUUACACAUCAUCUGUCUCAACAUCAAUGUAUGUAUCAAUCAUAGCCUACUCAUGCUCUUCUAUCCCCUCAAUAUCAGUUAUCACAUGACUUAUUCAACAAAUUCAAGUCACAUAUAACACAUUUAGCUCGUUUUAUUUCCCCAUCUUUCAUUUACAACAAUUUCAAUCAACAAAUAAAACUCAUCCUCAAUCCCCAUUACUCCCCAACACAAUUAGGAAAGUAGUCAUGCGUAGUCUAAGAGUUUUACAAAGUUUGGAAGCCACUUGCCUUAAAACGAACUCCAAAAGUUACUUGACUUGAGCCCUUUCCUUUCCGAGUAUAAUCCGGAUCACGAUAAUCUAUUCAAACAAUUAUUCACAAUCACAAUUCGAGUCCAAUAUAAAUGGAAUCCCACAAUCAAUACGAAUCUAACAACACCAAUAUCGUGAAAUUUGGAGAACAAGGGUAAAAUGGUCAAAAAUCUCGUUCCGGAAAAUAUUCUCGAAAUCUGGAAAUUUUUAGUGAAAAAUGUUCCCCAAGAAAUUUAGAAUCCAAUAGUGAAAACCGUUUCGAAAAAGGAGUUGAAAUUAAUUCACAAACUCAAUUUGAAAGAAAAUCCACGUUCUUGAAGAAGCCUAAAAUAUUCAGAUCCGAAACUCCAACCCGAAAAUGAAAUAUCUCUUAAAAAACAUCUUACUCAUGCUUAGAUAAGUUCAAAUAUGAAAUUUCAUCAAAAAACGGAGUUAAGAUCGACCUUGAAAUUCUCAAUUUAUCAAACUUUAACUUUACCGGAAAGUCCAAAUUGUACGCGUUUAAUAUGAUGAAAAUAAUCGAUGAAUCAAUAAUUUUUAUGUUAAAAUCAGUUUUACCCAUAACAUAAGGAUCGUAAAUAUAUCUUUUUUAUCAAAAAGGGAGUCCAAAUCGAUAAAACCCCAAUUUUUCCCAAGAGAUUUACGGAUAGGAAAAAAAACCAGAUAAAGAAAUUAUGAGAAAAUGUCGAAUUGAAGAUUGAAUACUAACUCUCAUAUUAAUUCAAGAAGAAACCCGUAAGAAUCAUUCCAUUCCGAUCUCUAGAACUCCAGAUAUGCUCAAAAUACCAAAUGAACACAGUCUGAGAUUUUUAUAACAGUACAUGGCUGUUAUGCACCAGAAAAACAGCAGUUAAUCUUUCACUAAAAAGGCCGUAAUUUCCUCAUACGAUAGUGAAAUGACCCGAUUCUUUUUUAUAAAUGUCUUAAAUAAUGAUACGGACCUGCUCGUUCAAUCGGAGCUCAAUUUCAUGCUCGUUUGCCCAGUCAAAUAUCAUUUCUACUCGGUAAACAAUUAUUUCUUAUUUGCGAUAAAAAUCCAAUCUCGGGUUAGCGAAAAUGCACCAAAAUUUGCAGAUAAGUCCUAUAAUUCAUGAUCAAAAUUUCAGAACCUUCAGAAAUUUUUUUCGACCUUUAAAACUAAUAAUGAACCCUUUAGUUGCCACAAUUUGCUGAAAUAGUGUCAAAGCAUCCAAGAAGCUUAAAAGCUCACCCAAAACUCAUUUGGCACUUCCCGAACACAAACCAAAUAUGCUACUAGCUUGAAAAUGACAUUUCGGACUCAAUGAAAUCGUCGGAAUUUGAAUUCGAGGUCUCCUUGACCCGGUAUCCGAUAAGGCGUCAAGAAACUAACUUUAGGCUCAAAAACUCGAAACGCACUCGGGGCCUCUAAAAAUUCAACCAAGACUCAUUCUAGACUUAGAAUCACCCCCUGAAUCCAACGGUGCCCUCGGAAUUCCAUUUCGAGCACCGGAACCUCGUUUGUUGACCAAAGUCAACUCUUGAUCAAAAUUUCACAAUUUUAGCAACUUAGGACCUCAAAUCUUCGUUUUAACUCCAAAUUCGACUCAGUAAAUUCUCAUAGACCCAUUUCAACAUUCUAAAAUUGCUGGAAUCGACGGAAAUCCGAUUCGAGUCUCGAAACUCCAAAUGACUCGAAAUAGCACUUUUAACCAAACUUUAACUCUUAAAAACUCAACUUUCCAAAAACUCAACUUUUCAUCAAUUUUCCUUCAAACCAACUUCAAAAAUACAACAAUUAGGACUCGGGGCAACUAUCGGGAGGGGUAAAACGGUCAUUUUAUGAAAAUUUCCAAAAAUGACUUUUAGGGUCAUUACAAGGCUAACCUUAGACAAAAUCUUGGCUAAGUGGGGUGUUGGUCAUAUGAGGAUGAGUGGGGUGUAAUGUCUAGGCGGCAUGUGUUGAAGCAGUAAUUUUUCCAUUUUCGUUACUCAGGUAUGACAAAAUUCAUAAAGGUAGCACAAGUGAAGAUGAAACUGGAUCACGAUUAGGAAAUGCAGCUACCAAGUAUGUUGUAAUUGAAGAAAUGGAAGAUCAAGACCAUGGUCCUUGAGGUUUUACAUAUGACAUUCUAACAAUGUUGCGCUCUGAUGGCGUUUUGUAUUUGCAACGGAAGGAAAUGGACAAAAAAAUGCGUAGAUUUUCUAGCAAAUGAAGUUCAAGUCGUAUACAUGAAGAAGAUUUGUUAAUCAAGGAAGAUGAGGAAGCUGAGUUUUUUCACCUAGUAAACUUUAAGACAUGUGGCUUAUAGAAGGGAAAUUUAUUACUCCCUAUGUGCUAAAAAAGUAAUGAUAUACAUUUUUAUAGUUAGUAAAAAUUUAACUUUUAAACUUCUCAUUUUACCCCUAAAGUUAGGGGUGAAAGUUUGGUAUUCAGUUCAAGAUUUCCAAAUUUUGAGUUCGAUAGUUAAAAAUAGAUUCAAUUCAGUAUGGUAUUCAGUAAUACCGUAUUAAAGUUGUAGGAUUUGGAAAAGAAUGAUCACAAAUCUUUCUACUUUUUGUUUGUUAAAAUCAUGUCCUUUUCUGACUAAGUUAAAGAAAAAGAGAAAUUGGUCUCUUCUUUUGUUUAGAUGAUAAUGUUAGUGGAAUGUGAGACAAAAUUAUAUGAAUUAAAGUUUGAUUUCGAUAUGUAAUCCGAUUGAUUUGAUGUUAUUUUUAUUCUUUAUUUGAUUUCAAGUAUGCAUAAAAACAAUGUAACGUAUAUUUUACAUCCACACAAAUAUCUAUACAUAUUUUUAGUUUAAGAUUACAAAAAUUUUAAAAGUCGUCUAUACUUUCAUAAAAUUAAUAUCCCAUGAAACUAAGAUACACAAACUAAAACUAGCGGAGUAACUUAGUACUAAUUCGAUUUGCUUCAUACAUUGUUUUAGUACUAGACAUAUAAGCUCGUAGCUAACACAGACUCAAUAACAUACAUAGAAUUUGGAAAGACAAAUAAUUAUUAACACGAUUAUUAUUAAUUUACGAGACUUUUACGAUAAUUUUUUUCUAUUCAAAUUUAUGUGAUACAAAUUAAUUUUCGUGUGUAUUAUCCCAUGAAUUUGGCGCCUCGGAGCACCCAAAAACAUUUUUUGAAAAAUCUUUAUGAGGACCUCUGUAAUGAGUUGGGAACCAUCGCUUAUACUCACACUAUUUUUCUUAACGCUUAUUUCCGGAUUUACUGACCCUUUUUUAGGAAUUACGUAAAAAAAUUCAAUUUUUGGGUGUAUUAGCCUAUGGAUCUGGCGCAUUAGAGCACCCAAUUUUUUUUUCUGAAAAAAACUUUAUGAGUAAUUAUGUAAUGAGUUAGAGAUCACCACGUAUACUCACACCAAUUUUAACGACUAUUUCCGCAUUUAUAGAUUUUUUUUUUAGAAAUUACACAAAAUUCUUGAUUGUUCGUGUGUAUUAGCCCAUGAAUCUGGCGACUCAGAGCACCCAAAAUUAUUUUCUAAAAAACUUUAUGAGAACCUCUGUAGUGAGUAAGGGAACCACCAUAUAUACCCACACCAUUUUUAAUAGCUAUUUUCGCAUUUAUAGGCCAUUUUUUUAUGAAUUAUGCAAAUUCCUUGAUUUUUCGUGUGUAUUAGCCCUUGAAUCUAGCGCCUCAGAGCACCCGAAUUUUUUUUAUGAAAAAACAUUAUGAGGACUUCCGUAAUGAGUUAGGGAACCACCAUAUAUACUCAUGCAAUUUUUUAAUGCCUAUUUCUGCACUUACAGACCUUUUUUUUAGGAAUUAUGCAAAUUACUCAAUUUUUAAUGUGUAUUAACCCAUGAAUAUAUUGGUGAUAUGGCUUUCAGACGAAUUUUUUGUAAAACUCUUUAUGGAACCCUUCAAAGGGAGUUGGGGGAGCAGUACGUACAAUUUUACCAUUUUUAGAGUGAUUUAUGGGCAUAAGGAGUCAAUUUACAUUAGUUAGGCGAUUUUCUCAAUUUUUCAUGUGUAUUAUGUAACAUCCGGCAAUUUGAAAUAGCUAAGAAGAGGCUUAGAAUUUGAAAAUUUUCAAUUUUUGGAAAGGAUUUGAAAAUCUAGAAAAUUUGGCUAAGUAUGGAAAUCAGUGAUUUUUGGCCAACUUUGAGCAGUCAUAACUUCUAACUCAGGAUGAGUUAGGAGUAGUUCCAGUUAUGGUUGUGAAUCUUGUGGAAUGAUCUUUCCAACGCCACCGAGUUUGCUCAAUUCCGAGUUCGUAUGAGCGAGUUAUGGCCUUUGAAAGUUGGGCAGUUGACAAGGAAAUCCGUCCGGGAAUCAUUAAGGGCAUUUUGGUCUUUUCCCUAGCUAUUUCUUUUGAGGAUGUAUUGUUGUAUAGGGCUGAUCUUUGGAUCAUUUUGUUCCAUUUUUAAGAGAGUGAAGGCUAGGGCUUGAGAGUGAAGAAGAGAAGAAGANNNNNNNNNNNNNNNNNNNNNNNNNNNNNNNNNNNNNNNNNNNNNNNNNNNNNNNNNNNNNNNNNNNNNNNNNNNNNNNNNNNNNNNNNNNNNNNNNNNNNNNNNNNNNNNNNNNNNNNNNNNNNNNNNNNNNNNNNNNNNNNNNNNNNNNNNNNNNNNNNNNNNNNNNNNNNNNNNNNNNNNNNNNNNNNNNNNNNNNNNNNNNNNNNNNNNNNNNNNNNNNNNNNNNNNNNNNNNNNNNNNNNNNNNNNNNNNNNNNNNNNNNNNNNNNNNNNNNNNNNNNNNNNNNNNNNNNNNNNNNNNNNNNNNNNNNNNNNNNNNNNNNNNNNNNNNNNNNNNNNNNNNNNNNNNNNNNNNNNNNNNNNNNNNNNNNNNNNNNNNNNNNNNNNNNNNNUUGCCUACUGAUCUACGGUCAUGACUUACGGACCGUGAAUGGACCUACGGUCUGUAGAUCACUUCCGUCAAGGCCAUGUUUCUGCAUUUCUUAUUGUACCUAUGUUUCCAAGUUGUCUCCAACACUUCAAGUUGCAUCUAAAUGUUUAGAACUCAUUCAUAACAGGUGAUUAUAUCCCUUGAAUCCAUAAUUCAAUUCAAGGCGAGUUAGAAUCGAGUUAAAGAGAAGUUAGAGUCAAGUCAAGCAAGGUUAAGAAGUUAGUUCAAGCAAGUUUUCAAAGUUGUUCGAGAGUCUUUAAUGAACGUUUUUACUUCAUUCUAAGGCUCAAGUUGCAGGUCAAGUAAAGAGUUUAAAGUUGAGUUCAUUUCUCAAAGUUAUUAGGGAACUAUGUAUUCCCAAAGCAGUUUUUAAGGAAAUGUUUUUACAUUUAAACAAGGUUGGAAACUGAGAUUUCCAAAGGGGCCUUCGGGCCAGUUUUUCAGAAAAGAGUUAUCAUUUCCUAAAUGAAGCAAGGUUGGAAACUGAGAUUUCCAAAAGAGCCUUCAGGCAAGUUUUUGAGUAAUUAUCUCAUAUCAGCAGGAAGAAAUAUGUUUUAAAAACAUAAGAGCUAGUACAUUUUUGGGAGUAGUAUCGAGCACCGAAAAUCGUUUCAAAAGAUUUUAGUUUUACUUAAAUAUUUUAUUAAGUUAAUUAGUAGUUUAUAUUUUGAAUCAUUAGUUUAUUAAGUUAAUUAUUUUAUUUCAUUAAGAUUAAGAAGCUCCUUAAUUAAUUUAUGAAAAUUCAUCUUGUUUAAGUAUUGAUCAAAUCCACCGACUAAAUGCUAAUCGAAAUUCAAUUGAUUAAUAUGGCAAUUUUAGUCAAUUUCUUCAACCCUUUGCAAGACCCAAUUAUCUUAAACCCUUUUAGCCAAACUUUUGACCCAAUAUUAGAAGCCCACCCUUUUCAUUCUUCUGACCCAAGCCCAAAACCCACUUCUUCUUUUCUCAAAAGAACCCAACGUGAACAACAGCAUACCAAAUUGACCCGACCCCCAACACAGCUGCUCGUUCUUCUUCAACAAUACACGUCAAAUUCCAACGAUUUAAUUCACGGAGUCAAGCGGAGGCAGACGGAAAAGCAGUAAAGCAGGCAGUGCUCUGCAUUUUUCUUGUCUUCUUCCUCAAUGUCCCUUUCCAAUUUGUACCUGCAGCAGCAAAAGCACCUGCGAUUUUGUCCUUCCAGCCGCGUCUCAGUCCUUGGGGAUGUGGGAUCGAUCCACGUCGCGCCUAAGGAUGAGUUGAAUUGAUCAAGUCCGCCCGUCUACCCUUUCCCCUUUCGGAAUGGGUCAAAUUUUGGAGAAAAAGGUUGUCUCCCUGAAAGGGGUGAACGAUUUUGAAUUCAAAUUGGAGUUGGGCUUUGUCUAUUCGAAUUUUUUUGAUCUGUUUCCCUCAUUUUUCUGAACCCUAAUUUCCCCCACUAUAUAAACCCCAUUUUUAUUCACUAUCGGGUUUCUCUUUUUUUAGAGGAAUUUUUGGGGCAAAAACACGAAGAGUAAGUUAAGAAAAUAGCUAAAAUACAUACAUGUAUAUACAGAAACACAGUCAAGGCCAAGAGGAUUGAGUUUCGAUAGGAGUAUCGCGUUACUACUUCGUUUUGCAUCGGUUUUCUCAAGCUUCACUCGAGUCUGAGGUUCUGCCCGGAAUUCUCGUCCGUCGUUCGUGUUCGAGUCUCGUGGUGAAGAUCGUUUCCUUGCUCGUUUGUAUCCCAGUUGCUGCUCAUCAAAAGGUAUACAACUCUCAAUUCUCGCAUUUGUUUAGAUUCCAAUAGAUGUUUGAGAUCUGAGUUGUAUUAUGUAUUGGUGUGAUUCGAUUGUUUGUGUAUAAAUGAUAAAAGGUUAAUUCUUUGUUGGUGGUGGUUCUCGUUUUGUUUUAUUCUUGACUCUCAUAGCUUUUCAAAACACUCCUUUCACAGUUUAUUCUCUCAAAAUGUAAGACAUUUAAGUAUUGGGGUUUUAAGAAUAUUAAGAGCGACUGGAAAUUUUGAAUCUCUUGAAAUAGCGAGAAUUUGACUUCGGUACUUCGUGUGGAGUUUGGUAUCUCCUUCACGUCUUGUUUGAUUCCGAGUGGUAUGAAAUGAGCACUUUGUUGAUCUCUAUGGCUUCAUCCUUACGUUAUCCUUUAUUUCGAUUUCCGUACCUUUGUUCGAAAGUCUGUUUGGUUUAAAUUUCUAACCGAUCAUCAUGUUAUUGAUUUCACUGUCUUGGUUAAAUGUAUAAAUCCGAUUUAUAGCUUUUUUUUUAGCCUAGUUUUCGUAUUGUUUUGAAUCAUAUGAUUGUCUUGUUGUAAUUAGUAUGCCUAAUACGUCUUCAAGCAUGAGAUGCUCUCUUUCUAGUUUGUCAUUGUUAGUGUAGUUGCGUUUUCAUUCUGAUGGCUUGGCUUCCUCUGUUUAUUGGAUCCCUUUGUUGCCUUACUGCUUUAGCGAUAUGUUAGACCCGCUUCCGUGCUUUCGUUUUACUUAUUUUUUUUGAUGCAAAAUUUGCAGUUGAGUUUUAAAAUGUAAGAUUUCCGCUAAUGAUUCAGAUUUUCAUGACUAUCUGUGUUGCAUUGAAUCCAAUGAUACCAUUCCCAACUAAAUAACAAAAAUGAAUAUGUUUGUAUGUUUGGUAUUUAUUAUUAUUAUUAUUAUUAUUAUUAUUAUUAUUAUUAUUAUUAUUAUUAUUAUUAUUAUUAUUAUUAUUAUUAUUAUUAUUAUUAUUAUUAUUAUUAUUAUUAUUAUUAUUAUUAUUAUUAUUAUUAUUAUUAUUAUUAUUAUUAUUAUUAUUAUUAUUAUUAUUAUUAUUAUUAUUAUUAUUAUUAUUAUUAUUAUUAUUAUUAUUAUUAUUAUUAUUAUUAUUAUUAUUAUUAUUAUUAUUAUUUUUACUUAAAAUUGGUCUAAGUGUUUUUUUUUAUUCAAAAUCGGGGGGGCAUUUGUUAAUUAUGGUUUAUCCAUUUUUGCUUAAAAAUAAUAAUAAAAAAAUAUGUAUGGAAUUCUCAAGCGGUAUAUUAAAAGGCUUAAGUCGGUAGCAUCUCAUCUCCUCAUUUGAUCUUACGUCAUUAUUAUUAUUCUUGGUUUCAUGUGAUAUGUCUUUAGAUAAUAUUUAGGAGUUACUUGUUAUGCAUUAAUUUUUAUUUUUAUUUUUAUCUCAUUUGUUUUUACUUGUCAUAUCAUUCUAUCUAGUUUAUACAUAUAAAUGAUAAUUAUAGGAAUCCUUUGUUGACUCCCUAUUAUUUGAUUUUCCUUAUAGAAUAGCUACAAUAUUGGUAAUUAAGUUAUGUUAGUUUGAUCACUGUAGUGUUAAACUUGCUAAGUCAUUUAUCUCUUAGUCUUAUUGGUUUAAAAUAUAGUAUUAAUCUCAUUUGAUAACAGUUUCUAUGUGUACUCCAGAGUUCUGCCUUAAGUGCUUAACAUUUGUUCGCUGCCUGCAUUCUCAACAAUUCAUUUAAUCAAUGUCAAUUUAAAGGUAUAUGCAUGAAAAUGGAGAGUGGACCGAGGUCAAACUAGAAUUUGUUCACGAUUCGCAUAUCACAUUUCUUUGUUUAUAUCCUAGUAGUAUUUGUGAAUGUGUAUCAGAAUAACUUUAUCCAUUUUUCUCAUUGUAGCUAGCGACGAGUAGUGAUUAUUAGAUUAGUCCUUAAUAUCUUAUUAUGAUUUUGUCGUAUUGAGUUGUUAGUCGCCUUAAUGUUGUUCAUUUUUUAGAAAAUGUGUUAGAAUUUUCUCGUCCCAUGCUAAUAUGAUUUUAUUUGUCUUUGUAUGUGAAAUCCGCCCGAGUUCGCCAUGAACUCUUAUCUUCCCUAUUGCAUUUCGGGAGGGCCGCGAAGGCUCAAGUCUUUUUUUUUUACAUAUCCGAGUCAGCCAGAUCUUAAAAUCGACGAACAGGUCUCGAAAUUGAAAGAAAAGCGGACCAAAUCGGGAGUUGAAAAAGAUUGGGCCAAAGCCUACCUUUAUUUAUUCGGAAUUGUAUUUUGUUAUUAUUGGGCCUAAGUCCUUGCCAUUUUACUUACUAUUACUUGUUAGUUCCUAGGACAGGUGGAGAAAUUGGGCUUAAGGUCCAAAAGAAAGAUAUUUAUUUCAUGUCAGACUAGGACAGGUGCAGGUGACUCAAAUGGGCCGAAAAGCCCAAAACGAAAGUGGGCCCCAAAAUAUUGGCCCAGGCGGACAGAAAAACCAAUUUGGGCCCGAAUCUCCCUCUCUCCUUAUUAUAUAUUUCGUGUUAAUUUUAUUGUUAGUACAUGCUUAUUUGCUAAUUAAUUUUAAGGUUCUUAACUCAUAAUUCCCCAAAGGACACCCAUUUUAAGUUAGCUAACUUAUAGUACUUUAUCUUAAAAUAACUAAGUAUACUUGUCUUUUUUCUAAAUUAAUUUCUAAAAAAAUUAGAAGCUUUUCUCUACUUGGACAUUUUAGAUAAUAUAUUCCCUUUUCCUCUUUAAAUGAUUUUAAGUUAUAAAAUUCGUUCAUUCGGUAACUAGUCAAGCAUGCCCAUUGUUAGCCAAAUAUUUUAAUUGUUGGAUAACCGCAAGUUAGCGGACAUUUUGGGUGUUUUCAAACCCUUCCCGAAAUGUUAAUAAGAACCCCGAACCCCCUUAAUAGUUUUCAAUAGAUUUACUGUUUUGAUCUAUUUGAAAAUGAAUAGUUUUCUUGAUUUUUCUUAAAAAUUAAGUGGCGACUCUUAAACCAGUCAAAAUACAUUUUUAAAUAAAACAGUUAGAGAUUCAUAUGCCAGUAGAAAAUGUGGAGAACUUUUCUAUUUUAUUUCGUAAAAUGUUGGCCUAAUAUGAAUUGAGAUGGGGAACAUGACCAAUGAGGACUGAGACGUAGUAGUUAUUGUUGUUGUUGUAUAUUGAAGCUUCAGAAAUAUUUUUUUCAUGUUCAUACAUUUACUUCAGGCCGAUGCUUUCUAGGAGGUUUGUAGGACUAUAUGAUAGAGUUUCUUAUGCCAGUAGGAAAUAUAGAGAACUUCUAGUACUUUUCAUGAUUAUGUUUAUUUCGUAAAGUGUUGUCCUGAGGUGAAUUUAAGUGGGGAACUUGGUCACAUAUAGACGAUCCCAGCUUAUUUUAGACUGAGACGUAAUUGUUGUUGUUUAUUGAAGCUUAAAGGAUGUGUUUGCUCUUCUCAUGUGUUGACAUGGGGAAUAGGUACAAUAAAAGUCUUCUUGGGGAUAAACUAGGGAAGUUCCCUGUGCCUUUACUGAUAAACACUGUGCACUUUGCGAUGCAAGCUGUUUUGUCCAAGGCCAUUACCGGGUUUUGGCAUCAACGAUUUCAACCUACAGUGAUGAUGUCUUGGAGAGACUAUUCUUUGAAAGGUAACGUUAAGACUAAUAAUUCCCUUUUUUCUUUGGUUUCGAUUGAGUAGAAAACUAAAAGUAUUUGAAAGGCAUAUGAUAUUAUAGAGCAGGAAAUAUGUGUAUAAUGUGUUUAUGCACUUGUCCAGUGGAUUUGUUUACGAAACAUAGGAAGAUGAGAGUAGGAUUAUUAACGAGCUUGAAUGUAUGUGCAUCUUAUGAGUUGACAGCUUCAAUUAGCUAUAGUUUGUGACUUAGUUAAGCCCACAUGUUACACUUAUUGGCUUAUUACUGAUAUAUCGACAAUGGUUUCAAAUGAACUUUUAUGUACACAAAUAGAGGCAGUUCCUGUUACGUACGAGAAUCUCAAUUUUUAUCCAAGUUAGUUCUUCAUGAGUUCAAGACAUAUAAUCUCUUAUGUCUUUCAUUUCUAACCUUUAUGUAGGAAUCUUUUUCCACGACUAAUACUAUAGACGGCCUUUGCCUUUCACAGUUGUACCGACAGCUCUUACAACAGCAAUGGAUGUGAACCUCAGCAAUGCAUCCCUUGUUUUCAUCUCAGUCACAUUUGCCACUAUGGUGUGCAUCAUACAGUUUGUGUCAAUACUGAUAGACUGCAAAUUUUUCUUCAAAAAUUGAGCUCUGAGAAAGCAUGUUUGUUAAACUCACGCCCUUAAUAUUCGUCGAGGGCUCUAAUAUUUGCAUUUAUGUACCUUGAAAUUUAGCAGUCACAACUCUCUGCCACUAAAGUAAGUGUGAUUGUCGAAGCCUUCAAGGGCCACUCAAAUAAUCGUCUAAUAUCAAUAAGAAUAACAGAUUUCUUACUUUGUUUUCUCCUUCCUUAUUCUGAUACGAACUCUCUGCCCAUCUUUCUCCUAUUCUUCGCAUUUGCUUUCAGGUACUACUUUUAACCACUGAUCUCUUAUGUUUAAUUGUGAUUUUUUAUGGGGGGUAGCGGGCCAGAAGCAUCGAAUUUCUACUUGAUCCUCUGUUAUAGAUGUACAUCCAACAAUAUUAUUCAUAAAUGCAACUUUUUUUUCCAUAUUGAGGACUUAAUAGAAUGUGAUUGUUAAUUCGUUAUGGACUAAAAACCUGAAAGCGUCUAUGAAAUAACUAUCUUUGAUGAAUACGAUACAUUUGACGGGGCUCAUAUCUAAGCUGAAUACAUGGCCUCAAUUAUUUGUGUAAGGUUGGAGUCUCCAAAUGUAAAGCUGCUGGGGAUCAUCUUGGUCAUUUCUUGUAUUAUUUAUUCUCAUAUAUGAAGAAGUAUUCAUAAUUUUCAUCUUCAUCUGUCAUUCAUAAAUCAUAUCUGUAACCUUCACUUGUACACCAGAUAAAACGUUUACUUUAUCGUACAAUAUUUUCUCGUUUCACAACUAUCAUUGACAAUUUGGAUAAACUUAGGUAAUCUUCUUAAUGAGUGUUUUCGUAAGCUUUAUCGCCUUGUUGAUAACUGUGUCAUUUGUUAAUUUACAUCCGUUUGGUAGAUAAGUCUGACUCCAUUUUCUGAUAAUGCAGUUGCAAAGGAGACAGAAUUUGAGUUUUGGGAUUUGUCUUUGUUAUGCUUGCUGCAGUUAUGUCUGGAUUUCGCUGGACUAUGACUCAGAUUCUUCUGCAGGUUGGAUUUUGUGACAUUCGUUGCAUUGUUAUAAUUUAUUUCUCGUUCCGUUGUUUUGUCAAUAGUAUGUUUGCUUACUUUGUGUAUUUUUCUGUUUGUUUUCCCAUAUCCAACUGGUUGUGCUGAACAUAAAACUGGCAUAAAGAAAGAAGCCUAUGGUAAUGACUAUGAACAACUCUUAGCAAAUUUUAAAUAUUCUGGAAAUGUUAUUAUCACCAUCAUUAUUAUUAGCAGUCGUAGCAGCAGCGACUGCACCACUACUUAGACUACAUCAAAUCUGAUCUUGUUUUAAAAGGGCAGUUCGAUGCACGAAGCAUCUCACAUUCACGCAGGGUCCAAGGUAGGGCCACACCUCAAGAGAGCAUGAUGUAGGCAGCCUACCCUGAUACAAAUCAGCGGCUAAUUCCAUAGCUCAAACCCUGCUUUGUCUUAGUCCUAGUUUUGACCAAAUUAAUAUGUUGAUUUGUUAUUUGUUUUAUAGUUUGUGAAUAAAUUGUGUAAUGAAAUGCAUGCUUUGGUUAUUGCAGGUUUAAAAAAUCCACUCACACUAAUGAGCUAUGUUACUCCGGUAAUGACUCUUUCAACUGCUGUGUUGUCCCUUAUUUUUGAUCCGUGGCACGAAUUCAGACACACCAAUUACUUUGAUACGUCAUGGCAUAUAGCUAGAAGUUGUUUGUUGAUGCUUUUUGGCGGAACUUUGGCUUUCUUUAUGGUAUGUAUGUGUCCAAGCACUGGUAUCAGUUCAAUUUGUGGAUUUUCCAUCUCAUAGUGAAAAUGAAGCCUUCUAAUAGGCUUAGUUCGUUUAGAAAUGAUCUGAGUGUUCAACUGACACAGUGGAGACGAGUUGAUGUGUCUGAAUGUGCGUUCUCAAAGUUGGAGUGUUUAAACUGUUCCUAGCAGUUUAGUCGUCCUAAAUCAAAACGACUGUAUGUUUACUUAAGCUAUAGUAGUUCAAUCAAAUUGUUGAUAUCGAGCCCGUUUUAGUCAAAAAUGUGACUUUGGCAUGGUUUAAUGGCAUGUGUUGAAGUCGUAAUUUUUCCAUUUUCGCUACUCAUGUAUGAAAAAAUUCAUAAAGGUAGCACAAGUGAAGAUGAAACUGGAUCACCAUUAGGAAAUGCAGCUACCAAGUAUGUUAUACUUGAAGAAAUGGAAGAUCAAGACCAUGGUCCUUGAAGUAUUACAUAUGACAUUUCAACUACGCUGCACUCUGAUGGCGUUUUGUAUUUGCAACGGAAGGAAGGGGACGAAAAAAUGCAUAGAUUUUCUACCAAAUGAAGGUCAAUCGUAUACAUGAGGAAUAUUUCUUAAUCAAGGAAGUUGAGUUUUUUCACCUAGUAGACUAUAAGACAUGUUGCUUAUAGAAGAUAUUACGACUUGAAAAAGAAACUUACAAAAAUGUUACUAGUUAAGAACUAACUACUUAAAUACACUACAUUACAAUAUUCGGAAUUUUACCAUUUAGUGGCGACUUCCAAAAGUCGUUAAAUAACAUUUGAUUAUGGAUUCACAUGUAUCUAGGAUAUACAUUGAUUCUCUCGCUCGCAUCUCUCAUCUCUUGCUCCCCUUUCUUCCUUUCUCGCUCCCCUCUCUUCCUAUGUUAGGAAACCUUUAUGGAAUCCUCCGUUGGGAGUUGGGGGAGCAUUACGUACAAUCUCACAUUUUUUAGAGUGAACUUUGGGCAUUUAAAGACCAAGAUUUUCUUAAUUUUGUGUGUGUGUUAUUCCAUGAAUAAUUUGGUGAUAUGACUUCCGAACGAUUUUUUUUGUGAACCUUUAUGGUACCUUCCGUAGGGAGUUGGUGGAGCAUUACGUACAGUCUCACUAUUUUUAGAGUGAUAUGACGGAGAUAUAACUCCUAAUAGCCCAAAAUAUGUCUAAAAAAUGACAAGACUUCACAUAUUUCUCUCACAACUCUCUACAGAGGGUUCCGUAAUGACUUUGCACAAAAAUCAACCGUCAGUCACAUCACCAAAAUAUUCAUGAAUUAACUGUGUCCACACAAACCCAAUAGCAUAGAUGGAAUUUGGAAAGAUAAUUAUGUUGGGAUAUUUUCUUCCUGUGGUGCUCGCUGCAGCGUACAAUGAUGAGCUGUAUAUGUCUCCAUCUUUUUUCAUUCAUUUUUUUAAAUUUAAAAUGAUCGUUCCAUAGGUGUGAUAAGAUAUGAUAUAUUUUAAUUACACUUAAAGAUUAUGUCAUAAAUUGAGAUAUUUUAUGAGAUAAUUAAUUAUAUUACUAUGUAAAUGAAUAAUUUAUAUUUCAUCAUUAUAAAAUGGAAAAAUUCUUUUGGCCAGAAUGGUAAAAUAACAUAUUUCACACUAUGUUAUUUUAUCUUUUUGAACAUUUUUACCAUUUUAACUUUAAUACCAUUUAAUUAAAAAAAAUUUAAAAAAAUCAGUUUUUUUAAAAAUAAAAAGGAUAUUAUAGACUUUUGAAAAUUUCUAACCAAAUUCUGGCCAAAUUUUCCGGAUUUUGGUUGUAUGAUACUGAAUGUGAGACUGGAAUUGCUGUGCAAAUGGAUUUGGAGGAAAAGUACAUGGAUAAACUUGCAUGUGACCAAGAUAUCAUAGAUUUUGCUAAAUUUUAGGGUUUAAUUUUCAUGUUCUUUCAUUUAAUUUGUACUCCCUUCAUUUUAAUUUUCAUGUUCUUUCAUUUUCUAUGAACACGCUUUGACUAUAAUUAAGUAGCAUUUUAAGUUGUAGCAAGGAUUGUACUAAAAUAAAUAAUGUAAGAUUUUUGUUAGCAUUUUUGUUUACUUGUAGUAGCGAAUGUUCGCUACAAAAAAUCACUAUUUAGUGGCGACUUUCAAAAGUCGUUAAAUAACAUUUAGUUGUGGAUUCACAUGUAUCUAGGAUAUAUACACUGACUCUCUCGCUCGCAUCUCUCAUCUCUUGCUCCCCUUUCUUCCUCUCUCACUCCCCUCUCUUCCUAUGUUAGGAAACCUGUAUGGAAUCCUCCGUAGGGAGUUGGGGAGCAUUACGUACAAUUUCACAUUUUUUAGAGUGAACUUUAGGCAUUUAGAGACCAAUUUACAGGAAUUAUGUGAUUUUCUUAAUUUUUUGUGUGUGUUAUUCCAUGAAUAAUUUGGUGAUAUGACUUCCGAACGAUUUUUUUUGCGAACCUUUAUGGUACCCUCCUUAGGGAGUUGGUGGAACAGUACGUACAGUCUCACCAUUUUUAGAGUGAUAUGACGGAGAUAUAACUCCUAAUAGCCCAAAAUAUGUCUAAAAAAUGACAAGGCUUCACAUAUUUCUCUCACAACUCUCUACAGAGGGUUACGCAAUAGCUUUGCACAAAAAUCCACCGUCAAUCACAUCACUAAAAUAAUCAUGGGCUAACUGUGCCCACACAAACCCAAUAGCAUAGAUGGAAUUUGGAAAGAUAAUUAUGUUGGGAUAUUUUCUUCCUGUGGUGCUCGCUGCAGCGUAUAAUGAUGAGCUGUAUGUGUCUCCAUCCUUUUUUAUUCAUUUUUUUAUUUAUUUAAAAUGAUCAUUUGAUUGGUGUGAUAAGAUAUGAUAUAUUUUAAUUACACUUAAAGAUUAUGUCAUAAAUUGAGAUAUUUUAUGAGAUAAUUAAUUAUGUUAGUGAAAAACUUACAAGAUAACAAAAAAUACAAGAUUACAAUUGAAACUAAAAAUGAAGAAAUAAAUCUCUUCAGGAUGAGGCACGGAUAUCUCGCUCUCUUUAAGGAGAUUCAAGCCCACUGCAACAAAUGUUCUUGACUGAUCCAGCAGUAGUCCUCUUGACUAGCAAAGGUUUGAGUUUCAACACAUCUUUACCCUUUAGCUGGUCGAUUUGCUGAAGAUGAAUCGUCAAUUCUUUGUCUCGAUCAAGGUGUAACUUAUAUAAAAGCAACGGUCAAUUGUAAGCUUGAUGAUUUUCUUCAACAAGCAAACAAAGACGUUGAUCUAGCAUUGCCAUUUUGGCCUCAAGGAAUUAUGGAUGUGGACGAGACGAAUUUAUUCGUCAUGCCACUUCUGGUUGUGCAAGUCACAACAUUUGAAUGUUAAAGUGUUAAAGUGUGCCUUUAGUGUAUUUGUUUAUUUAGUUAUGCAUUAUUGUAAAUUAAUAAUUAUAUUAAAAAAUUAUAAACUAAUGACAUUCUGUUUUGCUAGAAACAGCAAGUACUAUCAUGUUAAUAAAACAAUGUAAUUAAUUGAAUAUAGUAUUUCGUGGGCAGGUGAUAAGUUAAAUGUAGAAAAGUUUGGUCACUUUAACAUUUUACUAUUUAUUUUAGACUGCUUUAAUAUAAUAUAUUAGGCUCUAUUAUACAUUAGAUGAGUAACAAUAAUAAUUAAAUUUCAUCUCAAUUAAGAAUGUGGUUCCACAUCUUUUUGAGAUACUUAAGAAACUCAAGGAUGCGGUUACGCACCUUGGCCAAAUUAUUUCAAUAAUUAAUUUUGUUAAUUCAAACCAAGAGAUGUAAUUUGAGAUUAUUAGAUGUGAUGAACUCGAGAGGGGAAGACGAUUAUGUCUCCAAAUGUCAAGAUCGAGAAUGCAGUUAUGCAUCCGGUUUAAGACUAAUAAAAAUUCAACAAUUAAAAAAUAAGCAAACCAUGACAUAUAUACACAAAUUAUCCAAAAACAUAUCAAGAUAAGUAUAAGUCAAUAAAAGAGACAGUGCUAGAACCACGAGAGUACUCGAGGGAUGCCUAAUACCUUCCCCUUGAUCAACAGAAUUCCUUACCUGAAUUUUUGGUUAGCAAACCAAACAAAGAGUCAUUUCCUUUUGAUUAGGGAUUAAAUAAAAGGUGACUUGGAACAUCAUAACUCAAUUCCAAGUGGCGACUCUGGAAAAAAUAAAAAAAAUAAAAAAUAAUAAUCUCUUAAUCAAUACGAACACUUAGAUUGAAAAAACCCUUUCCGCCGUGCGAAAAAAAGGGUGUGACAUCUCUAGCGACUCCGCUGGGGAUACUAACCAGAAUUCGAGCUUUGUUUUGUUGACUUUUAUUUUAUCUUAUUAUUUAUUUUUUUGGAUAAAUUGUGUGUGAUUGCCUAAUAUGAUACUUGUUGCUCUUUUAUCACUUUUUAUAUUGUUGAACUAUAAAUUGUCUUUCUUAGCGCAACCAUCUGAAUUGGCAUGAUUUAAUGGCACGUAUUGAAGACGUAAUUUUUUCAUUUUCGUUACUCAAGUAUGACAAAAUUCAUAAAAGUAGCACAAGUGAAGAUGAAACUGGAUCACCAUUAGGAAAUACAGCUACCAAGUAUGUUAUAAUUGAAGAAAUGGAAGAUCAAGACCAUGGUUCUUGAGGUUUUACAUAUGACAUUCUAACAAUGUUGCGCUCUGAUGGCGUUUUGUAUUUGCAACGGAAGGAAGGGGACGAAAAAAUGCGUAGAUUUUCUAGCAAAUGAAAGGUCAAGUUGUAUACAUGAAGAAGAUUUGUUAAUCAAGGAAGAUGAGGAAGUUGAGUUUUUUUCACCUAGUAAACUUUAAGACAUGUUGCUUAUAGAAGGGAAAUUUAUUACUCCCUAUGUGCUAAAAAAGUAAUGAUAUACAUUUUUAUACUUAGUAAAAAUUUAACUUUUAAACUUCUCGUUUUACCCCUAAAGUUAGUGGUGAAAGUUUGGUAUUCAGUUCGAGAUUUCCAAAUUUCGAGUUCAAUAGUUAAAAAUAAAUUCAAUUCAAUAUGGUAUUCAGUAAUACCGUAUUAAAGUUGUAGGAUUUGGAAAAGAAUGAUCACAAAUCUUUCUACUUUUUGUUUGUUAAAAUCAUGUCAUUUUUUCUGACUAAGUUAAAGAAAAAGAGAAAUUGGUUUCUUCUUUUGUUUAGAUGAUAAUGUUAGUGGACCUAGCUUGAAAUGUGAGACAAAAUUAUAUGAAUUGAAGUUUGAUUUCGAUAUGUAAUUCGACUGAUUUGAUGUUAUUUUUAUUCUUUAUUUGAUUUCAAGUAUGCAUAAAAAACAAAUGUAACGUAUAUUUACAUCCACACAAAUAUCUACACAUAUUUUUAGUUUAAGAUUACAAAAUUUUAAAAGUCGUCUAUACUUUCAUAAAUUAAUAUCCCAUGAAACUAAGAUACACAAACUAAAACUAGCGGAGUAACUUAGUACUAAUUCGAUUUGCUUCAUACAUUGUUUUAGUACUAGACAUAUAAGCUCGUGCUAACACAGACUCAAUAACAUACAUAGAAUUUGGAAAGACAAAUAAUUAUUAACAUGAUUAUUAUUAAUUUACGAGACUUUUACGAUAAUUUUUUUCUAUUCUAAUUUAUGUGAUACAAAUUAAUUUUCGUGUGUAUUAUUGCAUGGAUUUGGCGCCUCGGAGCACCCAAAAACAUAUUCUGAAAAAUCUUUAUAAGGACCUCUGUAAUGAGUUGGGAACCAUCACUUAUACUCACACUAUUUCUUAACGCUUAUUUAUGCAUUUACUGACCCUUUUUUAGGAAUUACGUAAAAAAAAUCAAUUUUUGGGUGUAUUAGCCUAUGAAUCUGGCGCAUUAGAGCACCCAAUUUUUUUUUCUGAAAAAACUUUAUGAGUAAUUCUAUAAUGAGUUGGAGAUCACCACGUAUACUCACAUCAUUUUUAACGACUAUUUCCACAUUUAUAGAUUCUUUUUUAGAAAUUAUGCAAAUUGCUCGAUUGUUCAUGUGUAUUAGCCCAUGAAUCUGGCGACUCGGAGCACCCAAAAUUGUUUUCUGAAAAAACUUUAUGAGAACCUCUGUAGUGAGUAAGGGAACCACCACAUAUACCCACACCAUUUUUAACAGCUAUUUUCGCAUUUACAGGCCAUUUUUUUAUGAAUUAUGCAAAUUCCUUGAUUUUUCGUGUGUAUUAGCCCUUGAAUCUAGCGCCUCAGAGCACCCGAAAAAAAUUUCUGAAAAAACUUUAUGAGGACUUUCGUAAUGAGUUAGGGAGCCACCACAUAUACUCAUGCAAUUUUUUUAAUGCCUGUUUUUGCACUUACAAGCCUUUUUUAGGAAUUAUGCAAAUUACUCGAUUUUUCGUGUGUAUUAACCCUGAAUAUAUUGGUGACAUGGCUUUCAGACGAAAUUUUUGCAAAACUCUUUACGGAACCCUUCAAAGGGAGUUGGGGGAGCAGUACGUACAAUUUUACCAUUUUUAGAGUGAUUUAUGGGCAUUAAGGAGUCAAUUUACAUUAUUUAGGCGAUUUUCUCAAUUUUUCAUGUGUGUUAGCCGAUUAAUAUUUUGGUGAUAUGACUUAUAGAUGAAUAUAUUACGAAACCUUUAUGGAAUUCUCUGUAGGGAGUUGGGGAAGCAUUGUGUACAGUCUCACCAUGUUUAGAGUGAACUUUUGGCAUUUAGAGGCCAAUUUAUAGUAAUUAUGUGAUUUUCUCUAUUUUUUGUGUGUGUAAUCCCAUGAAUAAUUUGGUGAUAUGAUUCUGAACGAAUUUUUUUCGUACCUUUAUGGUACCCUCCGUAGGGAGUUGGUGGGGCAGUACGUACAGUCUCACCAUUUUAGAGUGAUAUGGCGGAGAAAUAACUCCUAAUAACCCAAAAUAUAUCUGAAAAAUGGCGAGGAGACGUAUUGCUCUCCCAACUACCUACAGAGAGUUACGUAAUAAAUUUGCACAAAAAUCGAUCAUCAAUCACAUCACCAAAAUAUUCAUGAGAUAACUGUGCCAACACAAACCCAAUAGCAUAGAUGGAAUUUGGAAAGAUAAUUAUGUUGGGAUAUUUUCUUCCUGUGGUGCUCGCUGCAGCGUACAAUGAUGAGCUAUAUAUGUCUCCAUCUUUUUUAUUCUAUUUUUCAUUUAUUUAAAAUGAUCGUUCGGUAGGUGAUAUAAGAUAUGAUAUAUUUUAAUUAUAUUUAAGAUAAAAUUUAUUUCAUAAUUUGAGGUAUUUUAUGAGAUAAUUAAUUAUAGUACUAUGUAAAAGAAUAAUUUAUAUUUCAUCAUUAUAAAAUAUAUAAUUUCAGAACUAACUAAUACUCCUAAUUAUUUAUUCUGUAUUUUAUCUUAAUAUUGUUAUCUCUUUUUCUUUAAAUUCCAUAAGUUUUUCCUCUUCAAUUAUUAGGGAGCACGUUUAAAAGGCUUGCAAAACAUUGUUGUAAUUGGCUGGUAGAGUCGUGAGGAAACAACUAAGCAAAUGGAGAAACAAAAAUACUUUUUUCGUUCCAUUUUAAUUAACACAUUUUAUUUGAUACAAUAUUUAAAAAGGAAUGAGACAUAAGUACCUCCUAGACUAUUAUGAUCGAAAUCUCUGAGACACAUCUUAACUAAACUAAGAUCCUAUUAUCCGAACUGUUUUGUUUUUUUUUUGUAAUUUUUUACACCUUUUUGACUUACGUAGCAUCCAAACAUCUCUCACAUGCCUACAUGGAGUCAUGGAGUAUGCCACAUAAAUUAAUGGAUUAGUUCAAUUAUAUAUGCUUUUAUUUGAAGUUUAUUCUUCUACGUUCUUGAAUAAUCGAUUUCUACUAAUACAACUAAGGAUCGUUUGGUAAUUGAUUAGAACUUUACAAGUAUUAGUAUAAUGGAGAUAUUAGUUAUUAACUGUUCCACCUUCUAUCACACAUAAAAUAAAGGCAUAAUACAUAAAUAUGUCAUUUAACUUNNNNNNNNNNNNNNNNNNNNNNNNNNNNNNNNNNNNNNNNGCACAAGUAGACACUUAAACUUAUAUAAAGUUGAACAAAUAGACACACAUGUACUACAUGGCAUCCUACAUGUCAUUUUUUGUCCUACGUGUAUUGUGCCACGUAAAACUCAUGUGUCUACUUGUUCAAGUUUAUACAAGUUUAAGUGUCUACUUGUGCAUAUCCAAAGUUGAAGCGCAUAAAUGUGAAAUGAAGCCAAGUUAAAGGACAUAUUUAUGUAUUAUGCCUAAAGUAAAUGAUACACCAAUUUUUUCAUAACUUAAACAUACAUUAUUCUACAAGUUCUAAAAUUACAAAUCAAACGUUAUAUUAAGGUGUACGCCUCGUACCCCUAACUCUUCUCUCUCUCUAUACAUAUAUACACCUAUUUUUACCACAACUCUUCAUUCACAUUAAAGCUAGAAAUGGCAGAAGAAAUGAUGAACAACAAACAAAUCAUUCUAAAACAUUAUGUGGAAGGUUAUCCUAAGGAAUCUGAUAUGGAAUUUAAGAAUAGUAUCAUUAAAUUGAGUGUUCCAGAAGGUUCUAAUGUUGUUAUUUUGAAGAAUCUUUACUUGUCUUGUGACCCUUACAUGCGUAACCGUAUGAGCAAACUUGAGGGUAGCUAUAUUCAAUCCUUCACUCCUGGUUAUGUAAGUAUUUCAAUAAUUUACUACCACACAUGAUUAUUUAGUUGAUAUAUAUUAUACGAGAGUCAAAAAAAUAUAUUUAAUGUAUUUUUAUAAAUAGGUGUUUGGAUUAAUUUAUUUUAACAGUUUUUGGCUUUUAAUCUUCUUUUGAAACUUUUUGAAGGUGUUUGAUAAAAAACACCUUUUUAAGGCUGAGAAAUUACAAAAAUAAGUUAAAAGUAUAGAUAUUCUCAACUCGUGACUUUUAAGUUUUUGCUUAUAAGAUACUUAAAACAAAGUCAAUCUAAACAGCCCGUGAUCGUGGAUCUGGGCAGGGUGGUGAGUACUGGCUUAAUUUCUAUCUUGUGGAGGUAGAGAGAUUAUUUUCAAAAGACUUUCAAAAUCAAGUCCGAAUUUUGAGAGUCGAACUUGUUAAUCUUGAUCUGGAUUUGAAUAUAAAAUCUUUAAUUUUUUAUAAAUAUUCAAGAACAAUGUUAAAAGUAUUAUAAAUCAUAACAAUUGAAUAUAAAAUCUUUAAAUAGUGUAGACCUUGAUUGUUUCAAAUUUAACAUUAUGUUUUGUCUGCAGCCUAUUACAGGAAAUGGAGUGUCUAAAGUUUUGAAAUCUGGUGAUUCAAAUUUUCAAGAAGGUGACUUAGUUUGGGGAAUGACUGGAUGGGAGGAAUAUACUAGUAUUGUAACAACUACUCAAAGUAUGUUUAAAAUUGAUCAUGACAAGGAUGUGCCUCUUUCCUAUUAUACAGGAAUCCUUGGUGAGUGUUUUCGACUGGGUUAAAGUCUUACAUUAGUUGGGGUCUCUACAUAUAUGGAUUUGAAAAAAAUAAUUUUCGGGAUUGAGUUAGGCCCAGGCGUCAUAACUUUACAUGAUAUAUAUAUAUCUAUAUAUGAACCAAGUUCAUCCCUAUUUGGGAUCUUGGUCCACACGCUCCAGUUGGGCUUGCACUUGAAGGGGGGUCUAGAGUCCCACAGUGGUACUACAACAAAGCCAACUUUUAGCGGCAAUAAAUAGACACAUUAAUAAAGAGUGCUAAAGUCUUUACUGGCAUUAGUUAAGUGUCGUUAGAUCCAAUGUCGCUAAAGGCUUUAGGGGCAUAUACAAAGAGUGCUAAUUGCCACUAAAAAUACAUAUUUAGUGCCAAUUGAUCUAUUACCGUUAAUUAAUUGCCACUAAAGAUCGUUUUUGAUGUAGUGAUGGUUGGUUGGGGAAUAGACUGGUAAUCUGCUUAUAUGGACUCAGACAAUAAUCUUCUGCUUUUGCAGGGAUGCCUGGGAUGACAGCUUAUGCUGGAUUUUAUGAGGUUUGCUCCCCUAAGAAGGGAGAAACUGUGUUUGUUUCAGCUGCUUCUGGAGCAGUUGGUCAACUUGUUGGACAAUUUGCAAAGAUGUUAGGUUGUUAUGUUGUUGGUAGUGCUGGAAAUAAACAAAAGGUAAGUGCUUAAACAUUUCAUUCUUGAAUUUUAUUAGUGGCUUAUAAGUUAUCUUACUUAUCUUAAUCAUUGUUAAAUAAUCUAGCUAUCUCAUCUAUUCAUUAUUAUUAUUAAAGGUUGAUAUGUUGAAGACCAAGUUUGGUUUUGAUGAAGCUUUUAACUAUAAAGAGGAGCAGGAUUUAGAUGCAGCUUUGAAGAGGUAAGUAAUCUUAUAAAUUCCCACAAGAAAACACUAACUAAUAUGGAAAAAAAUAGUUUCCAGGGUGAAGGUGUUGGCAACGACUUCUUUUUUAACCUUAACGAUGUGGGGGGUUAGGCUUGACCCCUACCAUGUCUAUAACAUCCAAAAAGUUAAAAAAGUAGAGGGGGACAUGGACCUAACCUCUUGAUAGUGAACAACGAGGAUAAACUAAACAAUCUACAAAAAGACCAAGAUGACAUAGACUUUCAUACUAUAAGAAAAAUACACUGGUUCAAUUAACAAAAAAAUUAAAUUUGUCGUAUCUUCUCCUUAUGCUAAAGUUGCCACUUAUCUAGUAGAAAUAGUCCCUUCACCUCAGAAGAAUUGUGUGUGGUGGAUUGAACAUUAAGGGCAUAUAUGAAAAGAUAGCUAAUAUAACGCUAAAGGUAUAUAUGAACUGAUAGUAUAACGGAAAAGCAAUACUAGACCUUUAAUUUUCAAUAAUAUAGGAGUAAAUAUGACCUUUUUUUCGUAUUGGUUUAUUCUAUUAGGUACUUCCCUGAUGGAAUUGCCAUUUACUUUGAGAAUGUUGGAGGUAAGAUGCUUGAUGCAGUUCUUGUGAAUAUGAAACUUCAUGGUCGUAUUGUUGUGUGUGGAAUGAUUUCACAAUACAACCUUGACAAGACUGAAGGAGUGCACAACUUGUUUUGCCUUAUCGCGAAACGAAUCCGUAUGGAAGGAUUUCUUGUUUUUGAUUACUAUCAUCUUUAUCCUAAAUAUUUGGAAAUGAUCAUUCCACAAUAAAGGCUGGUAACAUUGUGUAUGUGGAAGACAUAGCUGAAGGUUUUGAAAGUGCUCCUAGUGCUCUAGUUGGUCUCUUCUCUGGUCUCAAUGUUGGAAAGCAAAUUGUGAUGAUUUCAUGUGAAUGAAUGGAUUUGGAUCUUUUCCAUUUUCUCUCAAGUUUUUACUUGAAAGGAAAGAUAUUGUGUCAUGGUUAAAUACUUAAAUACGCAAACAUUUCUAUCAUGUAUUUACUAAUUCUCUGUGUGGUUUGAAAUAAUUAGUCAUUAAUUGAUAGUUUCAUACUAGAUUUCAAGUCAGAUAUACUUAGGUACAUGUACUUUUGCUGCUAGAUACAUUCUGAAAUGCAGAUACAUAGGAAGAGAGUGAGCGAAAGAAGAGAAAGGAGAGAUGAGAGAGGCGAGAGGCAAGCGAAAGAGUUAGUGUAUUCCAGAUAUAUGCAAAUUACACUAGAUACAUAUAAUAUGAGUGAGAGAGUCAGUGUUUCCAAAUACAUAUAAAUUAUCCUUGAAUACAGUAUAUCAUGGAUGUGUCGCAUACAUGUGUUUGGGAACUGAAAUCUGACACAAACAAUAAUUUCAAAGAGGCACAUAAUUAAACUCUAAAUUAAAGAAAUUCUUAUCGUUUGCCCUUGAACUUAUUUAGGCAAAUAACAAUAAUUUUUAAUAAAAUAAACAGCAAUAAAAUACAUGGUGAAUAGCAAUGAUCAUUAGAGUAAAUAUAAUGUAUUUUAUUAAUAUUGAAAUAUGUGAAAAGAAAAAUAUUAUAGUGUAGCACAAGAUUGUAGGAGGUGUUUAUGAAAAAGAGAAGGGCAAAGCUUUUAAAUUUGAUGGGUAGAUAUCCUAAGUAGGGAAAAUAAAAGGUCGGAAGAGAUUAAAGAUUGCGAGAUUAAUAAUAAUUAAUAAAAUUAAAUAUAUAUAAUAUAGUAAUGAUGAGUAUAUUUUCUUAGAAAAUGAAUGAGUUUCAUAUAUAUUUUCUUAUAUUUAAUACGCGUAAGUAAAAAAUAUUUGUGUAUAAUCUAGAAUACUAUGUCAGGUAGGCAUGUGGGAUAUAUAUUGUUUCCCGAUGGGGAUGAGAGUGUAGAUAAAGUGUGUUAGAGAAUGGGGAGGACACAACUGAAGUUGAAUUUCAUUUGCGAAACUUAUUUUCCUACUUUCAGGCAUGGGAGGAACCAACCUUCAGAUGAACCCCCUUUGACAAAAAUAUUACUAUUUAUACAUGGUUAAAAUUAUUUUUUAUGUAUAUAUAAUAGAUGUCGAACUCCCUUCAGUUAGUUCGUGUGUUUAGUUCUUUAGAUAUUGAACCCCCUUAUUAAAAAUCCUAGGUCCGCCACUGCUUCCAGGAUAACUUUUACUAUACGAACAUGAAAAAAUUACUGGGCAUAUGAGUUUGAUAUAGCCCAUUUGAUACCUUCGUAUCCGAGUUCUCAAAAUUUCACUUCAAAGGUGCUGAGUUGGAAUCCCAUUCUAACUAACGAUUCUUGAGGUUCCGGAGGUACAACUACAGGAGAACCAGGAUUGGAGGGCUCCCCCGCCCCCCGUUCCGCCCAACUCUUUGGUCUUAAGAACGCUGGUUUUAAGAAUGAGUCAUUGCCUUUCUCCGACCCUGACUACCCAGCCUGAGAGCGGACAGCUAAUGCGUUCCACUUAUUGAACAGGGUCCUAUGGUCGGUCCGUGACCCCCGGAUGCCGAAGCCAUCCUUGGGGUGAUCUCAUAGUUCCUACGGGGUGGAGAUGAUGGGGUCGGUCCAUGGAUUUUCCUUCCUUUUCUUUUGCCGCAUUACGCUCAAAGGGUUGAAGGGAGAUAGUGCAUCAACCUGUUCGCAAGGGCCAACUUGAUCCUAUUCCCCAGAGAUCUCAGAUGAGGGAACCCUGGGAGAGAAAAAUGUUUCCUCCGCGCACCCUAUUUUAUUUUUCGUUUCUUGUUCAAGAACCCUUUAGAUGUUAGAAACAUUGAGGAUAAGUGAACUUCAUUCUCCCAACUGAAUGUUUAUUCAUUAUGUAUAUAUGAUAUGAAUGGAUUAACAAUUUGUCCUAUGAUAAUGUUUCUCAUAAGUACUUCUCUUUUGUGUUAUGUUAUAGCCUAUCACAGGAUGUGGGGUGGCUAAAGUUUUGAAGUCUGGUGAUUCAAAUUUUCAAGAAGGUGAUUUAGUUUGGGGAAUGAUUGGAUGGGAGGAGUAUAGUAUUGUAACUGCUACUCAGAGUGCUCUGUUUAAAAUUCAUGACAAGAAUGUACCCAUAUAGACGAUCCCAGCUUGUUUUAGACUGAGACGUAAUUGUUGUUGUUGUUUAUUGAAGCUUAAAGGAUGUUUUUGCUCUUCUCAUGUGUUGACAUGGGGAUCAAUAGGUACAAUAAAAGUCUUCUUGGGGAUAAACUAGGGAAGUUCCCUGCGCCUUUACUUAUGAACACUGUGCACUUUGCGAUGCAAGCUGUUUUGUCCAAGGCCAUUACCGGGUUUUGGCAUCAACGAUUUCAACCUACAGUGAUGAUGUCUUGGAGAGACUAUUCUUUGAAAGGUAACAUCAUGACUAAUAAUGCUCUUUUUUCUUCUUAACAACUAAUACUAUAGACGGCCUUCGCCUUUCACAGUUGUACCAACAGCUCUCACAACAGCAAUGGAUGUGAACCUCAGCAAUGCAUCCCUUGUUUUCAUCUCAGUCACAUUUUCCACUAUGGUGUGCAACUCUUUCUCCUUAUACAGUUUGUGUCAAUACUGAUAGACUGCAAAUUUUUCUUCAAAAAUUGAGCUCUGAGAAAGCAAGCUUUGUUAAACUCACGACCCUAACAUUUGUCGAGGGCUCUAGUAUUUGCAUUUAUGUACCUUGAAAUUUAUCAGUCACAACUCUCUGCCACUAAAGUAAGUGUGAUUGUCAAAGCCUUCAAGGGCCACUCAAAUAAUCGUCUAUUAUUGAUAAGAAUAACAGAUUUCUUACUUUGUUUUCUCCUUCCUUAUUCUGAUACGAAUGCUGGAUUCCUAAAUGCAAUUUAUGUCAUUGCAGUGUAAAUCUGCAUCUCCCAUCUUUCUCCUAUUCUUCGCAUUUGCUUUCAGGUACUACUUUUAAUCACUGAUCUCUUUUGUUUUAUUGUGCUUUUUUUAUGGGGGUAGCCGGUCCAGAAGCAUCGUAUUUCUACUUGAUCCUUUGUUAUAGAUGUACAUCCAACAUUAUUGUUCGUAAAUGCGACUUUUUAUUCCAUAUGAGGACUCAAUAGAAUAUGAUUGUUAAUUCACUAUGAACUAAAAACCUGAAAGCAUCUUUGAAACAACUAUCUUUGAUGAAUACGACACAUUUGACGGGGAUCAUAUCUAAGCUGAAUAUAUGGCCUCAAUUAUUUGUGGAAGGUUGGAGUCUCCAAGUGUAAAGCUGCUGGGGAUCAUCUUGGUCAUUUCUGUUGGGAUACUAUUAACAGGUAUGUUCCAUGCUUGCAUUUAGUUGUCUUGGUAUUGUUUUUCGUAUUUUAUAUUCUCUUAUAUGCAAAAGUAUUCACAAUUUUCAUCUUCAUCUGUCAUUCAUAAAUCAUAUCCGUAACCUUCACUUGUGCACCAGAUAAAACGUUUACUUUAUCAUACAAUAUUUUUCGUUUCACAACUAUCAUCGAUAAUUUGGAUAAACAUAGGUAAUCUUCUUAAUGAGUGUCUUCGUAAGCUUUAUCGUCUUGUGGAUAACUGUGUCGUUUGUUGAUUUACAUCCGUUUGGUAGAUAAGUCUGACUCCAUUUUCUGAUAAUGCAGUUGCAAAGGAGACAGAAUUUGAGUUUUGGGGAUUUGUCUUUGUUAUGCUUGUUGCAGUCAUGUCUGGAUUUCGAUGGACUAUUACUCAGAUUCCUCUGCAGGUUGGAUUUUGCGACACUCGUUGCAUUAUUAUCAUUGAUUUCUCGUUCCGUUGUUUUGUCAAUAGUAUGUUUGCUUACUUUGUGUAUUUUUCUGUUUGUUUUCCCAUAUCCAACUGGUUGUGCUGAACAUAAAACUGGCAUAAAGAAAGAAGCCUAUGGUAAGGACUAUGAACAACUCUUAGCAAAUUUUAAACAUUCUGGAAAUGUUAUUAUCAUCAUCAUUAUUAUUAGCAGUCGUAGCAGCAGCGACUGCACCACUACUUAGACUACAUCAAAUCUGAUCUUGUUUUAAAAGGACAGUUCGAUGCACGAAGCAUCUUGCAUUCACGUGAUGUAGGCAGCCUACCCUGAUACAAAUCAGCGGCUAAUUCCACAGCUCAAACCCUGCUUUGUCUUAGUCCUUGUUUUGACCAAAUUAAUAUGUUGAAAAUCGUUAUUUGUUUUAUAGUUUGUGAAUAAAUUGUGUAAUGAAAUGCAUGCUUUGGUUAUUGCAGGUUUAAAAAAUCCACUCACACUAAUGAGCUAUGUUACUCCGGUAAUGACUCUUUCAACUGCUGUGUUGUCCCUUAUUUUUGAUCCGUGGCACGAAUUCAGACACACCAAUUACUUUGAUACGUCAUGGCAUAUAGCUAGAAGUUGUUUGUUGAUGCUUUUUGGCGGAACUUUGGCUUUCUUUAUGGUAUGUAUGUGUCCAAGCACUGGUAUCAGUUCAAUUUGUGGAUUUUCCAUCUCAUAGUGAAAAUGAAGCCUUCUAAUAGGCUUAGUUCGUUUAGAAAUGAUUAUCAAUUAUUAAAGAACUUGGACGUACAUAACGAUAAGUACUUCUUCAUGCUUACCUAGCAACGUUUGUUUACUGCAGGUGUUGACGGAAUAUAUUCUUGUGUCUAUCACAAGUGCAGUAACAGUGACAAUAGCGGGAGUUGUAAAGGAGGCGGUAACUAUCUUGGUACGUCGUAGUAGGUUCAACCUUUAAAGUGUCUAUCUAUGUAUUAUGUCAAAGCAAUUUUAUGCACUUUUAAGUCCUAUUUUUGCUGGUUGACUGAAGCUUACUUACCUCAAAGAUAUUGUACUAUUCGAACACUGAUAGACUGAGAUAGGACGUGGAUUGCUUCAAUCUUGAAUAUUUUUCGAUAUUUGUCAAAUAUCUAUGGUCUAUGGAGUCCAUGGUUUCAACAAUUUGUGUAAUAGCUGGUAAUUUGCUGCCCUGUUCAGGUUGCUGUGUUUUAUUUUCACGACGACUUUACCUGGAUGAAAGGGUUCGGUCUCCUGACGAUAAUGUUUGGUGUCAGUUUGUUUAACUGGUACAAGUAAGUGACUGAAUCCUUCAUGUUCUAGCAAGAAGUUAUCUCAUAAUGUCUCGUUCUGCACUGACAUUAAAAUUAGAUUUACUGAACACAAUAUGUGUGCAUUCUGUUUUAUGUUAUCAAUUUAUGAUCCUCAGUUAGUAGACACCUUAACUUAGCCUCAACUGAUCAAAGUAAACACUCCAACUUUGAGAAUACGCAUCUAGACACCUCAACUCGUCCCCACUGUGUCUCGUGACAUUGACAUGACAAAUAGAUUUUGGAGGUGUCUAUGUUGAUUGUUUUGUAAGUUGGAGUGUUCAACUGACAUAGUGAAGACGAGUUGAGGUGUCUGGAUGCGUGUUCUCAAAGUUGGAGUGUUUAAACUGUUCCUAGCACUUUAGUCAUCCUUAAUCAAAACGACUAUAUGUUUACUUAAGCUAUAGUAGUUCAAUCAAAUUGUUGAUAUCGAGCCAUUUUUAGUCGAAAAUGGGACUUUGGCAUGGUUUAAUGGCAUGUGUUGAAGUCGUAAUUUUUCCAUUUUUCGUUAAUCAGGUAUGACAAAAUACAUAAAGGUAGCACAAGUGAAGAUGAAACUGGAUCACCAUUAGUAAAUGCAGCUACCAAGUAUGUUAUACUUGAAGAAAUGGAAGAUCAAGACCACAGUCCUUGAAGUUUUAGUCAUAGUCAUAGUUUAUUUUAUUUGUAAUUCGCAGCAAACAUCCCAUUUUUUUGUUCAUCUGGUUCGGUAUACAAUUACUCAUUCGGUAUACAAAUGUAUAAAAUGUGUUUGUAUUUGUAUAAAGUGAGAGAAAAAGUGUAUAUACAAAUACAGAUACAAAUACAUAUAUUUUCAUCUUAUACACUUAUAAUUAAACAAAUACAGAUCUUAUUAUACAAAAUACAAUGUAUAAAUGAAUUUAUACAAAACUGAACAAUUUGUAUAAAUUGGAUGUAUCUAGCAAAUUAUACAAAUCAAAAGCUCCAUAACAAACAUAAAAUUUGCUAUGAAACGCAAUUAUGCAAACUAUAGUUAUAACAUACAAAUAUAAUUUUUAUGUUUGCUAUAUUGAAAGUUGCUCUAAUUUUUUUGUGAAAGACAUUCUACAUUUACUUCUUAAGGAAAAGACACACUACAUUUACUUCUCAAGGAAAAGGCACUCUCUUUUGGGAAGAUGCAUGGUUAAUUCCGAACGAAACUCAAAGACAGAAAUUUAUAGGCCCUCUACCUUGGAAUGCCCUAACAAAGACACUGUUGUGAACACGACUGGACAAGUUGUGGGCUUGAGGCUAACUAAACCACAAAGAGGCCCAAGAAUUAGACAGCCCAAUACUUGUUUUCCUUGGGAUCCAGGUUGAGUAGACUUGAUUUAUCGUAUUCAUAAUUUCUAGCAAAUUACAACGGAAGGGGAUGAAAAAAUGCGUAGAUUUUCUAGCAAAUGAAGGUCAAUCGUAUACAUGAGGAGGAUUUGUUAAUCAAGGAAGAUGAGGAAGUUGAGUUUUUUCACCUAGUAAACUUUAAGACAUGUUGCUUAUAGAAGGGAAAUAUAUUACUCCCUAUGUGCUAAAAAAAUAAUUAUAUACAUUUUUAUACUUAGUAGAAAUUUAACUUUUAAACUUCUCAUUUUACCCCUAAAGUUAGGGGUGGAAGUUUGGUAUUCGGUUCGAGAUUUCCAAAUUUUAAAUUCGAUAAUUCAAUAAUUGAUAGUUAAAAAUAGAUUCAAUUCAGUACGGUAUUCAGUACUAUCAUAUCGAAGUUAUAGUCUAUUGUAUAACAAAAUUAAUAUUGUUACUUCAGUCAUUUUGAUUUUUUUAUAUGAAUGCACGAUAUAAUAGAAAAUUAACAACUAAGAAGACAUCAAGAUCUCUGCCACUGUAUACAUGAUUUGUAUUAAUGCAAGAUUGUGUUUAAUCCAUUGUUAAUGACCUUCUCAAAAAAUAUUUAUAAAUUUCCUAGGGAAGCCAACUUAUUUUUUAAAACAUGUCAGAGUAAUAAUUUCUGGAACAACUUGACGUAAAAACAGGUUGAACCUUAUCUCGAUUCGGUAUUAUUUUCUCCGUUUAUUUUUAUUUAUUUUAAUUUAGAAAAUUAAAAAAUAAUUUAUGUUUUCUCAGCAGUUUAGUUUAGAAAAUUAAGAACAACUCCCUCUCUCAGUCUCGCUCGCCAUUCUCCUCCCUAUAACAUGUAGCUACGAAUUAUAAUUAACAAAUUAUAUUACUCCCUAUUUUAUGCGGCACUUUUCAAAUUUUGAGAUUCAAUUAAGUCUAUCUAUAACUGUAAGUUUUUUAUAGAUCUUUUAAACAUUUUAAAUUAUCAAUUAUUGUGACUUAUAACACUUUCUACAUAGUUUAUAAAUAUAUAAAUUUCAUUUUAAAAAAUUAAAGAUAUCUUCGCAAAUUUCCAGCGAAACUUAAAACUUUCAAAAAAAUGAAAAGUGUCACAUAAAUUGGGACAGAUGAAAUAAUAAUAUUAAUACCUAGCAAUAUUUAAUAAUUUAUUGGUUGGUACACCUAACAAUCUCGUAAUCGUAUAGCAACAAUAUUUUAAUACUCCCCCUGUCCCAUAUUAUAUGUCACCUUUUUCAUUUGCAUUUGCAUUAAGAAAUGAAUUAUCAAUUAUUGUGUCUUAUAACACUUUUUAUAUAGUUUACAAAUAUAUAAAUUUCAUUUUAAAAAAUUAAAGAUAUCUUCGCAAAUUUUCGACGAAACUUAAAACUCUAAAAAAAUGAAAAGUGUCACAUAAAUUGGGACAGAUGAAAUAAUAAUAUUAAUACCUAGCAAUAUUUAAUAAUUUUUCGGUUGGUACACCUAACAAUCUCCUAAUCGUAUAGCAACAAUAUUUUAAUACUCCCUCCGUCCCGUAUUAUAUGUCACAUUUUUCAUUUGCACUUACAUUAAGAAAUGAAGUAAUUUUACCCUUAUGCCCUUAUUUAAUGUUUGCUUAAAACAACUUUGUAAUAAAUGAUGAAUAGGUUAGAUUUCAAAAAUAUAAAUGCAUUUGGAUGACUUUAAAUUUUAGAGUUUAUUUUUGGAGCCAAAAAAUUUCACCAAUUGAUCCAAAAAAAAUUAAAAAUCAAGUUUUUUCCACCUCAAUUUUCCUAUAUAUUUUGUGUAAAAUGUUUUUUUAUAUUUUAUAUAUAAAUUCUUAAAGCAAACAUGACAACAUCACAAAAUAUUCAAAUUCCAUUACUUUAAAUUAAUCUAAAUUUUCCUGCUGAAUCUGAUGUUAUUGAUAAUGAAAUUAGACGACAAAUGAAUUUUAGUUCUAGUUCGACAAAUCAUUUAUUUUUUUUAUUUAAACAUCGAGGCACAUAUUAAAGAAGAUUUGAAUACAAAUAUUGGUUUGUUGUUUUGUUUAAAAUUUUGAUUCGUAUUUUAAUUGUUUUAUUUAUAUUUAUAUACUUAAUUCAUUUUUACAAUACCAUUUGAAGGGCUGCAAACUGCAUCAGAAGAAGAUAUAUUAUCGAAAGAGUCAACUACAAAUAUUGGUUUGUUGAUAUUUUUUUUCAAAAUUAGAUUCUAUAGAAUAAGUAGUGAAUAAAGAAAGUAGUUAAUUAAUGAAUGAAGUACUCUCCCAAUGAAAUUAAUUACUUGUAGAUUUUCUAGGUUAAUCAAAGUAAAUACAUUUUCAAGAUUAAUUGAUUAAUCUAUCAAGGGUAUAAUGGAAAAAAUAUGAUAAUUUAUGCAUAAAUUUUAUAAAAUGAUAUAUAUUGUGGUCCAGCUAUUUUUAGAAAGGGAUGACAUAUAAUAGGGUUACGGAGGGAGUAAAAGAUCCGUACACAUGCAAUUGGUUACUGAUUUAAAAUAAUUUGUCUCUACUCUCAUCCAAAUAUGUAAUCUGACUGAUUUUAUGUUAUUUUUAUUCUUUAUUUCAAGUAUGCAUAAAAAAACAAAUGUAAUAUACAUAAUUAUUUAAUUAAAUUGAAAAAAAAAGUUAAGUUUUUUUUAAAAAAAUGGACAAGAUUCAACAAGAAGAAAGGUAGAAGAGAGAUGAAAAAUGGUAAUGGGCUUGAGGUGGGGGAGGGGUGAGUGUAGAGGCUAAUUAUUUAUUUAUUUUUUAAUUUAUAUAAACACAAAAUUAGAUCAAUUAUAUAAGGUUAUAUAUUAAAUAAUUUUUAAUUAUUUAAAUAGAGAAGGACCCAAAAUUUUCCCAAGCUAUGACAUUUAAUUUGUAUAAUAUUGUCCUUUGUUCAUAUUAAAGUGUGGUCCGUAAAAAAUAAAGACAUAUUGUACCAAACAAGUUAACGCUGAGAGCAUUUCUAACUCGAAAAAUUGACGAAGAACAGUUUUAUAUCAAAUAAAUAUGAAUCCUUUUACAAAAUUUUAAAAGUUAUCUUUACUUUCUUAAAUUAAUUUCCCGUGAAACUAAGAUACGCAAACUGGAACUAACGGAGUAACUUAGUACUAAUUCGAUUUGCUUCAUACUAUUAUUUUAGUACUAUGAUUAUCUCUUUUUCCUCUUCGAUUAUUAGGGCCACAUUUAAACUGCUUGCACAACAUUUCUAGCUGUAAUUGGUAGGUAAAGUCCUUGAGUGAACAGCUAAGAAAAAGAACAAAGCAUUGAACAUGUGGGAAAAAAUAUAUCACUCCCUCCAUAUUAUUGUAUUUUUCACUUGACACGAUAUUUAAAAAAUUUAAAAUAAUUUAUAGUUAUUUAAAUAUCUAUGACUCGAUUAUUUUAUUUCAUAAGUUUUAAAAGUUUAUUCUUUCUUAAAUUUAAUGUCGAUUUAAACUAAGGACAAUCGAGUAAUAUUUAGUUUAUGUAGCACUUUUUUAAAUUUUACUUCCUUUGGUCAAUUUAUGUAGCACUUUUUGUUUUUCGAUAGUUAAAUGGUUUAAUAAAAAAUUUGCGCAUUGAAUCUUUAAUUUUUUAUACUUAGUAGAAAUUUAACUUUUAAACUUCUCGUUUUACCCCUAAAGUUAGGGGUGGAAGUUUGGUAUUCGGUUCGAGAUUUCCAAAUUUCAAAUUCGAUAAUUCGAUAAUUGAUAGUUAAAAAUAGAUUCAAUUCAAUACGGUAUUUAAUACUAUCGUAUUGAAGUUAUAGUCUAUUGUAUAACAAAGUUAAUACUGUUACUUCAGUCAUUUUAAUUUUUCUAUGUGAAUGUACGAUAUAAUAAAAAAUCAACCAUGAAGAAGACAUCAAGAUCUCUGCCACAUGAUUUGUAUUAAUGCAAGAUUGUGUUUAAUCCAUUGUUAAUGACCUUUUCAAAAAAUAUUUAUAAAAUUCCUAGGGAAGCCAACUUAUUUUUUUAAACCAAGUCAGAGUAAUAAUUUCUGGAACAACUUCACGUGAACCUUAUCUCGAUUUGGUAUUAUUUUCUCCCUUCAUUUUUAUUUAUUUUAAUUUAGAAAAUUAAGAAAUAAUUUAUGUUUUCUCAACAGUUUAGUUUAGAAAAUUAAGAACAACUUCCUCUCCCAGUCUUGCUUGCCACUCUCCUUCCUAUAACAUGUAGCUACGAAUUGUAAUUAACAAAUUAUAUUUAUAAAGCGUAAUUAGAUUGUUUUUGAGUGGCUAUAUAUGAAAGUUCCUCAUUUUUUUAUUUCGUAAAAUUUUAUUUUUAACAAAAAAAAUUUAUAUCAACAAAUUUUAAUUAAUGUAAAUAUCACUUCAUUAGUAUAUCGAUCUGAUCAAUUUACUAUCAGUUUAGUUUUAAAUAAUACUUUGAUCUUUGUUAAUGAAUUAAUUGUUUGAUAAUAAAUUUAAGUCUAAAUUGUUAAUUUCAAUACAUGAAUAUUCUUAAUUUAAUUUGUUCAUUAGUUGAUCCAUUGAUCCAAUGAGCUAAUUUGAAACAUUAUACACGUUUUUAUUUUAAGAUCAUGAGAUUUUAAAAAUCGUCUUUACUUUCUUAAAUCAAUAUUUUAUAUAAUUAAGACACACAAAUUAAAAUUAAGGGAGUAACUUAGUACUGAUUUGAUUUGCUUGACACUGUUCUUUUAGUCUGUGUCAACACUAGUGUUCACUGUUUGGAUAAAAACCGAUCCAAAUCGAAAAACCAAAUCAAAUCGAUAAAAUAAAACCCAUUUUAUUUGGGUUUAGUUUGAUUUUAGAUUUUUGAAAAUCGGUAGUAUUUGGUUUGGUUAUGGUUUUACUCGAAAAAACUGAGGAAAUAAUCGAACCGAACUGAUGAAUUAUAUACAUAUAUUUUAUUAAUAUACAUACUUAAUAUAUUGUUUUUAUAAACAAUUUUAAAGAUCUUAUAUAUGUUUUCAAUAAAAUUUCUUUAUAUUUUACUUAUUGAAAGCAAAGAAUGCCCAAGGCGAAAACAUUUAUCUUAUUGAUUUCAUGUAAUAUGAGUGUCUAUGACAAUUCUUUGUUAGACUGAAAAUGUUAUUGUCACUUCCUUUUUGGGCAAUAUAGUGAAUUUUAAAGUUUUAUUGAUAGUAAAUUCAAUGAUCGAAAGUUCGGUAAUUUAAGUCAUUCUAACUAUUUUUUAUUUUGAAUGGAUUGUUGUCACUUUUUUCACAUUUUGAAUGAAUUGUUUCUUUUAUUUAUGUGUAUGGUUAAUAACCGAACCAAACUAAACUGAAACCGAUAACCACCAAACCGGUAAAUGUAUAUUAUAUUUGGUUUGGUUUGGUUUUGAUAAUUUUAAAACCGAUUAAGUUGGUUUGGUUUUAAUUUUGACCAAUAACCGAUCCAAACCAACUCGUAAACACCCCUAGUCAACACAAACCUAAUAACACAGAUAGAAAGACAAUUAAGGUUUUUUAAAAAGUAUUUUAUUAUUAAUUAUGGUAAUAUAUAAAAAAAAAAUUAUCUCAAUAUAUAUGAUACUGAUAAAUUUUCAUGAGUACUCACAACUACUGAAUUUGCACAUGCAGUUUGUGUGGCUGCGUGCGGAAAGGUCAGUAUGUCUCUAUCUUGAGAUAAAAUUAUUUCAUAAGUUGAGAUAUUUUAUGAGAUAAUUAGUUAUCUCACUAAUAUAUAUAUAUAUAUAUAUAUAUAUAUAAAUAUAUUUUACUCUUAUUAUAAACAUAUUUUACUAUUAUAAAAUAAAUAAUUUCAAGACUAACUUAUACUUCUAAUUAAAUGAAAAAUAAUAUUAUUUAUAUUUUAUUUUGAAAUUAUUAUUUCGUUUUCUUUGUACCAAAUUGAUAUGAACCCUUAAGCUUUUCCUCUUCAAUUAUUAGGGAGCCCACUUAAGGCUUGUACAACAUUGCACAUUUAAAUAAUGAUUUUAGUGAUAAUUUGUAUUUUACUUUAUGUGUUAUUUAACUAUGCACAUUUAAAUGGUGAUUUUAGUGAUAAUUUCUAUUUUACUUUAUGUGUUAUUUAACUAUGUACAUUCUUAAUUAUUUGAAGGGUAGGUUUUGGUGCUUGAAGUUAACAAAAGUAAACUACUCUUAUUUAAUAAAAUGAUUAUUUGAAAAUAUAAAAUAAAAUAAACGGUUGAUGAUUCUAAAUACUUGAGUGUUGUAAUUGGUGGUAGAAUAAAUUUACUCUAGUCCCUUAACAAAAUUCAAAAGUAAGUCAUAUCAUCUUGCAUUCUAAGUAUUCGAUUAAAUUCCUAGCUAAAACGAUAGUUUAGUUUUAGAAUUUAAUUACUCAAUCACUUUUUUGUUUGAAGACAAGGUUAGAAAAUUCGCAAAACCACAGUCUUUAACAUCUUGACACAAGUCUACUCUUUGUGGGAUCGACCCAAAUUUUUGUUGAGUUUAUUAUUGCUAUGAGGCCAAAGGCCAAUUUAUGUAUAUAUUUGGGGGUGUACGUGCACCCGUUAAUUUCGGAAAGAAUCACACAUAUAUAUAUAUAAUUAUCAAUCUUGAGAAACUUUCAGAAACUAAAUAUACUCCCUCCAUUCUAUAUUAAUUGAAUUGUUGAGACAUUUUUCAUUUUUCAUUUUUCAAAUUUAAUUGUUCAGUUUUCAAGACUACAUUUAGAGUGUUCUUCCAAUUUUUACCCUUCAUUAGUUAGUAUUGAAAUUAGUGAUUAAUUAAUAUUUAGUUAUUUUAAUUAUAAUUUUGACAAUAAUUAAUAAGGGUAAAAAUGGAAAACUAUGUUCAAUUUAUGUCUUAAUCUAUUUUUCUUAAAGGAUGUGAAACACCUCAAAAAUUAAAUAUUACUCCCUCCGUCUUAUUUUAUACGACACUUUUCGAAUUUCAAGAUUUAAAUAAGUCAAUCUUUGAUUGUAAGUUUUUUAUAGAUCUUUUAAACAUUUUGAAUUAUCAAUUAUUGUGACUUAUAGUACUUUUUAAAUAGUUUACAAAUAUAUAAAUUUCAUUUCAAAAAAUUGAAGAUUUCUAUGCAAAUUUCCGGCCAUACUUAAACUCUUAAAAAUUAAAAGUGUCACAUAAAUUUGAACGGAUGAAAUAGUAAUAUUAAUACCUAGAAAUAUUUAAUAAUUUAUCGGUUGGUAGUUGCUACGCCUAACAAACUCGUACUUCGUAUAGCAACAAUAUUUUAAUAAAAGAUCCGUACACAUGCAAUUGGUUACUGAUUUAAAAUAAUUUGUCUCUACUCUCAUCCAAAUAUGUAAUCUGACUAAUUUGAUGUUAUUUUAUUCUUUAUUUGAUUUCAAAUAUGCAUAAAAAACAAAUGUAAUAUACAUAAUUAUUUAAUUAAGUUGAAAAAAAAGAGUUAAUUUUUUUUAAAAAAAUGGACAAGAUUCAAGAAGAAAAGUAGAAGAUAGAUGAAAACAGGUAAUGGUUGCGCCGGGGGGGGGGGAGUGUGGAGGCUAAUUUUUAUUUUUUUUAAAUUUAUAUGGAACUCAAAAUUAGAUCAAUUAUAUAAGGUUAUGUAUUAAAUAUUUUUUAAUUAUUUAAAUAGAGAAGGACCCAAAAUUUUCCCAAGCUAUGAGAUUUAAUUUAUAUAAUAUUAUCCUUUGUUCAUCUUAAAGUGUGGACCGUCAAAAAUAAAGACAUAUUGUACCAAAUAAGUUAAAGUUGAGAGCAUAUCUAACUUGAAAAAUUGACGAAGAACAGUUUUAUACCAAAUAAAUAUGAAUCCUUUUACGACAUUUUAAAAAUUAUGUUUACUUUCUUAAAUUAAUAUCCCGUGAAACUAAGAUACACAAACUGAAACUAACGGAGUAACUUAGUACUAAUUCGAUUUGCUUCAUACUAUUAUUUUAGUACUAGACAUAUAAACUCAAUACAGACUCAAUAGCAUAGAUAAAAUUUUGGAAGGCAAUGAAUUUUUUUUAUAUAAAUAUUUUAUAUUAUUACAUAAUUAUUAUUAAAAUAUGAUACUUUCACAAUAUUUUUUUUCUAUCCUAAUUUAUGUGAUACUGAUUAAUUUUUGAGAGUACAAUCAAAACUACUGAAUUUCCACAUGCAGGCUUUGUGUGAGAAAAGCUCUAAUUUUUGGAAUAUUUUCUUGUUGUGGUGCAGGCUACAACGUACAAUAAUAAGCUCUAUAUCUUUUAAUCUUUUACUUUAUUUAUCUUUAAAAAGGUUACUGUAUUUGAUUUGUGGGAUUAAAAUUUAAACGUGAUAUUUUUGAAUUAUGCGAAAAUAAAAUUUAUCUUAUAAAUUGAGAUAUUUUUUGAGAUAAUUAAUUAUUUUUCUAUAUAUAAAAUUUUUUUAUCUCACCAUUAUAAAUUAUACAAUUUAAGAACUUACUAAUACUCAUUAUAUAUAUAUAUAAUAAUUUUAAAUUUUAGGUCAAAUAAUUAUCUUUUUUUCCUCUUCAAUUACUAGGGUCACGGUUAAACGACUUGCACAACAUUUCAAGCUGUAAUUGGUAGGUUAAGUCCUUGAGUGAACAGCUAAGAAAAAAGAAGAAAGCAUUCAACAUGUGGGAAAAAAGAUAUUAUUGUACGAACAUCUUUUCACUUGACACGAUAUUUAAAAAAUAAUUUUUUUAAAAAUUUAUAAUUUAAAAUAAUUUAUAGUUAUUCGAAUAUCUAUGACUCGAUUAUUUUAUUUCAGAAGUUUUAAAAGUUUUUCUUUUCUUCUUUCUUAAAUUUAAUGUCGAUUUAAACUAAGGACGGUCGGAGUAAUAUUUGGUUUAUGUAGCACUUUUCUUAAAUUUUACUCCCUGGUCAAUUUAUAUAGCACUUUUCGUUUUUCGAUAGUCAAAUGGUUUAAUCAAAAAUUUGCGCAUGGAAUCUUCAAAUUUUUUGAAAUAAAAUUUAUAUAUUUAUGAACUACGUAAAAGUACUAGAAAUUACAAAAAAUAUAUAAAAAAUUUAUGAUCAAAGAUAGAAUUGUUUGAUCUCGAAAUGUCAACUCAAUUAUUAUCGAGUGGUCGCAUUUGUACAACUCAAGUCUGUGAUCACCUCCUUUCGCAUGUUAAUUAAUUCCAUUUCAUUCUUUUUUAAAUACAUUAUACAUAUUUUUAAUUGGUUUUAAAAGUCGUAUUUACUUUCUUAAAUUAAUAUCCUGUCAAAUUAAGACACAUAAAUUGAAAUUGAGGGAGUAACUUAGAGAGUGUUUGGAUUUGUUUAAAAGUUGGUCAAACUUACUUACAAGUCAGAUUUUUACUUCUGAAACUGUUUGACAAAUACAUAAGCUUGUACCAAUACAAAUCCAGUAAUGCAAAUGAAAAGACAAUUAAAUUUCUUUUUAAAAAAUAUUUUAAAUUAUUAAUUAUUAUUUUUUAUCUCAAUUUAUGUGAUACUGAUAAAUUUUCGAGAGUACUCACAACUAGUGAAUUUCCACUCUAAUUUAAGUUAGGGAUAUUUUCUUCUUUAUGAACUUAUAUAUACAUUACUUGUUCAUUUCAUUCUUUUUAGGACAAGUUAAGUUUGAGUACAUUUAACUAUGAACUAUUCAAUGCAAGUUAAGAUUUUGUCCAAAAACCUCAUUAAACCAUCAUUACCAACGCCACAACACCUUAAAAAUUACAAGUUAUCUUUCUUUGAUCAAGUGGCGGAUGUAGCACACUUACCUCUUGUUCUUUUCUAUCCUCAUUGUGACAAUAACAUGAAAAAUGAUGAACUCGAAGAGUCCUUAUCGAGGAUUUUAACACAUCUUUACCCUUUAGCUGGUCGAUUUGCUGAAGAUGAAUCGUCAAUUAUUUGUCUCGAUCAAGGUGUAACUUAUAUAAAAGCAACGGUCAAUUGUAAGCUUGAUGAUUUCCUUCAACAAGCAAACAAAGACGUUGAUCUAGCAUUGCCAUUUUGGCCUCAAGGAAUUAUGGAUGUGGACGAGACGAAUUUAUUCGUCAUGCCACUUCUGGUUGUGCAAGUCACAACAUUUGAAUGUGGUGGUCUAGCCCUAGCUAUUAGCCAUGCACACCCUGCUAUGGACGGAUGCACCACAUUCAAAUUCAUUUAUGAAUGGGCUAAAGUGUGCAAAUUUGGUACUCCUUCUAAGGAUAUCAACUUGAACCUCAAUUUAGGCACUCUUUUCCCUUACAAAGAUUUAACAACUAUUCUUGAGCCUCCGGUUGACGAAGGCAAACGUAAAAACUCUAAGUUAGUUGCCAGAAAGUUUGUUUUUGAGGAAGAUGCAAUAUUGAGGCUCAGAGAGAAAUUUGACUCAACAACUAGCGAAGGUUUGAGUUUCAAACCUUCGCGAGUUGAGAUGAUUACAACACUUUUAUGGAGGUCACUUAUCCGUUCCACAGGAAGUACUUCACAUUUGAAACGGUCUAUAAUGGCAUUUCCAAUUAAUUUACGUGGUAAGGUAGCAGCUUUUCCUGAAAUUGCCAACUCUUUUGGGAAUCUUAUUAUCGAAAUUCCAAUAAAAUUUGAACACGACGAUGAAACAAAAAUGGAGUCGUUGCAUCACAUUGUAAAACUAAUAAGAGAGUCAGUUCAAGUGAUUAUCAGUAAAUGUGUCAAAGCUACUCCGGAUGAAAUAGUUUCUUUGGUUAUCGACUUAUACAAGGAUAGUUACGCCGGAUUAGAAUGGGGAGGAGACAAUGAAGUUGUGAAUUUUACGUGCUCAAGUUUAUGUAGGUUCCCCGUACAAAAAACUGAUUUUGGUUGGGGAGAACCAAGUUUGAUGCACUUUGGGUCAAGACAUAGCCAAGUUUUUUGGUUGUAUGAUACUGAAUGUGAGACUGGAAUUGUUGUGCAAAUGGAUUUGGAGGAAAAGUACAUGGAUAAACUUGCAUGUGAUCAAGAUAUCAUGGAUUUUGCUAAAUUUUAGGGUUUAAUUUUCAUGUUCUUUCAUUUAAUCUGUACUCCCUUCAUUUUAAUUUAAGUAUGUGUGUUGCUAUUGUUUUUUCUUUGGUUUGUUUUGAAUAUGAAUGUCAUUUUCUAUGAACACGCUUUGACUAUAAUUAAGUAGCAUUUUAACUUGUAGCAAGGAUUCUACUAAAAUAAAUAUAUAAUAAGAUUUCUGUUAGAAUUUUUGUUUAGUGUAGUGGCGAAUGUUCGCUACAAAAAAUCACUAUUUAGUGGUGACUUUCAAAAGUCGUUAAAUAACAUUUAGUUAUGGAUUCACAUAUAUCUAGGAUAUAUACAUUGACUCUCUCCUCACAUCUCUCAUCUCUUGCUCUCCUUUCUUCCUCUCUCGCUCCCCUCUCUUCCUAUGUAUCAUAGAUGCAUUUAUCUAGUACUGUGAUUCACAUGUAUCUGGGAUCUCGCCUCUCUCCUCUCUCGCUCGCUUCUUUCCUCUCUCGCUCACCCCUUUUCCUCUCCCGCUAGCUCCCUAAGUAUUUGUAUUUCAGAGAGUAUUUAGAAGCAAUUUAGGUGUAUUUGAUUUGAAAUUUUGUAUGAAAUUAUUAAUUAGUGAAAUGAUAUGUAAUUGUUUCAAACCUUAGAAAAAAAUAGUAAAUAUGAUAAGAAUGUUUAUUUAUAUAAAAUAUUUUUUUUAAAAUUAAAAAAUAGUGAAAGGAAAUAUAUAUAUAUAUAGUCAUUACUUUAGUUUCUUAUAGUCAAGUCAGCCCGACAAGGAAGAGCCAGAACCCUCAGUAGAGAGUUGGAGGAGCAGUAUAUGAAGCCUCACCGUUUUGGGAAAUAUUUGGGCAUUUAGGGGUCACUUUACAGGAACUAGGUGAUUUUCUCAAUUUCUCGUGUUUGUUAGGGCAUAAAUAUUUUGGUGAUAUCGCUUGUGGACGAUUUCUUUGCAAAACCUUUACGAAAUCCUCCAUAUAUAGGGAGUUGGGGGGAGUAGUCCAUGCAGUCCCACAAUUUUUACAGUCCAUUUGGAUAUUUAGGGGCCAAUUUACAAAAAAAUAGGUGAUUUUUUCAAUUGUUUGUUUGUGUUAGCCUAUGAAUAUUUUGGUGAUAUGGUUUCCAUACGAUUUCUUUGCAGACCUUUACAGAGCCCUCCAUACGGAGUUGAGGGAGCACUGCGUAUAGUCUCACAAAUUUUAGAGGCCAUUUUGGGCAUUUAGGGGCCAAUUUAGAGUAUUAAGAUGAUUUUCUUAGUUUUUCUUGUGUGUCAGCCCAUGAAUAUUUGAUAAUAUGGCUAUCGGACAAUUUCUUUGUGAAACCUUAACGGAACCCGCCGUAGGUAGUUAGGAGAACAGUACGUACAAUCUCACAAAUUUUAGAGUGAUUUCAGGGCAUUUACGGGCCAAUUUACAAGUAUUAGGCGAUUUUCUCAGUUUUUCGUGAGUAUUAGCCCAAACAUCUGGCACCUUGGAGCACCCAAAACAUAUUUCUGAAAAAAAACAUUUUGAGGACCUCCGCAAUGAGUUGGGAAACAUUACAUAUUGUCCCACCAUUUAAAGACAUAUUUUUGCUUUUACGAGCUAAUUUUUAGAAAUUAUGCAACUUUCUUGGUAUUUCGUGUGUAUUAGCACAUUGAUUUUGCGCCUUAGAGCACCCAAAAAAAAUAUUCUGAAACUUUUUUAUGAUGACCUCCAUAAUAAGUUGGGAAGCAUUAGGUAUAGUCCCACCAUCGUUUAAGGCAUAUUUUCGCAUUUACGAGCUAACUUUUAGGAAUUACGCGACUUUCUUGGUUUUUCGUGUAUAUUAGUCCAUUGAUCUGGCACUUUGGAGCAACCAAAUUACGAGGACCUCCAAAAUGAGUUGGUAAAUCAUUUUAACGCCUAUUUCCGCAUUUACAAGCCUUUUUUUUAUGAAUCAUGCAAAUUUCUCGAUUUUCGUGUGUAUUAGCCCAUGGGUGUCGGAGCACCCAAAUUUUUUUUCUGAAAAAAUUUUAUGAGAACCUCCGUGAUGAAUUUGGGAACUACCAUUAAUACUCACACAAUUUUUUAACUCCUAUUUUCGCAUUUACAGACCUUUUUUUAAAGAAUUAUGUGAAUUCCUCGAUUUUUCAGAGUGUAUUAGCCUAUGGAUCUGGCACCUCAAAGAACUCAAAAAAAAUUUCUUAAAAAACUUUAUGAUGAUCUUCGUGAUAAGUUGGGGAACCACCACGUCUACUCACACAAUAUUUUAACGUCUAUUUCCGCAUUUACAUGCCUUUUUUAGGAAUUACGCAAAUUCCUCGAUUUUUCGUGUGUAUAAGCCCAUAGAUAUGGCGGCUUAGAGCACCCAAUUUUUUUUUCCUGAUAAUACUUUACGAGGACCUCCAAAAUGAGUUGGGGAACUACCACAUAUACUUACACUAUUUUUAACGCCUAUUUCCGCAUUUACAAGCCUUUUUUUAUAAAUUAUUAAAAAUUCUCGAUUUUUCGUAUGUAUUAUCCCGUGGGUCUAACGCCUCGAAGCACCCAAUUUUUUUUCUGAAAAAACUUUAUAAGAACCUCCGUGAUGAGUUUGGGAACUCAUAUGAAUACUCACACAAUUUUUAACACCUUUUCGCAUUUACAUGCCUUUUUUAGGAAUUAUGAGAAUUCCUCAAUUUUUCAGUGUGUAUUAUUAGCCUAUGGAUCUAGCGCCUCAGAGAACCCAAAAAAAAAAUCUGAAAAAACUUUAUGAUGAUUUCUAUGAUAAGUUGGAGAACCACCAUGUAUACUCACACUAUUUUUAACAUCUAUUUCCGCAUUUACAGGCCCUUUUUAAGAAUUACGCAAAUUUCUUGAUUUUUCGUGUGUAUUAGCCCAUAGAUCUAGCGCAUCCGAGCAUCCAAACAUUUUUUUUGAAUUUUUCUUUAAGGACCUUCGUAAUGAGUUGAGAACCAACACGUAUACUCUCACAAUUUUUUAAUUUCUAUUUCUGCAUUUACAGGCCUUUUUUAGGAAUUAUGCAAAUUUUUCGAUUUUUUGUGUGUAUUAGCCCAUGGAUCUGGCACAUCAGAGCACUCAAUUUUUUUUCUGAAAAAACUGUAUGAAGACCUCUGUAAUGAGUUGGGAAACCACCAUGUAUACUCACACCAUUUUUAACGCAUAUUUCCGCAUUUAACGGCCUUUUCUUAGAAAUUGCGAAGCACCCAAACUUUUGGCCUCUCGGAGCACCUAAACUUCUUUAUAAAAAAACUUUAUGAGGACCUCUGUAAUGAGUUGGGAACCACCACAUAUACUCACACCAUCAUUUAAUGCCAAUUUUCGCAUUUACAUGAACCUUUUUUUAGGAAUUACAGAAAUUUCUAGAUUUUUUUUGUGUAUUAGCCCAUGAAUAUGACACCUCAGAGCACCCAAUUAUUUUUUUUUGAAAAAAACCUUAUGAGAACUUCUGUAAUGAAUUUUGGAACCACCACGUACUCACAUAAUUUUAUUGUUAUUUUUGCAUUUACAUGCCUUUUUUAGAAAUUACACAAAAUUCUCAAUUUUUCGUGUGUAUUAGCUGAUGGAUCUAGCGCCUCGGAGCACCCAAAUUUUUUUCUGAAAAAACUUUAUGAGGACCUCCAUAAUGAGUUGGGAACCGCCACGUAUUCUCACUUCAUUUUUUAAUGCCUAUUUCCGUAUUUACAAGCCUUUUUUAAAGAAUUACGCAAAUUCAUUGAAUUUCUGUGUUUAUUUAGCCCAUGGAUCUGGCGCCUCAGAGCACCCUCAUUUUUUUUCCUGAAAAAGCUUUAUGAGGAUCUAAGUAAUGAGUUGGGGAACCACCACGUAUAAUCAUACCAUUUUUAAAACGCUUAUUUUCGAAUGUACAGACCCUUUUUAGAAAUUACUCAAAUUUCUCUAUUUUUUAUUGGUAUUAACCUAUUAAUUUGGAGCCUCAAAGCACCAACAUUUUUUUUAUGAAAAAACUUUAAAAGAACCUCUAUAAUGAGUUGGGAACCACCACGUAUACUCAUACAUUUUUUCAAUGCCUAUUUAUGCAUUUACAUGCCCUUUUUUUUUUAGAAAUUACACAAAUUCCUUGAUUUUUCAUGUGUAUUAAUUAAGCCCAUUGAUCUGGCUCCUCUGAGCACACAAAACUUUUUUCUGAAAUUUUUUUAUGAGAAUCUCUGUAAUGAAUUUGGGAACCACCACGUAUAUUGAAAUAAUUUUUUAAACGCCUAAUUCCGCAUUUACCGGCCCUUUCUUAGGAAUUACGCAAAUUCCUCAAUUUUUCGUGUGUAUUGGCCCAUGGAUUUUACACAUCAAAGAAUCCAAAUUUGUAUUCUGAAAAAACUUUAUGAGGAUCUUGGUCAUGAGUUGGGAAUCACCACAUAUAUUACACCAUUUUAAAACGCCUAUUUCCGCAUUUAAGGCCCAUUUAGAAAUUAAGCAAAUUCCUAAUUUUUUUUUUGUGUAUUAGCUUAUGGAUCUGGCGCAUAGGAGCACCCAAAUUUUUUUCCAGAAAAAUUUUAAUGAGGACUUCCGUAAAGAGUUCGAGAAUCACCGCGAAUACUCAUACCAUUUUUAACGGCUAUUUCCGCAUUUACAUGCCCAUUUUAGAAAUUACGCAAAUUCCUCAAUUUUUCAUCAAUAUUAGCCUAUGGAUCUGGCGCCUCGGAGCACCCUAAAUUUCUUUCCGAAAGAACUUUAUGAAGACCUCUGUAAUGAGGUUGGAAACCAUCACGUAUACUCAUACUAUUUUAUUAUCGUCUAUUUCCGCAUUUGCAAACCCUUUUUAGGAAUUACACAAAUUUCUCGAUUUUUUGUGUGUAUUAUCACCCAUGGAUCUAGCGCCUCUAAACACCCAAAAUAAAUUUAUGAAAAAACUUUAUGAGGACAUAAGUAAUGAAUUGGGGAACCACCACUUAUACUCACAUAAUUUUUAACGCUUAUUUCCACAUUUACAGACCCUUUUUUAAGAAUUAAGGAAAUUUCUUGAUUUUUAGUGUCUAUUAGUCUAUUAAUCUGGCGCCUCGAAGUACCCAAAAAUUUUUUUUGAAAAAACUUUAUGAGGUCCUCCAUUAUGAGUUGUGGAACCACCACGUACAGUCACAUCAUUUUUUUAACACCUAUUUAUGCAUGCAUUUACAGGCCCUUUUUAGGAAUUACACAAAUUCCUUUUUCUCUCAUAGAUACGGUGCCUCGGACCAUCCAAAAAAAAAUUUGAAAAAACUUUAUGAUAACCUUCUUAAUGAAUUGGGAAAACACCACGUAUAGUCAGUCACACCAUUUAACACAUAUUUUCGUAUUUACAAGUCCUAUUUAGAAAUUACGCAAAUUUCUUAAUUUUUGUGUGUAUUAGCCCAUAGAUCUAGCGCCUCAGAGAACCCAAAAUAUUUUCUGAAAAAAAUUCGUUAAUAGGUUGGAAAACCACCACGUAUAUUCACACAAUUUUUAACGCAUAUUUGAACAUUUAUAGACACCUUUUUUAGGAAUUACACAAAUUUCUGAAUUUUUCGUGUGGACAAGUCCUUUUUUAAGAAUUGCCCAAAUUCCCCAAUUUUUUGUGUGUAUUAGCCAAUGAAUCUGACGUCCGAAGCAUCCAAAUUUUUUUUCUCAAAAAACUUUAUGAGGACCUCCGUUAUGAUUUGGGGCCCUUCACGUAUACUCACGCCAUUUUUUAAAAUCUAUUUUCGCAUUUACAAGCCUUUUUUUAAGAAUCGCCCAAAUUCCCCAAUUUUUCGUGUGUAUUUGCCUAUGGAUCUGGCGCCCAGAACACCCAAUUUUUUUUACAAAAAACAUUACAAGGACCUCUGUAAUGAGUUAGGGAACCUUCACAUACACUAAUACCAUUUUUUAACGCCCAUUUCUGCAUUUAAAAUCCCUUUAUAAGAAUCGUUCAAAUUUCCCAAUUUUUCGUGUGUAUUAGCCUAUGGAUCUGGCGCCCGGAGCACCCAAUUAUUUUUUCCAAAAAACAUUUUUAGGACCUGUGUAAUGAGUUGGGAACCUUGACGUGUUCUCACACCAUUUUUUUAACGCUCAUUUUUGCAUUUACUAGGUUUUUUUAAUAAUCGCCCAAAUUCCCCAAUUUUUUUGGAUUUGGUGCCCAGAGCACCUAAAUUUUUUUUCUCAAAAAUUUUGUGAGAACCUCCGUAAUGAGUUGGGGAACCUUCACGUAUACUCACACCAUUUUUAACUCCUAUUUCCGCAUUUACAAGCCUUUUUCUAUGAAUUGCCCAAAUUUUUCAAUUCUUCGAUUUUUCGUGCGUAUUAGCCCAUGGAUCUGGCGUCCGCAACACCAAAACAAAUUCUCAAUAAACUUUAUGAGGACCUCCAUAGUGAGUGGAAACUUCACGUAUACUCAGACCAUUUGUUUUAACUCUCAUUUCUGCAUUUACAAGCCCUUUAUUAAGGAUUGCCCAAAUCCUCAAUUAUUCGUGUGUAUUAACCCAUUGAUCUGGUGUCCAAAGCACCAAUUUUUUUUCUCAAAACACUUUAUGAGGACCUCCGUAAUGUGUUGGGGAACCUUCACGUAUACUUACACCAAUUUUUAAAUGUCAUUUCCGCAUUUACAAGACCCUUUUUUUAAAAAUCGCCCAAAUUUCUCAAUUUUUCGUGUGUAUUAGCCCAUCAAUCUUGCGCCCGAAGCACACAAAUUUUUUUCUCUAAAAACUUUUUGAAGACCACCUUAAUGAGUUAGGGAACUACCACGUUUACUCAUAUCAUUUUCUUUACGCCUAUUUUUGUAUUUACAAGCUCUUUAUUAAAAAUCACCCAUAUUUACCCAUUUUCCGUGUGUAUUAGCCCAUGGAUCAAUCAUUCGGAGCACCCAAUUUUUUUUCUCAAAAAACAUUAUGAGGACCUCCGUAAUGAAUUGAGAAUCUUCACGUAUACUCACACCAUUUUUGAACGACCAUUUUUGCAUUUAAAGCCUUUUUUUAAGGAUCGCCAAAAUUUCCUUUUUUCGUGUGUGUUAGCCCAUGGAUCUGGCAUCCGUAGCACCCAAAAAAAAUUUCUCAAAAAACUUUAUGAGGACCUCUGUAAUGAGUUGGGGCACCUUCACUUAUACUCACUAUUUUUCAAUAACCAUUUCCGCAUUUCCAAGCCUUUUUUUAAGGAUCGCCAAAAUUUCCUUUUUUCGUGUGUGUUAGCCCAUGGAUCUGGCAUCCGUAGCACCCAAAAAAAAUUUCUCAAAAAACUUUAUGAGGACCUCUGUAAUGAGUUGGGGCACCUUCACUUAUACUCACUAUUUUUCAAUAACCAUUUCCGCAUUUCCAAGCCUUUUUUUAAGAAUCGCAAAAAUUUUCUAAUUUUUCGUGUGUAUUUGCCCAUGGAUCUAGGGUCCUGAGCACCCACAAUCUGUUUCUCAAAAAACUUUAUCAGGACCUCCGUAAUGCAUUGGGGAAGCUUUAUGUAUAAUCACACCAUUUUUUUAAUCCGCAUUUAGAAGCCUUUUUUUAUAAAUCGCCUAAAUUUCCCGAUGUUUCGUCUGUAUAAUCCCAUGGAUCUGGCCCGAAGCACCCAAAAAAAUUUAUAAUGACCUCCAUAAUGAGUUGAGGAACCUUUACGUAUACAAACACAAAUUUUUAACGCCCAUUUCCGCAUUUACAAGGCUUUUCUAAAGAAUCGCCCAAAUUUCCCCAUUUUUCGUGUGUAUAAACCUAUAGAUCUGGCGCUCAGAGCACCCAAUUUUUUUUCUCUCAAAAAACUUUAACUGGAUCUCCGUAAUGAGUUGGGGAACAGUCACGUAUACUCACACUAUUUUUUUAAUGCCCAUUUCUGCUUUAACAUGCAUUUUUUUAAGAAUCGCCAAAAUUCACCGAAACACGCAAAAUUUAUUUCUCAAAUUUUUUUAUGAGAACCUCUGUAAUGAUUUGGAUAACAUUCACGUAUACUCACACUAUUUUUUUAACAUCCAUAUCCGCAUUUACAAACCCUUUGUUAAGAACCCCCCAAAUUCCCUUUCGUGUGUAUUAUCCCAACGAUCUAGCGCUUGGAGACCCAAAUAUUUUUUCUUAAAAAAUAUUAUGAGAACCUCCGUAAUGAGUUGGAGAACCUUCACGUAUACUCACACCAUUUUUUUAACGCUUUUAUCCGCAUUUACAAGCCCAUUUUUAAGAAUAACCCAAAUUCUCUUAUUUUUCGUGUUUAUUACCCCAUGAAUCUGACACCCGGAGCACUCAAAAAAAAUUCUCAAAAAAUUUUCAGAGGACCUCUGUAAUGAGUUGGAAACUUUCACUAUUCACACCAUUUUUUUAACACCCAUUUUCGCAUUUACAAGUCUGUUUUCUUAAGAAUCGCUCAAAUUCUACAAAAAAAUUUCAUAUGUAUUAGCCCAUGAUCUGGCGCCCGGAGCACCCAUAAUUUUUUUCUCAAAAAACUUUAUGAGGACCUCCGUAAUGAGUUGGGGAACCUUCCCUCACACCAUUUUUUGAACGUUCAUUUCCGCAUUUACAAGACUUUUUUUAAGAUUCACCCAAAUUUCGUUUUUUUAAUAUGUAUUAGCACAUGGAUUUGGCACCCGUAGCACCCAAAAAAAAUACUAAAAAACUUUUACGAGGACCUCUGUAAUGAGUUGGGAACAUUCACACAUGCUAACAUCAUUUUUUUAACUCUCAUUUCCACAUUUACAAAUCAUUUUUUAAAAAUCGCCCAAAUUUCCAUAUUUUUUUGAGUGUAUUAGCCCAUGGAUCUAACGCCUGGAGCACCCAAAUUUUUUUCUCUCAAAAAACUUUAUGUGGACCUCUGUAAUGAGUUGGGGAACCUCACGUAUACUCACAUCAAUUUUUUAACGCCCAUCGUCGCAUUUACAAGUCGUUUUUUAAGAAUCUCUAAAAUUUCCCAAUUUUUUGUGUGUAUUAUCCAUUGAUCGGGCUCCUGGAGAACCCAAAUUUUCUUUCUCAAAAAACUUUAAAAGAAACUCUGUAAUGAGUUGGGGAACCUUCGUAUACUCACACCAUUUUGUAACGCCCAUUUUCACAUUUACAAAACCUUUUUUAAGAAUCGCUCAAAUUUCCCGAUUUUCGUGUGUGUUAGCCCAUGUAUCUGGCCCCGGAGUACCAAAAAGAAAUUUUCUCAAGCAACUUUAUGAGUACCUUUGUAAUGAGUUGGGAAAUCUUCACGUAUAUUCAUACUAUUUUUAAACACCCAUUUCCGCAUUUACAAGCCUUUUUUAAAGAAUAACCCAAAUUCCCCAAUUUUUCGUGUGUAUUAGUUCAAGGAUCUGGCGCUCGGAGCACCCAAUUUUUUUUUCCUCAAAAAACAUUAUGAGGACCUCCGUAAUAAGUUGGGAACCUUCACGUAUACUCACGCAAUGUUUUUAACUCCCAUUUUCACAUUUAAAAGCCUUUUUUUAAGAAAUGUCCAAAUUUCUCGAUUUUUUAUGUGUAUUAGUCCAAUGAUCUAGCGCCAGGAACACCCAAAUUUUUUUCCCACAAAAACCAUUAUGUGGACCUCCAUAAUGAGUUGGGAACCUUCAUGUAUACUCACACCAUUUUGUAAACGCCCAUUUCGCUUUUACAAGCCCCUUUUUCAAAGAAUAACCCAAAUUUCCCAACUUUUCAUGUGUUUUAGCCCAUUAAUCUGGCGCCUGGAGUACCAAAAUUUUUUUCCUCAAAAAACAUUAUAAGGACAUUCGUAAUGAGUUGGACAACCUUCACGUAUACUCACAUAAUUUAUUAACGCUCAUUUUCACAUUUACAAGCCCUUUUUAAAGAAUCCCCGCAAUUUCCCAAUUUUUCGUGAGUCCUUAACUCAUGGAUCUGACGCUUGGAGCACCUAAAUUUUUAUUCUCAAAAAACUUUAUUAGGAUCUCCGUAAUGAGUUGGGGAACCUUCACGUAUACUCACACCAUUUUUUAACGCUCAUUUCCAAAUUUACAAGAUUUUUUUUAAGAAUCACCAAAUUCCACAAUUUUUCGUGUGUUUCCAUGGAUCUGGCACCCGAAGCACCUAAAAUUGUUUUCUCAAAAAACUUUACGAGGACCUCCGUAAUGAGUUGGGAAACCUUCACGUAUACUCACACCAUUUUUACGCUUAUUUCCGCAUUUACAAGCCCUUUUUUAAGAUCGUUAAAUUCGAUAAUUUUUGUAUGUAUUAUAGCCCAUGGAUCAGCCAUCGGAGCACUUGAAAUUUUUUAAUCAACAAAUUUUAUGAGAACCUUCGUAAUGAGUUGGCAAAUCUUCAGCUUUACUUACACUAUUUUUAAACUCCCAUUUCCAUAUUUACAAGUCCUUUUUUAAGAAUCACCCGAAUUUCUUGAUUUUUUGUAUGUAUUAGCCCAUGGAUCAGGCGCCCGGAGCACCCAAAUUUAUUUUCCCAAAAAACUUUAUGAGACCUCCGUAAUGAGAGAGAAAACGACAGAUUUUUAAGAGUCACCACUUAAUUUUUAAAGAAAAACUAAGAAAACUAUUUUUUCACAAGAUUAAAACAGAAAUCAAUUGAAAAUAUUUAAAGGGUUUGGUGUUCAUAUUAGCAUUUCGGGAAGGGUUUGAAAGCACUCGAAAUAUUAACUAACACGCGGUUAUUCGAUAAUUAACUAUUUGGCUAACAUUUAAAUAGAGAAAGUAAACAACUUUUGAACUCACUUUUUCUUUGGGGAAAGGGAAUAAGGAUGUUGUUUAAGUAGAAAAUACUAAAUGUUUUAAAGUCAAAAUAAAAUGAAAAUAAACUUAUUUGAUUUUAACAGUUAUGGUUAACUCAUCUUUUUGGGGAAUUGAAUUAAGGAAAAAAAUCUUAGAAUUAACUAGCAAAUAAACAAUUAAACAAAUACGAAAUACGGAUAAAAUAAAGAGCGAGAAGGCAUUGGGUCCAAGUCUGAUUUUCUGUUCGUCUGGACUAAUACUUGGGCCUACUUUGUUUUGGGCCUUUGGCCCACUUAAACCUGUCCUAAAACUAACAAAAAUCUGCCAAAGAUAAGUGUGGGCUUUUGGCCCAAUUCUCUGUCCUAAAACUAGCAGAGUAAUACUAAAAAUAUAUGGACCUUUGGCCCAAAUACAACACAAAUGCAAAACCAAAAUUUAAGAAGGGGUUUUGUCCCCUUUUUGCCACCAUAUACAGCGUAUACACUUAUUGUAUAUCAUUGUAUAUUCUUGAAUACCAUGUCAUUUUCUAAUUCCGAGUUCUACAAUUUCAAUUUUUUAGCCUUGUAUAUUGCCUUCCAUUCGAAAUUCGAAUGCUUGCUUUCCAAUUCUGGACUUGGUAAUGAAAAUGGUGACGCGGGAAUGACUUAGGGCUUAAGUGGCCCAAUCAAUGAUGCAAGAAAAGGAUCUGUCCCCAAAUGGAAUGGUCCACAGUUGCUCACAAUAAACAAAAGAAAGUAAAAUUAGUCAGCAAAAAAAGAAAACAUCUUAGAUUGUUAAGAAAUGAUUAGUUCUGCAAGUGAUUUUGCAUAGGAAACAAUUACUAGAAUAUAAUCAACUUUACAUAUAUUUUCAAACUAGGAGAAAAGAAAUUCAACAAGAUAUAUUCCAACUAGCACAUGCAUUUUAAAAGAAAAUAAAGAAAAGCUAAUUAAUUAUAUUGCUUCAAAACAUGCUAGAAAAGAAAGAAACUCUCAUGCUUGAGCAACAUCUAAUACGCCAAAACUAGGACAACAACAAACAUGCUUAAAAUACAUUUAAACUCCAUGUUAACCAGUUUAAGGUUCUGUCCCUUGCUGGAAGAUUAAUAAAUACUGAAUCGAAUGCUUAAAUCAAGGAAAAGACUUAAGGCAACGAAUUUAAUGAGAUCAAAGCAAUCGAUAAAUUUAAAGGAAGAGAAAGAACAAAUCUUUGAAUCAGGAUGCUUCAUACAACUGGAUUCAAUGGCAGACAAAGAACAGUUAAAUAACAAAGGGUUCACCAAAAACCAGUAAAACACAAAUAGAUGCUCCAACCUAAAACUUAGUUUGUUCACAACAAUGGUGUGAGGAAAGGGAGAAGGAAAUUUCUAAAAUAAAAAUAAAAGACGGAUAACAUCACAAACACCUUUAGCAUAUCAAAGGGGAGACAACAAAAGCAGAAUUUAAAUACAAUCACAGAUAAACACCAAUGCUAAAUAUAAGACGAUAAAGCUUGAAUCGACACUAAAGUUAACUCAUGGAAACGCCUACACACAUAUAAGUCACAUUAAAUCGAUCAGAACUCAAACAUAAAAUAGAAAAUCAGCCACCAAAAAGAGAUUUUCCAACAUCAAAGAUCUGAAUAACAGAAGAGACGAAGAAAAUGUUAUCGAACGAGAAGCGUUACCUUUUUGGGGGCAACGAACUAGGACGAGGAGCUUGAGACCACGAGCUUUCACACCGGAAUACGACUUCAAGAAACUCUGACACCCAAAGCGAGAAUUGAAAGAGAAAAGUGAGCCUCUUCGGCUGUAUUUCUAAACUAAGAUUUAGUUGCUUUCAAUAAAAGUUGUGUUUUGUAAUCCCUUUCCAAACUUUUCCACUUAUUUCUUUCUAUUCCUCUACCAGCCAAAAAACCAACCUAAAUAAUGAAGAAGAAAUAGGCUUAAAUAGAGGAGAUUUUUGGGUUGAUUAAGGGGGGAAACGGGUAGAAUUUCAGAGUGAAUUCGAAAUUUGAAAUUCCAAUUCUCUUUGGAUAAGGUUGCCAGCUUUAAUAGUACAACUCUUCAACAGAUUAAUGAUGGAGGUCGUUUGAUUCGUGGAACAAGGACGGAUGAAGCACAAUAUUGUUCUACCUGGAAGAUUCGAGUAUGAAAGGAUAAGGAGAGAGAGGGAAGACGACACGAUUGGACUCGGGUCACUGGAUUUCUCGAUGGAUUGUUGGACUGCUGCUCGCAAUUUGCAGAUGGGUCACGAGUUUCUGGGUUUCGAUUUUGGUUUGGGUUUUCUGGGUUCGCGAGUUGGGUCGCGUUUCUAAGUGAAAGAAGAAGAAGAAGAAGAAGAAGAAGAAGAAGAAGAAGAAGAAGAAGAAGAAGAAGAAGAAGAAGAAGAAGAAGAAGAAGAAGAAGAAGAAGAAGAAGAAGAAGAAGAAGAAGAAGAAGAAGAAGAAGAAGAAGAAGAAGAAGAAGAAGAAGAAGAAGAAGAAGAAGAAGAAGAAGAAGAAGAAGAAGAAGAAGAAGAAGAAGAAGAAGAAGAAGAAGAAGAAGAAGAAGAAGAAGAAGAAGAAGAAGAAGAAGAAGAAGAAGAAGAAGAAGAAGAAGAAGAAGAAGAAGAAGAAGAAGAAGAAGAAGAAGAAGAAGAAGAAGAAGAAGAAGAAGAAGAAGAAGAAGAAGAAGAAGAAGAAGAAGAAGAAGAAGAAGAAGAAGAAGAAGAAGAAGAAGAAGAAGAAGAAGAAGAAGAAGAAGAAGAAGAAGAAGAAGAAGAAGAAGAAGAAGAAGAAGAAGAAGAAGAAGAAGAAGAACGUACAGGAUUGGGGUAGCUGCUGAUUGUAUUGUAUGUUGUAUUGUUGUAGGCUGGGAAAUUUGGAAAUUGCAUUGGAAUAGGCUGCAGGGAAUGGGUUGGCUGAGUUGAAUUGGGCCACUGAGAAAUCAGAAUUGGGCUGGGAUUUAAGGUAAUGGCCAAUUGUAUUAAAAAGUAGCCAAUUUUGAAUUCAAGUAACAAAAAUUAAAAUCUUUUUGAGAGGAUUUUCAAAAUGUUUAUAAAAUAUGCUAAUUAUAUACAAAAUUAUACAAAACAUAUCUAUUACUUAAAAUUAUAAAAAUGAUAAAAUUAAUUAAAAGUAACUUGAAAAAUAUUUGGACCUUUCUAAACACUAAUUAUUUCAAAACGUUUGGAAUUUAAGAAACUCGAUCAUUAAUAUAUAUUGUGGAGGUCCAAAAUUGGGUGUCAACACCCCCAGUUCCCCGAUUUUUCAUGUGUCUUAGCUCAUGGAUCUGGCACUUGGAGCACCUAAAUUUUCUUUCUCAAAAAACUUUAAGAGGACCUCCGUAAUGAGUUGGAAAACCUUCACGUAUACUCACACUAUUUUUUUAAAGCUCAUUUUCACAUUUACAAGAUUUUUUAAGAAUCACCCGAAUUCCGCAAUUUUUCGUGUGUUACCAUGGAUCUGGCACCCGGAGCACCUUAAAUUGUUUUCCCAAAAAAAUAAUUAAGAUGACCUCCGUAAUGAGUUGGGAAACCUUCACGUAUACUCACACCAUUUUUUUACGCUCAUUUCCGCAUUUACAAGCUCUUUUUUAAGAUCGCCAAAUUCUCUAAUUUUUGUGUGUAUUAGCCCAUGGAUCAGGCCUCUGGAGCGCCCAAUUUUUUUUUAUCAACAAACUUUAUGAGGACCUUCAUAAUGAGUUGGCAAACCUUCAUCUUUACUCACACUGUUUUUAAACGCUCAUUUCCAUAUAUACAAGCCUUUUUUAAAGAAUUGCCCGAAUUUCCCGAUUUUUCGUGUGUAUGAGACCAUGGAUCAGGCGCCCGAAGCACCAAAAAUUUUUUUUUCUCAAAAAACUUUAUGAGGACCUCCGUAAUGAGUUGGGGAUAUUCAUGUAUACUCAUACUGUUUUUUUAACGCCCAUUUCCGCAUUUGCAAGCCAUUUUUUCAAGAAUCACCCAAAUUACCCGAUUGUUCGUGUGUAUUAGCCCAUUGAUUUGGCUCCCGGAGAACCCAAAAAUUAUUUCUCAAAAAAUAUUAUGAGGACCUCCGUAUUGAGUUGGGGAACCUUCAACUCACACCAUUUUUUCAACGUCCAUUUCCGCAUUUACAAGACUUUUUUUAAGAAUCAUCCGAAUUACCCAAUUUCUCGUGUGUAUUAUCCCAUGGAUAUGUCGUUCGGAGCACCCAAUUUUUUUCCAUAAAGCUUUAUGAGGACCUCCGUAAUGAGUUGUGGAAUCCUUCAUAUAAACUCACACCAUUCUCCCAAAUUCUCCAAUUUUUUAUGUGUUUUAGCAGCUCAUGGAUCAGGCGCCCGGAGCACCCAAAAAUAUUUUCUCAAAAAAACUUCAUGAGGACCUCCGUAUUAAGUUGGGGAAUCUUCACGUAUACUCAUACUUUUUUCAAUGACAUUUUCGUAUUUACAAGCCUUUUUUUAAGAAUCGCCCAAAUUUCCCAAUUUUUGUGUGUGUAUGGAUUUGACGCCCGGAGAACCCAAAAAAAAUUCUCAAUAAACUUUAUGAGGACCUCCGUAAUGAGUUGGGGAACCUUCACGUAUACUCACACCAUUUUUUAACGCCCAUUUCCACCUUUACAAACCCUUUUUUAAGAAUUCUCCGAUUUUUCGUGUGUAUUAGCCCAUGGAUCUGGCGUCCGGAGCACCAAAAUUUUUUUCCUCAUAAAACUUUAUGAGGACCUCUGUAAUGAGUUGGAAAACAUACACGUAUACUCACACCAUUUUUUAACGUCCAUUUCCGCUUUACAAGCCUUUUUUUAAGAAUCUCCCAAAUUCCCUAUUUUUUCGUGUGUAUUAGCCUGUGGAUCUGGCACCUCGAAGCACCCCAAAAAUAUUUUCAUAAAAAAUUUAUGAGAACCUCCGUAAUGUGUAGAAGAACCACCACGGAUACUCACACCAUUUUGAAUGUCUAUUUUCGGAUUUACAAGACCUUUGUUUAGGAAUUAUGCAAAUUUCUUCGAUUUUUCGUGUAAAUUAGCCCAUGGUUCAAGCGCUCGGAGCACCCAAAAAACUUUUUUGCAUAAAAAUUAUGAGGACCUCUUAAUGAGUUGGGAAACCAUCACGUAUAUUCACACUAUUUUUAACGCUAUUCAUUAUUUAAAGGUUUUUUUUUAGGAAUUACGCAAAUUUUUAGUGUGUAUUAUCCUAUGGAACUAGCGCUUCGGAGCACCUAAAUUUUUUUUCUGAGAAAAACUGUAUGAGCACCUCUGUAAUGAGUUGGGGAAACACCACGUAUACUCACACAAUUUUUAAGGUCUACUUUCGCAUUUACAGAUCCGUUUUUUAGGAAUCACACAAACUCCUUGAUAUUUCGUAUGUAUUAGCCAAUAGGUCUGGCACCUCGGAGCACCCAUAUUUUUUUCUGAAUUUUUUUUAUCAGGAUUUUUUUAAUGGGUUGGGUAACCACCAUGUAUACUCACAUCAUUUUUUUAUUGCCUAUUUCCACAUUUACAUUUCCUUUUUUAGGAAUUACGCAAAUACCUCAAUUUUUCAUGUUUAUUAGCCCAUGGAUUUGGCACAUUAGAGCUCCAAAAUAUUUGUCUGAAAAAACUUUAUGAGGACCUCCGUAAUGAGUUGGAGCACCACCACGUAUACUCACACCAUUUUUUGACGCCUAUUUCCGCAUUUACAUACCCCUUAUUAGGAGUUACGCAAAUUUCUCAAUUAUUCAUGUGUAUUAGCCAAUGGAUUUCGCGCCUCGGAGCAACCAAUUUUUUUUUUCUGAAAUAACUUUAUUAGGACCUCCGUAAUGAGUUGGGGAACCACCACGUAUACUCACAUAAUUUUUUAACAUUAGUUUUGCAUUUACAGGCCAUUUUUUGGGAAUAACGCAAAUUACUCGAUUUUUCGUAUGUAUUAGCCAUGGAUCUGGCGCCUCAGAGCACUCAAAAUAUUUUUCUGAAAAAACUUUAUGAGGACUUCUGUAUUGAGUUGGGGAACCACCACGUAUACUCACACCAUUUUAUUAACGCCCAUUUUCGCAUUUACAAGCCCCUUUUAGAAACUACACAAAUUCCUCGAUUGUUCGUGUGCAUUAGCCCAGGGAUCUAGCGCCUCGAAGCACCCAAACAUUUUUUCUGAAAAAACUUUAUGAGGACCUCUGUAAUGAGUUGGGGAACCACCACGUAUACUCACACCAUUUUUUUAAUGUCUAUUUCCUUGUUUACAUGCCCUUUUUUUAGGAAUUACGCAAAUUCCUCAAUUUUCGUGUGUAUUAGGUCAAGGAUCUGGCGCCUCAGAGCACCAAAAAAAAUUAUAUUUUUUUUUAUAAGGACCUUCGUAAUGAGUUGGGGAACCACCACGUAGAUUCAUACCAUUUUUAACGCCUAUUUCCGCAUUUAGAGACCUUAUUUUAGGAAUUAUGCAAAUUUCUCAAUCGCUUUUUUGUGUGUAUGAACAAAUGGAUCUAGCGCUUUGGAGCACCCAUUUUUUUUUUUGAAAAAACUUUAUGAGGAUUCGUAAUGAGUUGGGGAACCACCAAGUAUACUCACACCAUUUUUAGCACCUAUUUCCAAAUUUACAUGACCUUUUUUAGGAAUUACGCAAUUUCUUGAUUUUUCAUGCGUAUUAGCCCAUAGAUAUGGCGCCUUGGAGCACUCAAUUUUUUUUCUGAAACAUCUCUGUGAGGACCUCCGUAAUGAGUUAGGUAACCACCACGUAUACUCAUACCAUUUUUUUAACGCCUAUUUCUGCAUUGACAGGCCCUGUUUUAGAAAUUACGCCCAUGAAUAUUUUGGUGAUAUGACUUUCGGACGAAAUUUUUGCGAAAUCCUUAUGGAACCCUUCAUAGGGAGUUGAGGGAGCACUACGUACAAUCCUACCGUUUUUAGAGUGAUUUAUGGGCAUUAAGGAGUCAAUUUACAGUAAUUAGGCGAUUUUCUCAGUUUUUUGUGUGUGUUAGCCGAUGAAUAUUUUGGUGAUAUGACUUAAAGAUGAAUUUGUUACAAAACCUUUAUGGAAUCCUCCGUAAGGUGUUGGGGGAGCAUUACGUACAAUCUCACCAUUUUUAGGGUGAACUUUGGGCAUUUAGAGACCAAUUUACAGGAAUCAUGCAAUUUUCUCAAUUUUUUGUAUGUGUUAUCCCAUUAAUAAUUUGGUGAUAUGACUUCUGAACGAGUUUUUGUGAACCUUUAUGGUACCCUCCCUAGGGAGUUAGUGGAGCAGUACGUACAAUCUCACCAUUUUUAGAAUGAUAUGGAGGAGAAAUAACUCCUACUAGCCCAAAAUAUGUCUGAAAAAUGACAAGACUUCACGUAUUUCUCUCUCAACUCUCUACAGAGGAUUCCGUAAAGGAUUUGCACAAAAAUCGACCGUCAAUCACAUAACCAAAAUAUUCAUGAACUAACUAUGCCAAUAUAAACCCAAUAGCAUAGAUAGAAUUUGGAAAGAUAAUUAUGUUGGGAUAUUUUCUUCCUGUGGUGCUCGCUGCAGCGUACAAUGAUGAGCUAUAUAUGUCUCCAUCUUUUUAUUCUAUUUUUCAUUUAUUUAAAAUGAUCGUUCGAUAGGUGAGAUAAGAUAUGAUAUAUGUUAAUUAUACUAAAAGAUAAAAUUUAUCUCAUAAAUUGAGAUAUUUUAUGAGAUAAAUAAUUAUAUUACUAUAUAAAAAAAUAAUUUAUUUCACUAUUAUAAAAUAUAUAAUUUCAGAACUAACUAAUACUCCUAAUUAUUUAUUCUGUAUUUUAUCUCAAUAUUGUUAUUUUUUUUCUUUAAAUCCCUUUUAAGUUUUUCCUCUUCAAUUAUUAGGGAGCACGUUUAAAUGGCUUGUAAAACAUUGUUGUAAUUGGUUGGUAGAGUCGGCAAGGAGACAACUAAGCAAAUGGAGAAAGCAACGAUAAAUGUGGGGAAAAUUAAAAAAACGUUUUUAGUUCCAUUUUAAGUAACACAUUUAAUUUGAUACAAUAUUUAAAAAGGAAUAAGACGCGAGUAUUUCCUCUAGACUAUGAUCGAAAUCUCAGAACACAUUUAACUAAACUAAGAUCCUAUUACCCCAUGAACCUAAUUUUUUUUGUAAUUUUAUACAUUUUUUGAUUUACUUGACAUCCAAAUAUCUCCCACAUGCCUCAACUACGUAGGGUCACGGAGCAUGCCAUGUAAUAAAUCAAUGGUUUUGUUCAAUAAAAUUGGAUUUUAAAUAUGCUUUUAUUUGAAAUUUAUUCUUCAAUUCUACCUUCUUGAAUAAUCGAUUUCUACUAAUACAACUAAGAAUCAUUUGGUAAUUGAUAAGAACUUUACAAAUAUUAGUAUAAUGGAGAUAUUAGUUAUUAACUAUUCGACACAUAAAAUAAAUACACCAAUAUUUUCAUAACUUAUACGUACAUUAUUCUACAAGUUGUAAAAUUACAAAUCAAACGACAUAUUAAGUCGGACUCCUAACUUUUCUCUGCGCGCGCAUAUAUAUAUAUAUAAACACCCAUUUUUACCACAACUCUUCAUUCACAUUAAAGCUAGAAAUGGCAGAAGAAAUGAUGAACAACAAACAGAUCAUUCUAAAACAUUAUGUGGAAGGUUAUCCUAAGGAAUCUGAUAUGGAAUUUAAGAAUAGUAUCAUUAAAUUGAAUGUUCAAGAAGGUUCUAAUGAUUGUUAUUUUGAAGAAUCUUUACUUGUCUUGUGACCCUUACGUGCUUAACCGUAUGAGCAAACUUGAGGGUAGCUAUAUUCAAUCCUUCACUACUGGUUAUGUAAGUAUUUCAAUAAUUUACUACCACACAUAUGAUUAUUUAGUUGGUAUAUAUUAUACGUUCAAAUUUCGAGAGUCAAAAAAUAUAUUUAAUGUGUUUUUAUAAGUGAGUGUUUGAAUUAACUUAUUUUAAACAGUUUUUGGCUUUUAAUCUUCUUUUUAAACUUUUUGAAGGUGUUUGAUAAAAAACACCUUUUUAAGGCUGAGAAAAUACAAAAAUAAGUUAAAAGUAUGGAUAUUCUCAACUCGUGACUUUUAAGUUUUUGCUUAUAAGCUACUUAAAACAAAGUCAAUCUAAACAGCCCGUGAUCGUGGAUACAUAUUUAGUGCCAAUUGAGCUAUUACCGUUAAUUAAUUGCCACUAAAAGAUCGUUUUUGAUGUAGUGAUGGUUGGUUGGGGAAUAGACUGGUAAUCUGCUUAUAUGGACUCGGACAAUAAUCUUCUGCUCUUGCAGGGAUGCCUGGGGUGACAGCUUAUGCUGGAUUUUAUGAGGUUUGCUCCCCUAAGAAGGGAGAAACUGUGUUUGUUUCAGUUGCUUCUGGAGCAGUUGGUCAACUUGUUGGACAAUUUGCAAAGAUGUUAGGUUGUUAUGUUGUUGGUAGUGCUGGAAAUAAACAAAAGGUAAGUACUUAAACAUUUCAUUCUUGAAUUUUAUUAGUGGCUUAUAAGUUAUCUUACUUAUCUUAAUCAUUGUUAAAUAAUCUAGCUAUCUCAUCUAUUCAUUAUUAUUAUUAAAGGUUGAUAUGUUGAAGACCAAGUUUGGUUUUGAUGAAGCUUUUAACUAUAAAGAGGAGC
rnacentral:lncRNA from 1 species